rnacentral:lncRNA from 1 species
CAAACAUAAUAGUUGCAUUAACAUAAAUUCUAAACUUAUAUUCAAUAACACUCUUUAUUUUUAUAUAUAAACAAAUUGAAUCUAUCAGUAAGAAUAGAAACAAUGACGGACAAAAUAACAAUAUUUGAGUUAAAAAUAAUAACGUUUGGGUCAAAAUUUAAAUUCAUGUGCUCAAUCUCUAUUGGUAAAAAAUGAAAUAAAGCACGACUAUUAGUGUUGAUAAGUAACAUAUCUAUCCUACAGUAAUUCCAAAAUCUUAACAAACAUCUAUUGAAAUACGUCGUUAUAAUCUGAACGAGAUAACUUAAAUUAUAUUAUAGUUUUUCCUUUUUUCACCAUUGAACUAAAAUCUGAGAAUGGGUAGGUAACAAGCACAGGACAACAAUUCCACGUUCUCUUAUCCCAAUUUUGACAUCAAUACUAUUAAAAACAUAAAAAUUUGAAGGAACUAAAUAAAGAGAAAUCUCAUAUUAAUAACAAAAUUUGCCAUGAAAUGGUGAGAAAGGAGGAAAGAAAAGGAAAACCUUUGGUAGACAAUCCACGUUUUAAUCUAUGGGUACCAACCUAAAGUGACAAAGUAGAGUUAGUAAAUGACUUUUGUAGGGGUAAAGAGGUAAUUUAAAGCUCUAGUCAAAGAAUAUGAACAAAAAAAUGGUAUUAAUAUUAAAUACUAUUUAUUAAUUAAUAGUAGAAUUUUACUGGGAAAAUGAACCAACUUUUUUUCCUCUCUUCUCUUUCUUCAACAUUCAAUAAAUUUCUCUUUUCAAUUCAAAGUUUUAGACUAAAAAAAUAUAAUGAAACCCCAAAAAGAAGAAAAUAAGAAAAAUAAAACCCCCAAUUCCCAACGCUCUCAAAAAUCCUCUCCGAAUUCCCUUCUUCAAUCAUUACAAGAUUUUCAAAUUCCAUUCCAAAACUCCAUCCAUCGAUUCAAUAAUUCUUCUUCCUCUGACCUUUCUCCAUGGCGUCGCUUCUCAAAUUCAAGCUCCUUCCGACGCACUGCGGCGUCGCUCAGAGUCCUACUUUAAGCCCUAGGACCAGUCCUCUCGUUCACCUCCGCCGUCGGAAAACCACUCUUCGGAUGCUUCUCACUCGGAAUUCCGGCCGUCGGUCUCCUCGUCGCCGCUCCUUACCGGAGAAUAAGAACAGAGACGACCGUAAGGGUUUGUCGCGGAGUAACACGUUGAAGGAUUUGUUCGUUUCCUCGCCACCGUAUCUUGGAACUGACUGUGAUGUUCACCAGACGGCGGUCACGGCUCCAACCCGGAACGUGACUCCAGUUUGUGAGAAGGAGAAGGAGGAGGGUCACGUUGGAUCACCCGGUUGGAAUCCCGGUUCCCCUAGACCGGGUUGGACCGGUUUCCGAUAUAAAUACUUGCUUCGGAAAACUUGGCGGCCGGUGCUCGUCGGAAUCCCCGAGUAAUGGAUUCUCUUUUUUUUUUUUUUUUUUUUUAGUUUUAAAAGAAAACAUCUUUUAAUUAAUUUAAAAAUAUAUCUAAUCUAAUAUUUCUAUGUUUUUUUAGUAUAGAUUUCAAUCUUUACUUAAAAUAGGGAUGGGGGAAAGGAUUAAGAUCUUAAUCAAGUGGGUUUGGGGAAAUAAUAAUUUGUUGCUAUGGAAAAUUAUGAAUAGAUUUCCCAUGAGUGGGAAUUUGCUUAUUUUUCUGUUCAAUUUUACGCUUGUUUAGUUUUUCUAAUCAUAUGUUAAUUAGUCAAAUUAACUCUAUACAAUUCGUAGUACCAAAUUUAAGGCUUAAACCUUGAUUGAUUUUCUUGAUUGUUUUAUUAUAUAGUUUAUGAAGUUGUAUUUAAAAUCUUGUUCUUAACUUUGUAUGGUUUAGUUGGAGUGAGCAAAUCCUAAACCAAAUCUUUGAUUGACCCCACUUUGACCAUAGUCAAGAAUAGUUAGUGAAAUUUGAGUUAACAAAUCUACUAGUGGCUUAACUCGAUUUUAAAAAAAAAAAAUUGAUGAAGAUUGUCAUCCAUCGGUUCUUUUUAUAUCCUAAGUAUCGUUCUUCCACAAAUUUGUGGACUUCCAAAUCUAGAAAUUUUAACACCUUCCAUCCCAUAGUUGGGGGAACACGUCGUCCUCUUGUAUAUACUAUCAUGCGAGUGUUUUCAGUGCACAUGCUCAACCCACCUAAUGCCUUCAUUUUAUGUGUGUACAUCCGUUGAACAUUCAUGUGCACACGUACAAUGGGUUGUUGGUUGAACAUGCAUGGAGCAUCGGGUGGACAUCAUGUGGACUAUUUGGAUUUUGUACUAGGUGGUAGGUUACUCAAAAGUUGAAGUUCUUAUCAAAUAACAAAUCGUUCGUAUAAAUAUGGAAGUGUAAUCAUGUUUGGCAUAAAUUCUAUUUAGAAACUAUUAACUUUUGAACUCAUUAUUAUUAUUAUUAUCAUCAUCAUCAUCAUCAAUGAUAUGUGUUCUAAGGCCACACUUUAACGAGUUUGACCGUUAAGUUUCCAAAAGAAUAUUCAAAUUUCUAUUAAAGUGACCCAUUAAAGAAUUUAAUCAAAUAAAGGUUAAAAUAGUACUGAGAGGAAGUUUAAGAUUCAAAAUAUGAGAUCUAAAACUAAAAAAGCCAAGGAUCUAAACAAAAAAUUAGUACAAAAGCUAUUGUGUAAUAAUCAAAAUAUAUUAUUUCCUUUUAGUUUAUUUAUUUGGGACUUAUUUUUUGAGGGAUGUGUAGAGAGAGAGAGAGAGAGAGAGAGAGAAAAAAAGAAUUGGGACCAAGAAUUUGAAUCAGAUAUAGAAAAGGCAUAUGAAAUGUUUCUGUCACAAAGAAAAAGCAAAAUAAAUUCCACUCCUAAAAAGCAACGCAUCUCAACUUUAGAUAAAUAUAACUCUGAUUUCAUUUGUAAAGACAUAAAAAUUGACGUGCCCUUUUGGUGGGAUAAGUUCCUAUUGCUGCCUUCAAGGAUCUUCUCCAUUUCUUUCUUAUCGACCCCUUUACACAAAUUUUCAACUUCAUCCUUAUGAUCUUAUUAGUUUAUAGACUUAAUUCAUAUUAAGCCGAUGUGACUUCAAAAGUUUCAAUUUAGUCUUAUUUGACCAAUUUGGUCCCUAAACAUUUUAUUUGUAUGUUACAAAUUUUCAUUUGAGUUAUUAUGCUCGUGGACUAUUUUUGGAUUUAAUACCGAAAAACUAUUGUUCUCUCAAACUUCUACCAAACUAGUAAGAAAAAGAGGGAGAGAAUAAAUACUUAAUCUCCAAAAUUUAAGUUUGAUACCAUCUUAGUCCUUGUAUUUUUAAGUUUAAUAUUGUAACUCUCUGGGUACCGUCAAAUAAUACAUUUUUUUCCAUAUCUCAAAAACUUGAAAAUCAAAUUUGAAAACUCGAGUAUCUAAAUGCAUGCUAGGGAGAUCAAAAGUGUUCUUUUCAUUAUUAUGCAACUCUUCCAAAAUAAGAAAAAAACAGAGAAAAGAAGACACUAGAUCUUAGUGAAAACCUAAGUACUUACAAUUAUUAGUUCAAAGUUAGUGCUAGAUUUGAUGUUUUCCCCCAUAAUUUAUAAGCUUAGUUGUUUAUACUUUUUCCCAUAUAUCAUGUACUCAAAUUCAUCUUCUGUUCUCACCAGGGCCCCACAAUUUCACAUUACCCAUGUAAUCUUGAGCACAUCCAUCUUCUUCUCAAGCAUACACAAGUAAUAUAUAUCAAUGACUAACCUCCACUGAGUAUGAUAUGAUAUGGUAUGAAAAACAGAAUGAACAGUACGUACACGAAAUGUGUAUCAGGACAAAACAAUUCAAAUUUCAAGCUAUAAAUAAAAUAUAACCUUCAUAUAAAAUGUAUUGAAACAAUCUAUUAUCCAAUCAAUGAAUAUAUUAAUGUAACUUGCUCAGCAUUUCAUUACCAAAAUUCCUUGACUCGAUAAGAUACAAGUUUUAAUAUAGCUUUCAUUCACUCACAAACACAUGUGGAUGCUACAGGUUUUGUUCUCUUUUUCCCACCUAUAGCAUCUCUUAACAAGAAACAUGUUACAAAAUUCACAGCACAUGGCGAGCAUGCGCUUAUUCACCGCCAGAAAAUUUUUAUUGUUCGUUUAUAAGAUUUAGAAAAAAGUAAAAAAUUAAAAAGCAACCAGAUUUAAUCAAUGUCUAGAUGUUAAGCGUUCUUUAUUCCCCAGAGGAAAACUAGUUUGCUUACUUGGUUGGGAUUGUGAUUGUUGUAUGUCGGAAUCUCUAACUUCGUUUGCAUCGUCUAUGUUCGCCUUUUGGGCCUUCACAUGACUAUUGCUAUUGGAGUUCGGAUGGGUUUCUGAAUAUUUAUCCUCACCAGAAGGUAUAACUCGCAGUAGGAACCUAUGUAUCAUUUCAUAGCUGGUGAAAGUUAUUACAGCAGAUGGAGUUGUUCGCAACAGAUUCGUCGCACAACCUCUAUAAAAACCUGGGACACCUUCCUUUCGAAAAACCUUUUUGAUACAGUCCAUUACUCCUGAGUAUUGAGGAGCAAUGUUUCUGGCUUGGCCUUGCUCUUGUAGCCGGGAACGAACUACCUGGAGAUGAAGUUUAAACAGGAUAAAGAAUUAUUAAAGACACACAUCACAAACACUUGCAGAGAGAGGGUUUAAAAACCUACCUCAUGUGGGUAAGUCAUUACCGAGGCCGUAACUUUCGACAAUGAGGAGGCAAUAGCUAAAUGUCCUGGACUUAGUUUGUCAACGGUUGUGUUUUCUGGAAAGAAAACAAAACCAAAACCAGUUUAAAAAAGCAAUCACAUUUGAAUGAGUACAUACACGCUUACUGAUAUUCUAUAUUAUAACCAAAAGAUUAUCAUAGUUACGUACCUCUUUUUGCAAUAUACGAUUUGAGCCUUUCGUAUGCAGGAAAUUGAAUUGCAACAUGACUUAUCCCAACCAAUGAAGGGAUGAUACCACUGUUCAAAGAACAAAUCAAAGACAUGUUCUCAUAAUUAUUUUAAAAUAUGAGAAUAGUACAACUUAUGAGUCAUUAUUUGUCAGAACAAAAGUUUAUCACAACAACCAUUAUCUCACUCAUUACAGUCAAGCCACAAAUUUGGGAAAACAUAUAUCCAUUAAGAACUUCAAUUUUCACAAAUAUGGUGAGAACAAACCUGUAAAGCCCACGAAUUCCUUCUUCACGUACAAUCCUGGUAAAUGCUGAAACCAUGCCUGUGUAAGGAACCACACCAGGCCUCAUUCCCUGUGUCUGUUGAAACCAAAAAUGCUAUGAACGUAAAAGAGGAGAAUAAUAGAAAAGGGCUUAGCUGUGCUUUAGUAAAAUGGAGCAUAGAAGCCACAAACUCAGUGAAAAGGAAAUGUAAAAGCACGAGAAUCUGCUAAUUACUUGGAGUCGGGUCUUAACAACCCACAAAGGAUUUGUUGCAAUGGCAGUAGAUGCCCCAGCCCCAGCAGCAGCAAGCAUAUUUGCCCCAAACGAGAGUUGAUGACCAUCGUCCCCUGCAAUCAAAUAGCAAUAUAUAUAAUAAUGCAAAGCAAUUCAAUCAAAUUUUACCACUUCUAAGGAUUGAACACUUAAAACAUAUCCAAAAUCCAAAAUCUGAAAUCUGAAAAGUGGACUACAACAGCAUGUCCAGAAACAACUGUGUUUGUAAAAGAGGAAAGGAAAAAUCAUUUGCCAAUGAACACCAAAACCAACCAUCUGAAUGAAGUAGGCCUUUUAGAUGCUCAUAAACUGUGAAGUAGACCUACAUGUGAGAUAAGCACAUUUUGUCAUUCAGACAAUGGAAAAAUGAUCCAGAAACAAGAAAUGGAUGGUGAAUUUCAUAAAAAUAACUUGUGCCAAAGAAAAGUCACGUGGAAGUAAAUUUUGGUAAAAGUAAAGUUAAAAUUCUAUAAUUAGUUUUAAUUGUUUACAUUGGUACAAAAUAGAAAGGUUAGCAUAACAUCCCACAGUGUAAGUUUGGAUGUAAAUCUUUAUCUCACAAGGUCCUACUGUUAUAAGUACAUAAACCAUCAUGGGGAAGCGUGGUUUCCCACUCAGGUCGUCCUGUUUUAAGUACCAUCAUGGAGUAGAGGGUGGAUAUACACAGUUAUCUCAAAAUUGACAGUCUUGCAAACUUUACAUACUGCUCAUUUCUUAACUUCAUGGUACAUGGUGGUACAUAUAACAGUUAAAGUAGGAUUGGGAGAAGAUUCACAUUGGAUAAAAUCAUUCUUUAUAUUUAAAUAGGCAAAACAAAUGUCUCUUAGAAAGGUAUCUGAAUUGCCCGUUGGAAAAGAAAACAAGAAAAACAAAAACACUAAAUUGCAAUGGGUUGGGGAAAAAGAUCACACGGUGCAUUAGGCACCAAGUGGGAAAGUAAAUAUAAAAUGAAUGUCAAGAGUGCAAUCCAGGAAGUAAUUCCUGUAUGGAAAUAAUUGUGUUCGUUGAGUUGCAAGAAAUGAGACCCAUUAAAAAGUCAGAACUCCUAAAAAUAUAAUGAAAAGGGAAAACAGAAGAAAGUCCUACAGAAAAGUGGAUCUCAAUAACUAUUCAUGAAAUUCUAGUUCAUGGAUAUAUUUCAUUAUGGCGUCCGCCACGCACCACCAACAUGGGCUUGAGUAUUAGCAACCAACAAUAAAGUCAAUACAUCUGUUUGGAAAAAAAAAAUAAAGGUUUUAAUGCUACUUUCCAAUGAAAUAUCCAAUAAAAUACUCACAGCCCAGUUUGGAAGAAGUGCUACUAUUGUUGGAGAAAGGCCACGAUACAUUCCCCUGAAACCUUCAGAACGCAUUAUGCUUUGUAGGCUAGUGAUGAUGAUACUACCUGGGUAGAGAACAGCGGAGAUUAAAGAAAUAUAAUCCCUAAACAAGCUCAACCUUCAUUUUCAGAUGCAGAAACUAUAAUAUCACUUAUCACAUAACUAAAACCAACGCAAAUCCUUUGACCACUGGUCUUCAACGUCUUGAUCCAGAUUAAAUUUCUAGUUUGGUUCUCAAAAAUAAUACGGUCAAUCACAAACAGGUGUUACAGUCUUCAGAAAAAACGAAAUAGUGAAUUGAUUCAGACUUAUACACGGAAUCAUUGGAAGUUACCAACUGUAAGUGACUAAUUUGAUAUUUCCAAUUCAUGGUAUAUUUGCACAUUAAAGAAUCAAACGGUCAACUUGGCUGAACUAGUUAUAAGGCAUGUGUCCUCAACCAAAGAGGUUAGAACAUGGAAUCCUUCCACCACACUUAUUGUUGAACUAAAAAAAGGAACAACUUUCCCAAUGUUAAGACUAAAAGAUUACCUCCACUUUGACCAGAAGGGAGACCAUGCACUUGCAGCCUCGUCUUGAUGACAUCUAAAGGGCAGACGAACGUGGCUGCUAUAGAACCUGUUACGCAUAUCAUAACACACAAAUGUUAAAUAAUCCCUAAUCACAAACUCAAUGCGCAUAUUGAAGAAGCAAGUAACUAAUCUAAACCCCCAGAUUCCAAACCGUGACAUUUACACCCAGCAAAAAUCAAACAAAAAAAGCUCAAAAUUGAGCCUGAAAACGAAAAGGCAAACCUGCAGCAGCACCGGCACCGGCGUUGCAGAUCAAAUCCCUAGUGCUUCGAGAAGUGCCACCAGCACCGCCACUCAUCUUGCUCUCAACUACUUCCUACAAUUUCUGAAUGGAACAAAAGCAAACUUGCAUCGCAGAUCACUGAUUUGAGAGCUCAAGAACUAACUAACACAAGAAAUAUAUAUAGACUUCCCCCGUUGGUCUUCCUUGUUCGUUGCAUUUGACCAAAAGGGUUCAAAUUAAGUCGAUGAAGAAACGCAAAGAGAUGAAAAAUCUUCGUCUUUGAACUUGUUUGAAGGGUUUAAAGCUCUGUGAUUUCGUCGCCUCAACUCUCACGACGAAGAAUUUGAUUCCGUGUAGCUUCGCUUCAACUCUCACGAUGAAGUUUCUUCAUUCUUUCUCUCUUCAUUUCCCUUUCCCCCUUUUUAUCUUUCCUUUUCUUUUUCUUUUUCUUUUCUUUUCGGAUGAUAUAUAUAUUCUUUGAUGCAUUCUUUUGUUUUUUUUUUUGGAUUUUCAAUGCAUUUAUUUACUAACUAAAAGUGAAAAUGGAUUGCUAAAAAAAACUACAAUCUAAAUUUUAAAAAGUUAAGUAAAUGUUUUUGAAAUACACCAAAAUAGGACUAAACAAACUUAAUUACAUUUUAGUAGAAAAAAAAUCAUUAUAUUUAAUUUUGUCAAAUUUUCUUUUUUAUUUCUCUAUACUUUUUUAUGAAAUUAUAACUUAGUCUUAUUAUUUAUAAUUAAAAUUUGUAAGAACUUAUUUUUACGCUUACUUGGUUAACCAAUAGUUAGUGUUUGAGUUGCAAACUAUUUUAGUUGAAUUUAUAAUAAUAUAUGUUUAUGAUGUAAACUAUUUUUGUUUUAAUAUAAAAUAGUAAAUAUUGUAAAAGAAAGAAAAAUAGUAAACAUUACAACAAAUAUUAUUUUGAAGUAGUAAUUUUUUAUACUUAAUGGUAAAUUAGAACAAAAGUUUGGUUCGACUGACACUUAUAUCUAUUAGAGAACCUUAACUACAAUAUUGUACUCAUAUUAUUAAAGUUAGUGUCCUAAACAUUGAAUGAACUAUAAUAACUUGUCAAUGUCUAUUCGAUAUCUAUCAUGGAUAGGUUAUAAUUUUUUUUUGUUCAUUUUGUUAUAUUUGUAAACAACAGUUUUAAAUAUUAUAUUGAAAAUUUUGAUGGUAUUUGUUGAAAUAACGAUAAUAAACUAGCAUUAGGGACUAAAUUGAAAUAUUAUUAAGAAUAUAUAGACUAAAAUAGGAAGUUUGAAUCUGUACUAAAACUGAAUGGCUUGAAUUAAUACACAAAGACUAAAAUGAUAUUUUGACGGGAGACAUCAAUUGGAAUAAGAAUAUUACUACGACGUAAUUGGAAUCAAAAUACAAACUUUAUACAUCUCCUUUUGGAAUUAGAAUAAAAUAUAUAUUGACUACUAGAAUGCCACUUUAUAAUUUUUAUAAACAAGUUAAAAGCACGUGCAUAGUUUUUUUUUAGAAUCAAGACUUUUAGGCUUAACUUUGAAUGUUUAAUGAUUAUUUUUAACUAAGUAUUUGACAUAAACUUGGUAAUGAAAGAUAUAAAAACUAAUAUUAUAUGUAUUGUUUAAUUAACAAUUAACAUAUAAAUAAGUUGACUUGGUUGAAAAUGAUUGAAAUUUGAUGUAUAGAUUCGUUUUUAUUAAGUUAAUCUUAAAUCUUGAAAGAUUGAAAAAUAUCACAAUGAAAAGAAAUAGAACAAAACAAACUUGUGUGAUGUAAUGAAAAUAAAGUUUAUAAAGGAGUGACGUGACAAGAUACUGUUAGCUCCCACAAAUCGAUUUUUGUAGUUAGGGUAAGCAUAUAUCAAUCGAGAUCAAGUCGAUAUUUUUAUCAAACCAUCGCCAUCAUAAAUCUAGUCGAUUUUAUUAAACGUUUAAAUCGAUUCCAUCAUGAAAAAUACAAAUGGAUCGUUGGUCAGUCGAUUGGUUGGUUCAAGUCAAUUUAAGCCUUUCAACUUUUUUUCGAAACUGACACCCAAUGAAACCCUGUAUAUUGGAGGUUUAUUGAAAUGAAUUUAAAUUUAUUAAGGAGAAACUAAAAAGAGUAGAGGGUUGGGUUAUAAAUACUUAAAAUAAAAAUGUAACUUCAAAAUGUAAUAAAUAUUAGAUGCUCAUUUUGUUUAUUGUCAUGUGUCAACACACUAUCACCCUAUAUGUUCUUCAUGCGUAUUGACCUUACAUAUCAUUAGUGUUAAUGUAAUCCACUACCUACUUGUCAUUAUAAAUAAACGCUUUUUGUGAAUUUUGUAAGAACGUGAUAUUUCAAAAAAAAUAGAGAUACUUGUGGUUAUUAAGAAUUCUAUAUAUCUCGCGAUUAUUUCAUAACAUGUAUUGUGGGUUGCAUAAACAAGCAAUUAAUUGUUGUCAUGAACAAAUAAUCCAAACAAAAACCAUACUUCACCUAUCUCAUGAACACAUAUUUUUCUCUCUUUUUUCUUUUUGUUAAUCGAGGAAGACAUUCUUAAAAAGUAAUAAACAUAAAAUACACACGAUUGUUUUCGAUAUAAAAAACAAAGAAAAACUAUUGUAAAUGACAAAAUUUAUAAAAAUAUUUACAGAAUAUAGUAAAAGAAUUAAUCUAUAAUUUCUACUAACAUAUAUUGAUAGAUUAUGAAAUCUUACUACAACCUAAAACAAAAUUUGGUAUUCACCCAAGUCGAUGUGCUUUGUUAAAGCGAGCCUAACAAAAUAACUACUAGGCCACACCACACGUGUUUUGACCCUGUAACAUCAUCGUAUGACCAAAAUGAGCCUAAAAAAGGUGUUCAAUCUCAAGCUUGGCCGAGAUUAAGCCUAGCAAGAUGGCCAAUGAGGCGUGUCCCUCGUUUGCUUCUACAUGAAGAGACAACUGACAAUCCUAGUAUGACUCUUAAAUUGAAUUUUGAUAAUCUAAGCCGUCAGGAGGAAUUAGAAAUAUAAAUCAAUUCACCUUUUAAAUAAAAAAUGAAUAUUGAGUGAACAUUGAUAAAAUGUGAUAGAUUAAGCUUGAAGUAAUUGAGAGAAAAUCAUAAACACUCAAGUUUGUUCAAGAAUUUUUCAAUAUUAAAAAAAUUUAUGAAAUCUUAGAAACGGACGAGUUUUCAAUAUAAUAACCAACUUCUUGUUGUAAAUGCCUAUUUAGCACUCAUGUCCCUUAUAGUUGAAAUUUUGAUUGUUUAUCCUUCUAUUAACUACAAAUAUACUGUGAAAGUCUUAUCAAGUUAACGUUAACAUUAUUUGAUAGAUAUAUAAUUGUACUUUUUUUUCGUGAUGAAUACUUGUAUAGUUUUUAUUUUAUUUUCAUAUGCUCUGAGUAUAAGUAAAUAUGUUCAAAUGAGUUUGAAUGAUGGUUCUAUUUUCCCUUAAAUAUAAAAUAAUAAAAACCACCAAUUAAUUGUUUUUAAAAAAUCUCAAAUUCAUGUAUUUAAAUUGUAAUUAAAAAAGAAUUAAAAAAUUUUAAACUUUGACUUUUCUGUUUGUAGCUUUAGUUGAGUUAUGAAAAAAUAUGUUUAAAAAACGUAAUCAAAUGUCUUUAUUAAAUUAAAGUAUAAAAAAUACAAUCACAACCAAAAUUGAUAUUACUCUCAAAUUUGGUCUUAAGGUUGCAUUUAUCACCGUUGACCAAAAAAUUUCGAUCAAUUAAAAUUUGUCAUGUCAUCACAACAAAACGGUGGUGAUUAUAAUUUGAUUGGAUUUUGAAUAAUCAAGUUUUCUCAUAUUUAAUCCAAUGCAAACCUCCAACGAAAAAUCAGGCCAAACAAGGAACCAAAGCUCGACGCUAAGAAAAUGUGUCAAAGUCCAAGCUCAAGCCCAAGAGACAGAUGGGUCCAAACUUAAGUACAACAAAUAAAUGAGUCCAAGUCAAAGUCCAACAAGCAAAUGGACCCAAGCCCAAUUUCAAUAGGUAAAUGAGCCCAAACAUACCUAAAGUCCAUUAAAUUUCUCUAUAAAUAGAGACCUUUGUCAUUCAUUCAAGGGGUCUAACUCUUAAGAAUUGAAGAUUCAAACUUCUACAAGCUCUUUAGACGUGCAAGUUCGUAUGACUUGGAAUAUUAAACUUUUUUUGGAUUAUAGAAGAUCGAAGUUCAAAUCGACUUGCAACUACAACAUUCAUCCUAAAGAUAGUUGCAACAUUCAUCCUAAAGAUCAAAGACCAAUAAGUUCUAAAGUUUGUAUCUUGUAUUCGAGAGUAAGCAUCAAAUGAGUAAAUACUAUAAAUUGUAUCCGCUAUAUUCAUCAAUGUACAACUCAACCUCACGAAAUACAUUUAUUCAAAAUAUGGUGCGAACAAUCACAAUUUUUAUACUAACAUAUACUUAAUAAAUUUGGCCAACAAACAUUAAUUUUGUUAAUUUAAAAUUACCUCAUUUUUUUUAAAUUUUUUAUAAGAAUUUAGUCAUUUUAAAUAAAUUAUCCAAAUUUAGGAGCACUUCUAUCAUUAAGUACAAAAUGGAAGGAUACAUAUAUAAACUCGUGCUUUUAUUAUAUGAUCCAAUCAUUGCAGUUUACUAACACUUUUUCAUUAAUUUUCUAGUAACCUAAUAUUUUAAUGUUUCAUGAUAAAGUAUUAAAAUAUGACUAAUGUAUAAAUCAAAUUGUUACUUGCUAGAAUGACUAAUAAAUACAAAAACUAAAGGCAUACAAGAUUAAGGUUUAAAGACUUAAUUUUACUUCAACAAAAUGCAUAUAACCAGCCUUUUAAACUCCUAUGUUUGACUACUAACUAUAUAAACUAUUUAAAGUUAUUUGCUUAUGUAUCAAAAAUUUAUAUAGAUAAGUUGGUUGUUUAUAAACUAUCAUCAAAUGAUUAUGGCUAUCAAAAGUCAUUCCAAACGUAUUAGCAACCAUACUUCAAAAAAAUCAAAAUUGUGUAUAUUUAUAAUAAACACAUAUACAUAUAUAUAUAUGACCUAAUUAUAAAUAAAUAAACAAACAAAUAAAUCUCAAUUUCACUAAUCUAUCCAUCUAUCUCCCAAAGUACAUGGCCUUUGGUGCAAUGUUCACAAGUCUCUCCAAAGCAUUUGGAGCAAACUUUCUAGCGAAUAAGAAGCAGACACCUUUCCCUUCCAUUUUACUUUUCCUACACUCUCCGGUUUGAUUCCUCAAUCUCUGAAUUAGCUCCACGUGGAUAUCCGACCGCGAGUAUCUCGCCGGAUGUGGCCCGCCCUUUGACCAGUCAACCCAGGUCAAACUCCGAUUACCAUUCCGAUCCCACCCCAAAACGUUAACCAACGUUGGCAAAUAAUGUUCGUCUGAAUAACAUUGCCCUUUACAGUAAUUCUGGAAAACAGGGAAGUACUUCUUAUCCGAGACGACAGCCACGGCGGUGUCUCGGUCAAUCUCGAACCACUGCGAGCCUUUUCGCCAUUGUUUUAGAGAGAUGGGUGGGAACAUUUUGUUCCGGUAUCGACCACGGCCGACGUUGCUGGGUUCGUCGUAGCUCAUGAUGAAGCUUUUCAUGGUGGAAUUUAUGAGAAAAGAGUAGACUGUGGAGAAGUUAAACAGAGGAAUACAUGAUUCGGAGAGAAGAACAAAUCGCUCGUUUGAAAUAUCAAGGAGUGCGUUUGAAAUUAGCCGUCGUUCUGCUUCGAUCAUGUUUACUUUUCCCCAUCCAACUUUCUGCAAUGAAGAACAAUGAAUUUUAUUAAAUUUUGAAUCUAAUUGAUUGUUAUAUGAAUGUUGAUCGUAAGAAAUAAAUACUAACCUUGCUGGGGAUUCUUCGGCCAUGGAAAGCAGGGGGCUCAGGAGAAGAAUGAUUAUAAGAAGGAUCAGAAUGAACAUAAACAGAGUAAAGUCCUUCAUUCCCUUUAAAGAAUUCUUCCCAAAGUGGAGCUAAAUACACCGGCCCUUUUGUUAAAAACAUGAACGCGAUCUUCGGGACCCGCUGGAACGGAAAUUUCUUGAUUCUGGCCAUCAUUGAAGCUCUCCAGAGAAGCUCCUCAUCAUCCAUGUCGUGCAUUACUUCAGGCGGCUUCAAAAACUCUUCCAAACCCACUCGGCCGCCGGUUACAGGGAAGAAAUCCGAAGAGGAGAUCUGGGUGAGGUUUAAGCUAAUGAAGAAAUUGGAGAGAUAGAAAGUGAGGAAAACUCCGGCGGUGAUUCCGACGGUGAAGAGGAGGAUGUAAGGGACGACGUGGAAGAAGGUGAGAUGGAUAUGGAUUAGCUUCGGGCUCUGAAAUUGACUCUUCAUUUCUUGCUAGAACGUAACCGGACGAAGCUCGAUCGGAGGUGAGACUGCGGCGGAGAGAUGAAACUGACGUUGAGAUGUUCUUUUUUUCUAGACGGUGUGGGAGAAGGCGAAGUUUGGUUUUAAUUCCCUUUCGAACCUUAAAUAUCGAUUUUUUUUUUUUUUUUUAUGUUGAAUUUAAGGCAGAAUGGUUUGAAUCGAUGGUCAGACUUAAUUAUUUAUUUACGUGUUUUAAACUUUUAUUUAUUAUUGGCUAUUUUUUAUAUUUUUGUUUAUUUAAAUGUAUAAAUAAAUUCAAUAAACAUUGUUGUUUUAGUUCAACAACUUUAUUAUGAAUCGCACAUAUUAUUUCAUGUAUAUUGAUAUAAAAAAACUAAAUAACUAUUCAGUGUAAGAGAACAAUAAUGCAGUUAUAAUUAAAUUUAAUUAUUUAAUUACUUCAAAUAUCAAAUAAUUACUAGUUUUAAUUAAAUGUUAUUCAGUUAUUAUGAUACUAAAAAUAAGAAAAUAAUUGUAAAUUAGAAUAUUAAUAAUUACUAAUAAACUUUACCUAUUGGUUAGUAGUUAGACGGCAAUAGUUUUGUUCAUUUACUUAUUUUGAAAAGGUUACCUAAACAAUGAUUAGAAAGGAGCCAAACAAAGUAUAAAAUCCUUACAUCCCUUUUCUAUUUGAAAAUUAAAAAGAGGGUUAGACUUAUGUCUAAGUUUAUUCUUAUAUAAACUUCAAAAAAAAAAAAAAAAAAAUCAAAUAACCGUGAGUAUAGUUGUUUAUACUUCUCCUGCCCAUACAAAGGUCAACAACAACAUACCGAUUUUGUAUUUUUUCUCAUACGUGAAAUGAACAAUGGAUACAACAUAAACAAGAGAAAAAGAAAAAAAAAAGCUUAGCUAGCAAAAUUAGAAAACCAUUUUGAAAAAUGUCGAUUAUCCAUUAAGAUUUUCUCAUUCAUUCACUUUUUAGUAUAAUUAGAGAUGACGAGACUCGAACAAAAAGAUUGACUUUCAACGUUGAUUAAUAUUAUGCAUUUUUCGAAAACACCGACAGAUUUAGUAUAGAUUCAGGAAAGGCUCGAGCCCUCAAAUUUUAUUAUCUUUAUAUAACAUGUAUAAACAAAAUCAAUUAAUGAUUAAUAUUUAUAGACAGUUUAACGAUCAUUACGCUUAUCAGUCUUUUUUUCAACUAGAAUUCAAAUCUUGUUUAUGCAAAUAAAUUUUAUGGAUCCGUCAAUAAUUUUAUAAUUAUUUUUAAACGACCAACAAAUAAAUGAACGCAUAAGGAAAAAAAAAAAGAAAAGAAUAUGUGAAAAAUUGUGUGAAUGGCGUGUGAGUUUGGAGUUGGAAACCACGGUGGAAAAAUCUCCGGCUAAUGACGCGCUUUGAUUUGUAAUUCCUGUUUUGAGUCUCACAAAUUCCACCGCCAUUCGCCGCCGCCCGACCACCGUUAUUGACACGUGUUGGCUGUUUCCACGUCAAUUUCUGCGAACCCCAAAUACAAAAAAAAGUCUAUUACAUUGCAAUUAUAGUUAUUGGGGACUUCAUUUUAAAAAUAAAAUAAUAAAUAUCAACUAACAUAUAUAAUUAAAGAAUUGUUUUGAGAAGUAUAAUAUAAUAUUUAGUUUUGUUUGAUAAACAAUGUUUCUAUGCUUUAUCUGAUUUUUUAAAACAAAAAAUAAUUUUAAAUAGGAAAAUUUUCAUAAAUACAAUAAAGUAGCAAAAAGUUUCCUAGAAAAAACCACAAUAGAGAAAGGGAUAAAACAAAAAUAGAGUAUAAACGUUUUAAAGAAAAUCAAAAUGAAAAAUGAUCAAAUAUGUUUUGUUUUCUUAAAUUGAUUAAGAAAUUAAAUAUUGUUUUUAUUAAAAAAAAAAACAUUUUUGGGGGGUAAAACAAGAGAAAUAAUUAUCAUAAUUGUGGAAGAAAGUAGAGACUAGAGAGGGGGUGGUGAGAAUUGGUUGAACAAACGGAGGAGCAAUGCAUGGGGGAAAUGAAUGAGAAAAGUAUGAAAUUGCGGUAAUUAGCAUCAAGACUUCCAAUUCCAAAAUUAUCACUACUCAACUUUCAACGCUCUUUUCUAGUAAUCUAAAUCAAAAUACUAUUUAAUUUUUAAAAAUUAGAAAAUAUUCUUAUUCAUCCAAAAUUUAAACCAACUUUUAUCUCAAACGUAAAUCAAAAUAAAAAAUUCAAGUCAAAACAAUAGUUUUAAAUGUAUUUGACUAUUAAGUCCAGUGAUCUAUUACGAACAUAACUAAUAUCAAUAGUUGCUACAUGAUUGUCAAAUAAAAAUUGUAUUUUUUUGACUACUAAUUUAUAAAGAUGGUCGAGUGUGGGAAUUUUUUUUAUUUGACAAGUUAUUGUUUUGAUAUGUUUAAGAUUUUUUUAAAUUUUUUUUGAGAUUUUAUAGAAUUUUGUGUUUCAAUGAAUGUUUAAAAUAUAGAUGCCAAUUGAUUUACCCAAAUUUUGAUUUCAAUGGAUAUUUAUGGAAAAUUAUAAAAACAACAAAUUCGAAAAAAUUAAAUUAGUAAAUAAGUAUUUUAUUGUUUUCAAAUAAGCAAACAUCUCAAUUAUCUGUACUAGUGUCAUUUUCAUGAUUCGUGGAUUUUUCUACGAUAUAAUGAAAAUAUUUAUUCACUCUUAUCGAUAUCAAUUUCAUGAAAGUAUCAAAAUAUCUAUAGAUUUAUUAAUGAAAAUUUAAAAAUUUGAAAGUUUAUGAGUAUUUUUUAUACAAAAAUCAAAGUUGAGGACAUUUUUUAUAAUUUAGCUUUAGAUAUAUUUAGCGUUUCUAUCGAUGAGGUAUAAUUAUAUCAGAUUUUUAAAAACUACAAGUAUAGUAUAGUCUGUUAGUGAUAUAUUUAUGUUAUCAAUAGACGCUCCAAAUUUUAGUGUUUGGCUUAAUUUUGAGCAUACUGAUGUUAGAGCAUUAAACUCAAUAUAAAAGGAGCAUUGACAUAGAAAUUUAAUUUAGGGAUUACACUCAAAAUUAUGAUUUCUCAAAGGAGAACUGAUAGACAGGAAAGUCCAAUUGAUAAAAAAUGAACAAAAUAGAUUAAAUUUCAAACAGAUUGGAAACAUUUUCAAUGUAUUAUUUCUUGUUGAUCGAGAAAAACGAAGGCAUAUGGGUUGAUUUAAGUUACGAAUAUAUGUUGUUAAAGUCAAAAUUCAUUUAAAAGGCAGUGACCUAAUUUUAUUUUUAGUUUUAUGAAUAUGAAAGCAAUUUGUCGGUAGCCUAAUAGCCAUUCUAAUAAAAGAAACCUUUUUAAGGCUACCAAACUUCAAGUCAAGCCACUCCAAAGCCUAGAUUUUGUUAUGAAACUAAUUACAUGUUUUCUUUCUUUUUCAAAUGAUUCAUGACCAUUCUAUAUCACUUUCUACCCAUUAACUAUUCGAUUAUGAUUUUGUUUGUUCCAAAGGUAUUUGGUUAAAUAAAUAAAUAAACAUAUAAUUAUUUUUCUAAAUAAUAAAUUUAGCUUUUCUAUACGAAAAUAGGAAAGCAUGAAGUUUAGUUUACCAACGUUAAAAGAUCUACAACAAAAUUUACUUACUGUGAAAAUGAAUAAGGGGAGACAAAGGAAAAACUCAAAGGAAUGGGUAGGGAGAAAGCGUAAUUGCCAUGCAAUAGUUGGCCAUUGACAAUUAUAAUGGUAAGGACGAUUGGCAAGUGACAACAAUCACGACGAUUGAUUAUGUAAAGUAAACUUUUCAAUAUUGAUGUUUUAAUAGUUGAAGCUGUAAAUGCUCUAGCUUACAAAAUGUACAAUUAAGGGCAUUCAUCAUUGACUUAAAAGUUGACAUUGGAAUUAAUGUGAAUUCUCGAAUCAAAAUUUUACAUAUUUGUAAGAUGAAUGUAAGAUUGAGAUGUUCAAAUUUACAUUUUUGACGACGGAUAUACACUUUAUUAAUUUUAUAUUUAUAGUGACUUAAAAGUAAACAAAGACCUUUAGGGAUCAUUUGACCUAUUGAGUGGAGAGUUAAGAGCGGUAACUUUGUAUUAUAUGGAUAUACUGCUACAAGAAGAAAUUUCUUGAUAUAUAUAUAUAUAUAAAAUUACUCGACAACAUGGAGAGCAAACAAAAAAUAUAUAAAAAAAUAAAAAAAUAAUAAUAUAUAUAGUUUAUGUACAAAAUGUUGAUUUUUUUUAAAUAAUAUAAUUUUAAUAAAUAGUAACAACGUUAGUGAAGAACAAAAACAUUUGAUAAAAAUAGGUGUCGAAAAUGUAGACUAGGUCAUGGUUUUCAUACAAUGUCAUGCCUCUCUCAUGCCACAUUAGAGGAAGAAAGCGUAAGAUUUCAAUCUAAGAUGUAAAACUUCUAUUUCUAAAAGGUCAAUCCCUAGUAGUUUUUCUAUCAAUAUGAGAUUGCUCAAUCUUAUGUCUCACGUUAAAUUCCUAAAACAUAAGAUAAGGGACACUCAUAAUUUCCACCCCUUAUUUUUAGAAAUUUGUUGGCAAUGACUUUGUUGUUGUCGUCGUCAUCUAUUUAAACAACUAUUUUAGAACUAACUCACAAAUUUCAACCAUGUAUAUCGUUUGAGUUGAGUUGUUUGCAUUAAGUUGACAAGCACAAUGUUUUGUUGUUUUUUAGUUUGUAGAAACAUGUACCAUAGACCAUGUUUUACGAACAUGUACCACAAACCAUAUUUACGGUUUGAUUUGGUUUGGUUUUUUUCUUAUUUGUCGUUUUUGUAAUUUGUUGUCGGAAAUCGAAAACAAGGAAGUAGAAGGGACAAAGAAAAAUGAAGGAAAAAGUGGGAAAAUUAGAAAUAGACAAUUUCCCACAAAUAAUUUCUUGCAAAAAAUUCUCCAGAUUCUCUUCAAAUCUUCAGAAACCCUAGAUGUUGUUUGCUUUCCCAUUGUUCUGAAUCAUUUUGCAUAACAAGCCUCCCUUGUUUUGGGUUGGAUCCUAGCCGACUGAUAAUACUUGCUUUGUUUAAUUUCCCGAAAAUCGAGCUCAAUCCAAAUUUGGCUUCCAGGUUGAUGCCUUUUAUUUUUUAUUUUUAUUUAUAUAAAUAAAUAAAUAAAUAAAUAUAUAUAUAUAUAUAUAUAUAUAUAUAUAUUUUUUUAUGGUUUUCGCAUAAUUUUGUUCAAUUUCGAGCCGAAAUUCCUCAUCGGUUUUCGAUUCUUGCAGCGAUUUUAGAAGAUACAGAGCUUUUCCCCGUCCUAAAGCACCGACGGUGGGACAGUUUGAGCGGGAAAAGCGAGAAUGAAGACGGGUUCGAAGUCGGAAGGACCUUCGACUCCAGCGCUUCGACGGGACCCGUAUGAGGUUUUAAACGUAACCAGGGAUUCCACUGAUCAGGAAAUCAAGUCUGCUUAUAGGAAGCUUGCUCUUAAGUAAUUCUCUUGCUCUGCGCUUCGUAUUACUGAAACUUGAUCUGUUUUAGUUCACAUCAAUUCAUAAUUCCUGUCCACCGUCAAUAACGAAUAGAAUAUGCUGUGUACUAGUGCAGAACUUGAUAUGUAAGAAGAUUAUUAGUCUAAUCUGGUUUAAUUUUAAAGAGUGGACUGGAUUUUAAGGAUGUCACUUGAUGGAUUCUUUUCUUCUUCCUCUUCUUUUCACCAUGUUUGGAAGUUUAGUUAGUGAUUGAUAUUCAGUCCUGUUCACUUGGAAGCAAAAGUUUGGAACUGGGUUUGAUUUAUCGUUUGAUCUUUGCUCUUUUGACCUUAUUGGACUUCUUACAUCGUCUGCUCAUUGGACUUCUGUUGGUGUUGGUCGUACCUUGUGUGCUAAUUGCUAUCUAGUUUUGGUUUCAUUUCUGGGAUUGAUAUUCAGUCCUGUUUCAAUUCAGCUAGCCUGUGGAUGCAUUAACGUUCGUUAGUGAACCGCUGUGGAUGGUUACAGCAUGAGAGUUCAGCUAGGCUCUAGGUGCAUUGCAUUUAGUUGCACAUUUCUAUUGCCUCCAUUCCGAUUUUAAUUAUUUAUUACAGAAAGCCAAAGGAAUAAGAUUGUUUUUGAUCAUUUGAACCAUCUGUUUGAAAAGUGAUUCUUAGCCUAAUCAAUUUGGCAGAUAUCACCCAGAUAAGAAUGGCAGUAAUCCGGAAGCUUCAGAACUUUUUAAGGAGGUCGCAUAUUCUUAUAGCAUCCUAUCGGAUCCAGAGAAGAGAAGGCAAUAUGACAGUGCUGGCUUUGAGGUGCUUCUCUUCUUGUCACCAUCAGUUUAUUAUGAUAUUUUGUAGUAUUAGGUUUAUAUUAACAAUUCUGGAAAAGAUACGUCACUGCUUCCAACUUCCAAGUUCAUGUUUUAUUUACUGUGGAGGGUUUUUAUGUGGCUUUACACAUUUUUCCAUACUUAGUAUCUUAUUUUGUAAUCAAUGCAUUCAGGCCCUUGAUGCUAGUGGCAUGGAUAUGGAAAUAGACUUAUCCAAUCUUGGAACUGUCAACACCAUGUUUGCAGCUUUGUUCAGGUGACACAUUUGUUAAGUUAUUUACUGAUUUGGUCAACUAUAUUUUUCUUGAUCACUUUUAUUUUUCAUUUUCUUUAGCAAGCUGGGUGUUCCUAUUAAGACUACAAUUUCUGCUAAUGUUCUUGAAGAAGCUUUGAAUGGAACUGUUACAGUCAGGCCUCUUCCUAUCGGAACAUCAGUUAGUGGCAAGGUGCAUAACUUGUAGAUCAAGACUGUACAAAAGAAGUAACAUUUCCAAUACUUUUUCUGACAUCUUGUUAGUUUUAUUAUAGGUGGAUAAGCAAUGUGCUCACUUUUUUGGGGUGACAAUUAACGAGGAGCAAGCUCAGACAGGAAUUGUUAUAAGGGUUACUUCAACUGCACAAAGUAAAUUCAAGGUGUAGUUUUGCCAGUAAUUUUCAACCAAAUGGGGCUCAUUUGAUAUGUAUUCUUUUUUCUUGAUUCUUAGCAUUGUUCUUGCGCAUCCACUUUUUUAGCUAUUUCAUGUUUCUGAUUUCUGUGCUUUUUUUUUUUUUCAUUCCAGUUGCUCUUUUUUGAACAAGAUAUCAAUGGUGGUUAUAGUUUGGCCUUACAGGUAAUACCUUCCGAAGUGUAUCUAUAAUUUUUCUAAUUUUUUAAUUGAUAGAGAUGAAAUGAAGCUGUGGGUAUCCGUUGGAUGGCAAUGGUUUUAGAAUCUAGUUUAGGUGCUGUCAUCAAGCAUUUUAGCUCUAGCUUUUUCUUGUUUAUAACCAGAUUAUUAGAAAAAGCUCUUACUCAAAAACGAAGCUUACAAUAAAAUUUUUAGAGGGGUUGAGAAGCCUUGGGAGAGGAGGAUGUGUGGUCCUUGUUAGGUUUCCCUUUCAUGCUUCUUUGAGGACUAUAAUGUGUAAGGCUUUCUUUGGUUGAGGGUUUAGUUUUUUGCCCCUUAUAUAUAUAUAUUAUUUAAUUUUCUCUUAAUAUUAAUUUAAAAAACUAAGCUUACAAUUUUUUUUUCCAACUAAUUAUGGUUCUUGAGGAAUCGAUUUCUCCUUGAAACCUAAGGAAUGUAUUAUAUUUAAUUGAUUCAUAAUCUGAAUGAGGUUACUUCAUCAAGUCAGCUAUGUAGUUUGGAAGGAUUAUCAUUCCUAUGUCUUAAUAUCAAUUCUCCCAUGCACUAUCAUAUGGUUCUUAACUCAUUUCUUUAGCUAAAUAGAUGAAUUGGUUCUUUUCACCAAAAAGAAAAAACAAGAAAAAGAAAAAGAAAAAACAAGGAAAAAAAGGACUGAAUAGAUGGUUUUUUUCCUUCUUCUUCUUCUUCCCUCUUGAGUUUUCCCUUUGAUUUUUGUGUGUAAAUAUUUUCUCCUUCCACUUUUCUGAACGUAAAAUUAAAUUAUUACUACUGUUUAAUAUUUAUGACACCCGAGGACAUACUUUGAACCGUGUUUUAUUGUAGGUUUACCACAAGUAGUUAGAUGAAAACUUUACCAGAUCAGCCACUUGGGUCCCGCAUUGUAAAAUUGUUGCGAGCCAAUUAGUCUUAAAAAUCUGUGAUUCAACUUCAUAUUAUAUUGACUUUAGUUCUGUGGAUUUCCAUUGCUUCUCCAUACAGGAAGAUAGCGAGAAGUCUGGGAAAGUAACGUCUGCUGGUUUGUACUUUUUGCAUUUUCAAGUGUACAGGAUGGAUUCCACUGUCAAUGCGGUAUGGCAAGCUCUAAUUAUGCGUAGUUUACUAAUAUUUCCUACACUUUUGACCAGAAAGGUUUCCGUUUCAUAUUCUUUUGUCGUAAUCAGCCUUGAUGCUUGAACAAACUCUUGUGUUGUUGCAGUUGGCAAUGGCUAAGGAUCCUGAGGCUGCUUUCUUCAAGAGGUUGGAAGGUCUUCAGCCUUGUGAGGUCUCAGAGCUAAAGGCUGGCACCCAUAUUUUUGCUGUUUAUGGUGUUAACUUAGAUUUCUUAAUUCUUCUUUCAAAUUUUGUUCUGCUUGGUGUUAACUGCUUUCUUGACAUCUUUCGUGUUUUUUCAGGAGAUAACUUUUUUAAGACUGCUGCAUAUACUAUUGAGGCACUAUGCACAAAAAAUUAUGAAGAGACAACAGAAAAGCUGAAAGAUAUUGAGGCUCAAAUUUUGAGAAAAAGAAAUGAGCUACGGCAAUUUGAGACAGAGUACCGGAAGGUGUUGAAAACUUUUCCCUCAUUACCCGUUAAUUUUAUGAUUUGUAUAUUAAUUGCUUUGUUAUGAUAUUCCAUAGGCUUUAGCACGCUUCCAGGAAGUCACCAACAGAUACAAUGAGGAAAAGCAGGCUGUAAGUUUUCACAAGUCAUUCCUGUAAUUUAGAUCAUGUUUUUCAUUUUUUCUGGUUUCUUAAUUUCUGAAGGCUUUGAUACUAACUGAUGGGACAACGGCUAGGCUGCUGAUGACUUAAAAGAUAUUUCAGUUUUUUUUCCUUUUUGGUUACAUUUUCACACAUUCUUAGGUCUGAAUUCUUUUUUAAAUUCUCACACAACUAAUGGGUGAAGACCUAUUUCUGGUAGAAGUGGUUGGAUACGACACAAUAUGGACACAUGAUUUAUUUUUAAAAAGUCUAGGUCGGAACAUGAUAAGGGCACAAUUAUUCAAUAUACGAUUUUUUUUAAAAAUUUUAAAAAGCACAUUAUUGGUAUACAUGAAGGAAAUUAAAGGAUAUAAGUUAAUUUUUUAUUUUUUUUUAUGAAAAAGACAACUUUCAUUGAGUAAUAAUGAAAGGAAAACAAGGGGCAAAGCUCGAUACGAACAAGUAAUACGCCUUCUAAAGGAAAGGUUUCCUUCUUCAAUCACUAAAAGUUCCUAAAUGGAAAUUCCUACUAUAUGUAUCCUCUCUAUAUAAAUAUAUAAUAUUUAAUAUAUAUUUAUUAUGGAUAUAAUAGAUAUUGUAUAAAUAGGAUUCUAGUGGAUGAAUCUUCAAACGAGACAUGUACCGAUCGACUAAUCUGGUAUAUUUUCCACAACCUAGUAAAAUACUUCUAAAAGAAUAAUUGCAAAAAAAAUUCGAAACCAAAGCCCAAAGGGAAACAUGAAACCUCACUAAGGACUAAACCUCAGACGGGUUCCUCGAGGCCUUUAAAAGGUCUCUUAUUCCUUUCCUCCCAAAUAUCCCAAACCACAACAGACCUCGACAAGCUAUAAAACACACAAUUUCUUUUUUAGAGGAGGAUGCAAUAAGAACUCCUCAAGCAUAGCAUUUAUCCGUCUCUGGCCAGCAAACUGAAAAUCAAACUCUUGAAAGAAGUUAGACCACACCAUCCUCACAAUCAAGGUUUUUCACCUUCCGGCAGAGAAUACAACAAGACAGACCCAUAAGCGUAGGCGUCUUCUUAGCCAGCCUAUCCAUGGUGCUCACGCGGCCUAACAAAACCUGCCAAGUAAAGAACUAGAUUUUCUUUAGUAUUUUAAUCCUCCAAAUCUCGUUAAAAGUCGAAGUUCGUAGAUUCCACAUACUCACCUAGUGUAUGGUACAUGUCUAACAAAUAUGGAUUUUGUAUAGCUAGUAUCUAUUGUGCAUUUGUGCUAACAAGUGUUCGAUGUGUGCAACAAGUGUCUGACUCAUUUCAGACAUGAACACGUUAGCCAAACUAGAGUGUCCCUACCUCUUUAAUGGGAGCACAUCUUUUCUUUCUCUUGGACUUUCCAUCCUUUGUUUGGUAGGAAAAUGAUAGACAUUGUGGUUGAUUUAUCCUUGAUUCCGGAGCUUUGUAUUAGUCCAAAGGGACAAGUGUUCAACAUGUGUGUCUCGAGUGUUGAAAUUGUAUUCAUUUUGUCAAACCUUGCAGGAACGGUUUCCCCAUUUGAAGCCCCAAUCCCACUGGGUGUUUUUCCUCUUGCUCCUUCUUUUAGAGUUUGUUUAACCAUACUUCUUCUAGUGAGUUUGUUCUCUCAUCACUAUGGAAGGUGGAAAUUCCAAAGGGGAUAAAGUUUUUUUUUUUUAAUCUAGAAGGCAAUUCAUGGACGAGUGAACACGUUAUGACAACUUUAGACGAAGUUAUUCUCUUCGAUCGGGCCACACCAUACUGUCUCAUUCUUUCUUAAGGUGAGGAAAAAUGAGAUUAUAUCCUUUGGAAUGCUUAGUUGGUUUGGAGUUCUAUUUUUCAUUUUUUAUUUUUUUUCAUUGGCACGUUUGGUUUUAGGUGGUGACAGAGUGCUAGGGAGAUCAUUGAAAUGCUCCUCCUCCAUCUCCCUUUUCGUGAGAAGGGGAGGAUUUUGUGACAAAUAACCUUAUGGACCACUUGAUCUGAUACCACAUUAAUUUUCUGAUUGACCAAAAAGUUUAAGUUAAUGGUUGAAGGAAAACAUAAUAUUAUAUCAUCUAACACUUUCAAUCUGUCAAUUUCCCUAUAAUAUUGAAUAGAAAAUCUAGAGGCACAGUAUUUGCCCGAAGAGGCAGUUGACAUGAUUCUUUAACUCUUCUCAAGAGACAGUCUCGUAAGUUAGUUGGAAGCUAAUAAUUGGAAGCUCUAACAUGCACAUACAGUUGCAGGCUCUAUACUGCCCUUCUCCUUUACGUUCAAGGCCAAGAUUGAUUUUGUGCUCUAAUUGAAUGUUUCAAAUUGGUUUCUUGUCUAAGUACUUUCCUCUUUGAGGAGGAAAUAGCAAUGUUUGUUGCAUUUUCCAUUAAAUAUUCAGGCCUUUCUUUAGGUGGGAAUUCUAGGUGCAUUACCUUCUGAUAGAAAAAGUAUAGUUAGGAAUCUUGUAAUUUUUUGAAAGGGUAGACUGAUGUCAUAGUCAGUUGUAAAUAUUCUUCCAACCUAUUUCUUAUUGUUGUUCAACGCAUUCUCAAAUAUAGCUAUAAGAGUUUGCUAAUCUUCUGUGAUUGUUUUCGGGAGGGCCUUAUCUUGAUGAAGGGUCUCCCCAGAAAUUUUGUAAAAUUGAGCUUCCUUUGGGUUUUGAUGGUCCAACUUUUUGUAGGAUUGCCAUAAGGAACACCAAGUUUUUCCUAUGGAGUCUGUGGAGAGACCAAACCGAAAAUUUAGGAGGCGACAAAAAUUGACCGAACUACCGACCUAUUUGGUUGGUGGUUGGUUAUCCAAAAAAGUGUUAAAUUGAUCAAUUGGCCAUAUACACACACACAUACAUACAUAUAUAUAUCCAUACGUACAUAUUUUAUAGGUAAUUUACCUAUUAUGAUAAUAUUUUUUUAACAUUUCAAUUCUCUUUCUAUUUCCUCUCCCUCUCUUGCCCAUCUUCUUUCUUUUAUUUUCUUUCUGAUUUUUUCCCUCUCCCUUCUAUCUUAAUCCUCUUCAUCUUCUUUCUAUUUUUCUUCUCCUGGCCAUGGCCACGAUUUUUUUUCCUCCCAAACAUAACUGUGUUUGCUAGAAGCUUGGAAAUGCGUGUGUAGAGACUCCACCAAUAAAAUACUAAAAUACCCAAACAAUUGGCAAACAGAGACAAUACUCUGAAGGUCUUUAUUUAUGUAUAAAUGCCAAAAGAUACAGUAGAAGGAAAAAUAAAAGAAAGCAACAAAGAUGAUAAUAUCAUGUCAAACCUCCCUAGGAAAGGAUAGUAUUCUGUCCUAGACCUAGCAGCCUCUACAGACCCAAUGAAGACAAAAAAGUUGACCUAGCCCCCAAUCCCGAUAAGGCCUUAUUUAUAGCUCUUUUCUCAUUCCUCCCCGUGGGCCCCACUCUCAUGUUCUUUUCCUAAUUUUCUCCCCUUUUCUGCUGCGUGAGCUUUUACGUUUUUACCCCUCCUUUUGUAUGUAUGGAUAAUAGGGGGCCUUACAAUACCCCUUGGUUCCAGGCUCACCUUGUCCUCAAGGUGAAAGUCAGGGAAUUGUUGGUUCAUUUGGAAAACAGAUUCCCAAGUUGUUUCACUGUCCGGCAGCCCUUUCCACUUAAUUAACCAUUCAUUUCCUCCCAAUUCCCGAUUCCAACGGACUCCCAACACUGUUUCUGGCCAUAAUUGUAACUCAAACUCUUCCGUUAGCCUAGGUUGCUGGUGUUGAACAGCUUGUUGACUACCCAGUUUCAGUUUUAACUGAGAAAUAUGGAACACAUUGUGGAUACUGGCUUCCGGCGGUAACAUCAAUCUGUACGCAACUGCUCCUAUUUCUUCAGUAAUUUUGUAGGGUCCGUAAUAUUUAGGUGCUAACUUUUCACACUUCUUCCGAGCCAAGGAGCGUUGCCGGUAAGGUCUCAAUUUCAAGUAGACUUCAUCUCCUACCUUAAAUUUUAACUCUCUUCUAUUUCGAUCAGCCAUUUUCUUCAUCCUGUUCUAGGCUACACACAGGUGUUUUUUUAAGGCAUUGAUGGCUAAGUCACGUUCCUUCAGCAGCGUGUCAACCUCAUUAUUAGGAGUUUUCUUGUAACCAUAGGAUAACAGGGGAGGAGGCGGUCUGCGGUAUACCGUCUGAAAAGGGGUCAUUUUGGUGGAUGCAUGGAAGGUGGUAUUAUACCACAAUUCUGCCCAUGGAAUCAGUCUAUCCCAUUUUUUUGGUUGUUCAUUACAGAAGCAUCGCAGAUAAGUUUCGAGACAUCUAUUUACCCUUUCUGUCUGCCCAUCAGUUUGUGGGUGAAACGCGGUACUCCUCUUUAGAAUAGUUCCCAUGGUUGCAAACAGUUCCUUCCAAAAAUUACUAAGAAAGAUUUUAUCCCGAUCUGUGAUAAUCGACUUAGGAAUGCCGUGCUUGCUUACUAUUCUGUCGAUGAAUAUGGAAGCAACUUGCUUGGCUGAAAACGGAUGUCUCAAUGAUAUAAAGUAAGAAUACUUACUCAGCCGAUCAACUACCACCAUGAUCACAUUAACCCCUCCAGCUAGUGGCAACCCCUCAAUAAAGUCCAUGGUCCAAUCUUCUAAGAUUCUGUCAGGAAUUGGAAUUGGUUGAAGUACCCCAGCUGGUUUGGUUGCUUCGUAUUUGUUUCUCUGGCAGAUCUCGCAUUGUUCCACAUAUUUCUUUAUUUCAGCCUUCAUACCCCUCCAAUAUAGUUCUCCACUGAUCCUCUUGUAAGUUCUUAAAAAUCCAGAAUGUCCCCGAGGAUAGAAUCGUGGAAAGUAUGUAGGAUCUUGGGUAUAAGUGUAGAAGUUUGAGAUACUACCAUUCUCCCCUUAUAGAGCAAUCUCCCUUUUUCCACUUGAAAUUUGCUUCCUUCGUCUGCAUUUUUCUUCAGAUUUUCUAUAAUUUUCUUAAGUUCAGCAUCAUUCUCAACUUCCUGCUCGAUUAGUUUCACAUCAAUAAUUCCAGUAGUUGUCGUCAAGCUGUGCAGCUCCACCGGUUGCUCCAUUCUAGAUAGGUCGUCCACUACCUUGUUCUGAAGUUCGGGUUGAUAUAAAAUCUCAAAAUUAUAUCCAAGGAGCUUUGUCAACCAUUUCUGGAAUUGAGGCUGUACCUCUCUCUGUUCAAGCAAGAAUUUAAGAGCCUUUUGAUCUGAAAGUAUGGUGAACUUCCUGCCCAGCAAAUAAUGCCUCCAUUUUUGAACUGAUAGAACUACAGCCAUCAACUCUCUUUCAUAGAUGGAUUUGUUUUGAGCCCUUGUGGAUAACUUCUGACUGAAAAAGGCAAUCGGGUGGCCAUUUUGAGAGAUCACCGCUCCUAACCCUACGCCAGAUGCAUCAGUUUCGAUAAUAAAGGGAAUGUUCCAAUCUGGUAAUGCCAACACUGGUAGAGUAGUCAUUGCUAGCUUCAAAUUUUCGAAGGCAGUAUUUGCUUCUUCAUUCCACUUAAAAGCAUUCUUCUGUAAUAACUUGGUCAGCGGUGCAGCGAUCUCUCCAUAACCCUUGACAAACCUCCUAUAAUAUCCUGUCAGCCCUAAGAAGCCCUGCAGACCAGUUACAUUUGUUGGUGGUGGCCAAUUAAUCAUCUUCUUGAUCUUAUCCUCAUCUGCCUCAACUCCUCUUUUGGAUAUCGUAUGCCCCAAGUACUGUAUUUGAGAAUGGGCUAUAACAAUGUUGACACACUUUUCUACCGAAACCAACUAACUGCUGUGUAGUCAGUCAGUCAGUUUCAUAGGCACUCUCAAAAAUGACAACUGCCAAUUGUUCAAAAUAGAUAGAUCAGUGGUCGGCAUCAGCUUUAGCCCAAAACUGACAUUGAUUACAGAUGAUCACCCCUAGAAAGCCUGGAGGAGAAUAUUUGUAGUAUAAUUCUCAGUUUCUCACUAAUAUUCAUGGUGAGGAUGAGCAUGGUUGUCACUCGCCUGAGAAAGCUUUGGAAAGGGAUACCUUGGACACAUUUUUGGCCUUCAACAUCUGUGGAAGAGAUAUUUUCAUCUUUCCUUCUAGGAAAACUGAGAUGGUUACAGAAUUGACUUUUGGUAAUAUUUUGGAUGUGGAUUGAAGUUCCUUUACAUUGUUUGAGAUUGUUUAUUUGGUUCUAUUUACCGGUCCCAAAUCAGCAAUGGUUUUCAGUUAUUGGGAUGAAUAAAUAAGUUCUUAGGCUUUGUAAUCCCUGCAGAAACUUUGGAGAGGAGGUUAAAAGAAUGACUCUUUUGUGGUUCACCUUGAAAAUGUUUCCCUUUUGACUAGAGAGGACUGAGAUGCUGGUAGAAAGGUAUGGUGGCUGGACCUUCAAAUCCACAUUAGGUGGACAAUUCUUAUUAAUUUUCUAUUCUUCUUUUUAGUUUACGUGGUCUUUUCAAAUUUGUAUACUCUAGUCUCUUCUCCUUUCCCCUGGCCCUUCUUUUUAUCCUUCUUCUUCCUCUUUCUCCUUUGUCUUCCUCUUCAUCAACCAAUCUACAUCCUCUCAGCCUCAUCCUUCUAUGCUGGCUCAUCUACUUCUUCUUCACCUUAAUCAAGUCCCGCUCCCAUCUAGAUGUCCAAGACGACAUCCAUUGCUAAUGCUUAUAGAGCCCUAAUUGUUAAGGCAAACAUAUUUGCCAGUAUGACCAAGUCUGCUAGCACCAAGAAGAUCAGGGCAAUUCUGUCCAGGCUGUUCACUAUGGCAUCCUCAAGCUCUAUGACAUCUAACUAGGGCCUGGGUCAAAUUUGAAGUUAGCAGUGUUGCAUUGGAUGUCACAUUCAGUGUCAAAGUCGGUUCCGAUGAUAAAGUUGGGGACUGAAGUACCAGAUUCUGUGAAGGAUUUUGUCCCUAUGGUGUUAUCGAGGCUGGUGGAGCUUGAUAGUGGAGAAUCUUGCAGCAUUGGUGCAGGAUCUUUUUUUCUUUUUUUUUUUUUUAAUUAUUGAAUUAAAUGGCUUUCAUUAAGAAAAAAAAGAAAAAUACACGGGCACACAAAAAACGAAGCCCACAAAAAACAGAGACAACUCCAGGAAGAUGGCCCUAUACAAAAUGUCAAGAAUCAAGAAGAUAAUUACAAGAAGUCUUCGAAAUCAAAGCCUAAAGAGAAACAUGAUAAUGAAUAACCAACCGAAUCUCCUCACUCCCCUUUUCAACUCGGCUAAACACUCCUAUUCCUCUCAUCCCACAAACCCACAUGAUGGCACAAACACAAGCAUGCCAAAGAAACCGGCCUGUUUCCCCACAAGGCAGAUUAAGGAAAAACUCCUUGAUCAUCCCUUGGUGCAGGUUCUGCUCUCGGCUGUUGGAGUGGUUCGGUUAUAUAAACUGAGAAGGAUUUGAACUUCAAACCUUGCAAUAAUUGGAAUGGUUAUGCUAAUCGGUAAGUGGUGAAUGUGAAUCUUGUCGCUGUUUUCUAAUUUAGACUAGUGUUGGGGAACUCUUGUGAUUUCUCCUGCAUAUCUCUAAUUGAAAGGUCCGUUUGAUAACUAUUCGAUUUUUAGUUUUUGGUUUUUGAAAAUCAAACUCAUUAACACUACUGCAUAUCUCCAAUUGAAAAAAAUGAAAAUAAUAUGAGAGCAUACAAAAACUCAAGCCCACAAAACUUUCUUUGUUUUGUUACUUACUUCAUGGUAUUUAAAAAUCAAGUCAAGUUUUGGAAACUAAAAAAAAAAAGCAGUUCUUGAUUUUUAUAAGUUUGAUUAAGUAUUCAAGUGCUUUGGUAAGAAAUGUGAAAAAUGAAAAUCAUGCUAAGAAAAUUGGGAUCAAAAUAUAAAUUUAAAAACUAGUAACGUAAUAGGUUAUGUAGUGGGGUUUUGCUGGGGAGAUAAUUCUCUAUGUCAGUCUAAGUUCGCUAAGAAAGUUCAGAAAUUCCUUUUGGUGGCAGAUCUGGAUCUGGCGAAUAGUAAUACAAGCAUUAGGAAUCAAAGGAAAUGUUUCUAAACCCCUGCUUGUUGCUAUUUAAACGUAAAGCGCUUGUGAGCAAUAUGUUCAUGCAGCCAGUUAUGUAAUCCUAAUACUAACCACAAAUAUUGGUGGAAAUUAUUCAAUACUUUCAGUCUUAAGUGGUGCAUUGUAUUGGCUUAAAAGAAAAGCACAGCGUAUCUGAUUUUAUCCGAUCAGUGCAAUCUGGUUCGAAAAUCUGGAUGGACAUAUCAUCUAAAUUGAAGAUCAAAGAAGAGAUAAUAAUGAGAUUUGGGAUUUUUGAUUUGUGCGCUCUUAAGAUUCUUUUUGAUAACCUUGUGAAUUAUUGACUAAAUUUGAACAAAAAGUUCUAAGACUACUGUUUGUAGUUUUCAAAACUAAAAAAGAGAAAAUUCAUGGUUAGAAGUAGUGUUUAUAAGCUUAAUUUUUAUUAUUUGAUACAAGGUCUCCUUCAUGAAGUUCUAUUUCGUUCUUUGAUUUCAUGUAUUCUUACACUAUAUUUUUAUCCUUUGGAUAGGAGGGUAAACUCUGUUUUGCAUAGUUUGUUGUGUCUUUUUAUCACGUCAUUUUCUGUAGACUAUGGAUAUGCCAUUGGUUCUUCCUUUCUCUAUGAAUUUCUGAAGAUUUUGAAACUCAGGUGGACGAGCUUCUUAAACAACGGGAUGGCAUACAUGCUUCAUUCACCAUCAUGAAAUCAUCAAAUCACAUAGGGGCUGGUGCUACGAGUAAUGGAAGUAGUAGUAAAUCUACCGUGGAUGACUCAAAGGUUGAGAAUCAAGGAGGAGAAGAUGGAACCUCAGAUGAAAAAGAUAAAUCUUUUAAAAAGAGAUGGUUCAAUAUUCCCCGAGGAUCCGACAAAAAGCUUGGUUGAAAGAAUCAUCCGCUAAGGUUACUUUUCUCUUUUCCCAAACGUAACAAAAAGAAACUUGCAAUCAUUUUGCUUGUAAUACUUGGGUCUCUGUUUUGGUGUAUGCUUUCCAGGGUUUCAACAAAAUUUGCCAUUCUUUCUCCCAUCAGAGUUAAGGUAAGCUAUUGAUUAGGCAUUACAAUUUGCUUCUCAAAGACAUAGCCAAAGUAUAUUAAAUUUGUGUGUAAAUAACUCAAAUACCUUCAUAUAUUAAAUUGGUUUGUGUUGGAUACAUGCUAUUUUUUUGCUUCUUCAACUUUUCUUUUAUCAGGCCCCUAUAGGUAUUUUUUUGUGACAUUUGGAAGCAUGGCUGAGUAAAGCCCAAAUUUUGAUGAUUGGGGGGUUUGGAAAUGUUAUAUCCUAUUUUCUUGGUUCAUAUAUUUCUCAUGUAUUUAUCUUUUGUAUUGGACUAGAGAAGUAUUUGGUUUUGUUUUCAAUUAAAUUAUACCAUUUUGUGAAUUUAGGGAAGUAAAUUGGAAAUCAAGUCAAGGUUAUUGACUAAACUAGGUGGUUUGGAAGUUUCAAGGCUUAAAAUGGAACAAUCUCGAGAAAGUUUAAGUACGAAAAAAUAUAUCUAAUACUAGACAUGUUCGAGAUUGAUUUUAAAAUGUGAUAUCGAUGUUGUGUUCUCUUCUCAUACCUAUCGGAGAUGAUAGUAAGGGUAAAAAAAUAGGUUUGGUUUGGUUUAGUUUGAAAAAAAGAAGAAAGAAAACAUCUUUCAAUGGUCUUCCAACUAAAUUCACUAAAACAUGGAAAAGUUGUGAUAAACCAAAGGUUUCAAACCAAAAGACUUCUAUCAACCUCUACCGUAACAGAUUUACUAUAGUCUAUUUUGACGGUAAGAAAUAUAGAAAAUUUUGUUAUUUACUAUUUUACCUAUUUAUAGUUUAACUAAUUUUUUUAUAUUUAAGAAGUUUGCUUAAGCUAUUUAAUUAUUCAUCUUCGGUUUACUUAUAAGAGGAGAUAUAUAGAUGUGUUAAAUACCGAGUCACGUUUUGUUAGAAAGUUGUCUAGCUAAAUAUAAAACACUCACCUCUCAAUACAAAAUUAUUUUCUUUUAUUCUCAAGCAAUUUUAGGAAAAAUCAAUGAAAACAUAAACAAAUUUAUAAUUGCAAAAUUAAAUAUCAGAAUGCAUCUAAUCAUUUUUAUAUUUUUUUUAAAGUACAACUUGAGUGGUAGAUUUCAUGUUGGCUUUUUACAUCUUAUUAGUGAUGAAAUAAUCAAAGACCAUAUAACAAAUAUUUUUUAAUUCCCCACAUGUAUAAUAUAAUUACGCAAGACUUAUGAUAUGGUAUUUCUCAAUUAGCAGUGCUCUUCAAAUAAUGUGGAAUAGUUAAUUUGGGUAAUAAGAAGUUGAUCAUCAUCAUGAUCAUCCAUGAUUUCUAACCUCAUCCACCUCCACAUAAUUAAUUCAUUAAUAUAAACAUAACAUCUAGAUGAUUAGCUAACACAAAUACUAUAUUAUUAUAUAUUUUGCAUUUGAAACCACAACUUGGUCCUAGGUUAUUCAAAUGAUCAAAAUAAACCAUAUUAUAUCAGACAGAGAGAGACCGACUUUCAAAGAAGAAACAUUAAAAUAAUGGGUUUUUGAGGGUUUGUUUUUACUGAAAUUUGUUUGUUCCUAUUCUGAUGUAUCCUAACAUGGCUUCUUAAGGGUCGAUGCAUAUGGUCCAAUGUAUUUGUGUCUAUUUGACAUCUUCUCUGCCAUAAAUUCCCCCAAAAUUUGACCCUUUUCUUUAUCCAAAUCAGGGCAUUCUUUAUUUUUAAUGUAUGAUUACUCUUUUUGGGAGGCAAAAUUAUAUUAAACAUUAACAUCCCUUAUCAUUUGUCUGUACUGCACCCGCCCAUAUCCAUUCAUAUUUCAUUUUUAAUUAAACUACCUUCAAAUAUAACAAAAUAAACAAAUAUAUAUAUAUAUAUUUUCUUACCAAGUUUAGAAUCAAACUUACUAGAGUUUUAACACUGGUUUUUAAAAUGUAUGAUACAAAUUUAGAAGUCAAAACUGAUUUUUUUCUUUUCCUUGUAAAAAGUUGAUGAAAGUCAGACAAUAAAAAUGGUGUGGACAACAAUUAGAAUAAUAGAUCACAUGUAUGUGUAAGGAUAGGCAGAAACUGGAUAGAAAAACAUAAGAAAAGUGUAGAAUAAAAAUUGGAAUAGUUCUGGAAAUGGAUAGUAAGCAAAGAAAAAGAAAGAAAAGAAAGAAAGAAAAAAAGAGAGGAAAUUUGAUAAAUGUAUGGAAUCCCAUGUUAGGGACAUAAAGGUUGUCUGUCCCAAACAUUAAACAGUUUAGUUCACGUGUUGUUUUACGUGGUUUCUAUCGAAAUUUUUUAUAGUAUUACGAGAAUAUAAUACCGUCUUUGUUCACGCUAUAAAAUUUGUUCAUAAAUAUUUGUCUACUACAUAUUAUUAGAUCUUACAUCCUAUUUUAAAAAUAGGUUGAAGUGACACAUAGUAAAUAAAAAUGUAAAGACUUACCAUCACAUCUCUAUAAGAGUCUCUUGAUAAAUACGAUUGAUCUAGUAUGUGACGAUGAGGUAGUUUUAAAAGAUUAUAUUUAUACGUUUUACUAUAUAAAUUUAAUUAUACCUACAUUGUAAUAUUCUCUUCCAUUUUUUAGUUUACAAAUUUGUAAGACUCAACGAGUGAAAAUUAAUAAUAUUAAUAUGAAUUUACCCAAACAGUAAAUUUAAUUAUAUAUUAAAACUUUAACAUUCUUGUUUAUUUGUGGGGUCGAAAAUUUGUACAAGACCCCAACAAGUAAGAGAUUGAAGAAAAAAUGGCAUCACACACGUGUUUGAUUAAUACACCAUAACGUAAUUCUAGUUAUUCACGUUAAAUCAGUGAUUGAUUCAAAAGUUUAAAAGACUUUUAAAUGUGUUUGGUUAAUGAAAAAGUAAUUGAAUAAUUGUGAAUGUUUUGGUUCGGUUGCAUAUCUACAUAACCAAACCUAUAUUAUAUGAUUUGAAAAAAGAUAAACAAAUCCACCUGAGAUUUAGGUGAACCUUCAAGCAGAGAUUCAUUCUAACUCUGCACAAUAUAUAUUUUACAAUGAUGAUGAAAUUUACACUAGAAAAAACAAUAGAUAUAAACAAGUAUAUGCUUUUUCGAGAGAAAUACACAUUAUUCUAUAGAAAAAGAGUUUUCUUUUUCUUUAAAUUGCAUUGUAUCACUUGUACCAUGUGAUGUUUUUGUCCCUCCAAAUUUUCAAAUAUUGAAUUAAUGAUAUGAUCUCUAGCUUUAUUGUUGUUUAUAUUUGUCGACAAGUACAUUGCAGUAAAUAUACAACAGAUCUCUGAUCGCGAUUUUCUUUCUUUGUUGUCUUCCGUUCGUAAGGAUCAAAUUUACUCCACUAACUUUAAAAGAAAAAGAGUAGUUAAGUUUAAUUUUGUGUGGUUCAAAAUCUUAUAAGUUUAAGAAAGUGAAUGUUGCACGUUAAGAUUAGAUAGUUGUUGUCAUAUACAAUAAGGUCGGGAAACUUAUAAUUUUUAAGUAAUUUAUGUAACUUAAUUAUUUUGAAAAUGAAGUGAGGUGUGUUUUCAAUUUGCUUUUCACCUAAUUCAACUUUAUAGUUUAGAAUUGUUUUUUUUUUUUUUUUUUUGGUUUUGUUUUGUUUUGAAAUAGAAGUCAUGAGUUAAAAUUAGAGAAGUGAUGAUGUUGAAAUGUUUGUAUAUUGUCAAUGUCAUGUGAGGAUGUCUAUUAAAGUCUGUGGGUUGGAUGUUAUGUAGGUGAAUUGAUGUUGGUUUGCCCAAGUGUUCCCCACUUCUCUUCAUUUUCCAAACUAAACCAACUUUUUAAUCUCUCGCUCUCUCUCUAUCUCUCUCUUAGUCUAAUUUCUUCUUCAAAACUCUAUUUCCCUCCCCCCCUCUCUCUCUUUCAUGCUAACAUAUGUUUGAUUGAGAGAGAGAGAGAGAAUGAAAAAUCACAACAUUAACAAUCAUAACCUUAACCUUAUGUAUUUUCAAGAAGUUUGUUCAAUUUUUCUUUAAAGUAUAGAGAUUGCUUGUAUUAUAUUAACCUUUUUAAUUUGAAACAUAAUCUGUAAAAGAGGGAUUUAGGGCAUGAAAACAAAGUUAUGUUUGGAGGGUUUUUAUCUUUUGCUUUUUUCAGAUCCUUCCAAAAUCAAUGGGUUUGCCCAAGGGAAAAGAAAGAAAGAAAAAAGAUGAUUAAGAAAGUUUAAUUAAUGGGGGGGGGUUUCUUACAUGAUUCAAUCAUGUCCUAAUUUUAAAAAGUUAAUAAAUAUAUUGUGGAAUUGAAACAAAAAAGCUUUUUGGUUCCAUUGGGCAUAGUUAUUGAUAAACACAACUUGGGGUGGGCCAUUAAUUGUGAGAUUUGAGCAAAUCUUAGAUAUGAUAAUAUCUAUAGACAUCAAUUAAUUCAAUCAACCAACCCAAAAAGCUAUCAUUAUAAUUAAACUCUAACAACUAAUUUAAUAUAUUACUUGGUGGAAACCAUUACAACACAAGAUGAUUAGAAAGUGAGUGAGAGAGAGAGACAUUGUCUCUUAUUUAUUAUUUUCAAUCUUUUCCUUAAUCUUUCAUAAAAGUAAAAAAAGUACUUUGCUAUCAUUUAAUAAUUAGGUUAAAUAUAUGUUAAAGAGAAAGAUUUGUGACCCUUUAUUUUGAAGCCUAUGGGGGUAGAAGUUUGUGUAAAAUUUGGAAAGUUUUACAUUCUCACCUUUUUUCCAUUCCAAAAUUCUUUUAACACCUUUUAAAUAUCACAUAUAAAAAUCUCUCUUUUUAGUUCUUUCUUCACUAUUUUCAAAAUUAUAAAAACUUGUUUUUGUUCACUAUAUUAUUUGAUUUUUUUGUAAUGUAAAUGUGUGAAUUUAAAAUUUGCGUACAAAAAAAAAAAAAAAAGAAAAAAUAAUACAUUUUUCAUGGAAUAUUGUUGAGGGAGUGGAAGUUUUGAAUCCAAAGAAAAUUAUUGAUAUUUGAGAAAAGAAAUUUAUUGAUGUUUCGAAGAAAAACCAUUUCAUAAAUAUAAUUGUAGUAAAUGAGAUUUGAACUCACAACCAAGGGGUGCACAACCACUACAAUUGAGCUGAAUUUAGACAAGGUAAAGCUAAAUUUAAUAUAUAUUAUAAUCGAGCACUUCAAAAUUAAUAUUAAAAAUACAAAAGCUAAUAAUACAAGGGGGGAUGUCCGUAGCCCCUUAAUAAAUCCGCCCUUAGAAGUAAGUGGAAAUUGAAAAUGAGUUUUUAACGUGGUAUUGAGAGAAGCUCAAUUGCAGAAUGCAAUUUCUUAACAAGUUUUGGUUAUGAAGGGUGAGGGGAUCACACACUUAUAGAAAACCUAAGUAUGUUGCAUUGAUUAGGAAAUAUCACACACAUUGAAACCUAUAGAAAUGUUAUCGUGUGGAAGUGAUUGGAAGAUGUUUAAAUUUAGGAAGAGCCUAAGUUGGAAGUAAAAGAGUAAGCCGUAGGGUGUGAGUAACUAAAAAUGGAAUUUAUCAAAUAAAUACUUCAUUGUAAUUACUAAACUCUUUAUGUUGUAAUUUUUUUUUCACUUAACACAAAACGUUUCAAACGUAGGUGAUAUUACACCAAUAAUAUUUUGUGCAUCUCUAUAUCUUUGUUGUUUAUACCAAAUUGAGAGACAUAACUCUGAGAUCACUUAUGUUAAUUAAUAUAUUGUCCAUUAGUAUGAUAUUAUUUAUUUUUAGGCACAAACUCUCGAGACUUUACUUUUAAAAUUACGAAUGUUGCUGGAGUUAUUCCAAACCGUAUUACCAACCGUCGGCUAACAUAAGAAUGUUAUUACUUAGUAGUAAUUCUUUAAGACUAUUAAAAUCACUUGUCUAGAAAAGAUGAUGUGAUGGUGAAAAUAAAAUUGCAAUAGUCUUUUCAUUUUAACACGUAUCUAAGAUUUAAACUUACUUUUUCUUUUAGGCCAUAGAAUCUCCCAAAUAAGCACUUUGUGCUUUUAUAGAUUUAAAAGUUCAAAAUGUUGGUUUCUAAUUUAGUCUAAGUAUAAAAUUUUCCCCUUCUUCAAACUUCAAUCAAAAUAUAUACCCAUAAAUUUUAAGAGUUUAUCUAUAAAAAAAAAAUUACAAAUUACAAAUUACACCUAUAACUAUAUACAUAUAUAAAGCUAUAUCACUUAAAAAUCGACUCAAAAUCACUUAAAACAAAAUAUUAUUUUCUCAAAUUCCUAUAUAAGCUGUAGUAAAAAAAUUAUCAUACACAAAUUUCCAAAGACAAACAUAUUUAAUCACAUAAAUUAAUAAAAUGACUAAUUAGAUUUUUGAGAAGAAAAAAAAAUGACAAUUGAUUUGAUUAUAAAGAAUUCUUGAACAUACCGUUUAAUCGUUUUUAAAUCAAAAUUAUAAAAACGAAGCUUUUACCUUAUUAAUUAUUACCAAUAUUUGGUUCUUAUAUUGUUAAAUCUUUUAACUAAGUCGACAUAUUUUAUCUUUUAACUAAGUCGACAUAUUUUUGUAGUGUAGUGUGUAAAAGUUUUUCAAUUAAGUCGACGUAUUCGUAACGCUUAGUUGAAUAAUGUUGUAUUUUAAUUAUUUUAAAUACAUAUUUACAUAUAUAAAUAAAUAAGGUAAGAGAAGAAUACAUAAAUGAACAAUGUUCUCACCACCCAAGUGAAUAAAAAUUCCCAAACAAAAGAAUAAUAUUAAUAAGAUAUGUACAUGGUUAUAACACAAUACACAUAUAUGAGUAGUGGAUCAUACAUAAAAACUAAAUAGAUGGGUCUAGAAUCCACAAAAUAUGAAAAAAAUCAUAUAUAUAAUUGAGAGACUCAUUAUUUAUUCUAAACUUUUAAGUCACUUUCCAACAAUAAUCUCCCUUUCUCUUAAAGUCUUAAUUAGUCGGCUUUCUUUUAAUUUCUCUUAAAACUCAGUUUCUAACCCACUUCCCAAUCUCUCUAUCAACUUUUGGUGAUCUGCCUAUGCUUUUUGGCUUUGAAAUAUCUUCGACAUAUUAGUGAAAGUUCAACACAUUUCAAAAUAUUGGAUUUUUUUCCUUCACGAUAUUACAUAAUAUUAAACAAGAACGUAACUAUUUGUAGCUUAUUUGGACUGUUUUUGUCCUCGUUUUAAAUUUUGUAGUCGAAGUAAAAAAAAACCAUAUAUUUAUUUUAACACACUUAAAAAUACAUUCAAAACAAUAUAAUGCUUACACAUGUAUAAAAAUAUGUAAGUUAGGUAGGUACGAAAAAUGUCACCUCAAUUAUUAUUGUUUUGUGAAGUUGACUGUGGCUUUUCCCCUAUGAGUUGGGCAGUGUAAACUAAGCAACAACUAAAAUCAUUGGAUUCAUAAAGCAAAUUAAUCACAUAAAGAUAGUAGGUAGGUAGGGUAAGGUAGGCAAUGUAUAAAUGGGGUAAUGUUUAGUAAAAAUACAUGCAUGUACACUUUUAUGGCUUCUUUAGGGAGGUGUUCUCAAUUUCUUUUUUAUACAACCUAUUGUUGCAUCUAACAUCGCCAUGGAAGUCCUCAUUUCUUUUUUAUAAGCAACGACUUAAUCAAGGUUCCCUCUUCCUACGCCCAAAAGAAGGGGUACUGCCUAAAAUUCCCCUCUUCGCCUUCUUCUUCGCGCCUAUUUUUUUCCAUUAAUAAGUUCAAAGGGCUUUAAAACUCCUUACUAUUUUUGCUCCUUCCAAAUAUAUAUGAUUCAUACUCGUUAAGAAUCCUUACAAUAUCCCUGUCUUAUGGAUUAUCCAACUAACCUAUGCGAUCAGUCCUUCAGACCAGCUAACUAUCCAUAUUGGAAACUAAAAAAGUUGAAAACUCAUCCUUCGCUCAUGCAAUAUUAUUUAAUAAUGUCUAAAGAGAAUAAUAUAGUUGAACUAAGUUUUUAUUUAGACAAUUUUUUACCAUAGAAUUAGGGUUUUUAUUCGAUUGUGCAACUUGAAAACAAAAGUUUUAAAAUAAAAAAAUUUAUAAUAUUUCAUGUUUUCAUAUAUGUAUUUGAUAAUAAGAUUCAAAAAUCAAAAUAUAGUUUAGAAAAUGGUUCAAAUUUUAGAUAAUAUAGUUAUAAACCAUAAAUUUAAUUAGAGUUAAUAACUAAAUAUUAGGUUCGAAUAUAAACUACCUGUUCAUUUGAUUUAUGAACUUGUUUUACGUUAAAAACUUAUAUAAUAAUUAUUUUAUAAAAUUUAUCAACUAACUUAUAAUUAUAUUAUAUGAUCAUCUAUAUUUUAAUUUAACAAAAAUAACCAAGUUUAUAGCAUUUAAUAUUAUAUUUUACUUUUCCUUUUCAAUGUACGUAAUUAUAUAUUUAAAAUUUUAAAAAUCAAAAUCUAAAUAUACUAAAAACAUGCGCACACAAAAUAUUAUUUUAAAAACAAAAUCAAGAUUAUUUCUUUGUCAUAUAUGAAUUCUUUUAAACGGAAAACAUAAAACUUAUUUAUCAUAAAUAGAAUUUUAUUAUUUUUAACAAAUCUCAAGUUUUUUUUUUUAAAUUAAAUAAAUUCAAUCGAUCCCCUAAGAUAUCUCAAUUAGAACACUCUUCUCGUCUUCUAAACAUAAGAGUUUUAAAACAUUCCACUUUGCGUUCAUUCCGUCAAUUAUCAAUCCAAUAAAUAAAAAAAAAAGGGUGUCUAUCAAAUCUAAACAAAAAAAAUUGCUACAAAUUAAAAAGUUAAACAUGGUUAAAAUUGAAAAUAAAACCAAUAAUUUGAGACAAAAAUUGGAUUGGCCCACAGUACUCCCACACAUAUAUCAAUACAUUUAUUAAGUAAAAGUAAAAAGAAAGAUUAAGAAAAAGGGCUUUUGACCUAACUCUAGUUGAAAAGAUUGAAUUAAAAUGGAUGAUUUAAUUAUGCAUAAUGAUCAUGUGAUCAUGUAAUGAUUUGAAAGAAUAAUCUAACGGUCCAAAAAGAAUAAAAGCUUUCACUCAUAAAGUUGAUGGAAGACAUGAGAAUCCAUAAGAUCUUUCAUUCAUGGGGGAAAAUUUUGACUAAAGUGAUGAAUCCUUUUUGAAGCCUUGAAUUUACAUCAGAAAAGGGGAGACCAUGGUGGGCCAUUUCUUUGGAGUUAUGGCCAUUAAUUACUUUGUAAAUAUAUUCUUAUUUUUCUUUAAAUUAAUAGUGGAAACAAUCUUUAUUUAUCUUUAAGGUGACAUAAUUAACUAGGCAAAAUUUAAUUUCAUAUACCCUUCCUCCAUCAAAGUUAACUUCAAUUUUGAGAACUAAAUUGAAGUUUAACUUAAUUGGUUAAUUGCCUUUUUGAGAACUAAAUCAGUUUUGCAAAUAGGUAUCUCUCAAAAGAUUGUCGAGAAUUUAAGGUGUAUUUAACAUAAAUUUGUGAAUGAUUUUGAUGAUUUUUUUUUUCAAGAAAAAUAUUUAUAAUAGACAAUAAACACUUUAAAAACUUAGAUUUAUGUCAAAAAAAAGUUAUUAUUCUCUCGCACUUCUCUUUCAAAUUUAUUCAAAGUGUGGGUUUAUUAUUAAGAUAUUAUUAUAUAAAAACAAUAUUUGUGUGAUAUCUUGGUCUAUUUACUAUGAAAUAUGAUAGAUUAAGAUAGACUAUUCGUGGUCUUUGUUAUGAUUUGAAAUAAUUUUCUAUUUUUUAAAAGGAAUUUUGAAACAACGGGAUGUCAAAUAAAAAUGUUAAGUUCCGAUUUAACAAAAACGUCGAUAUAUAGAAAUAUCGAUAAAAUGUUUUCUUUUCUCACUAAUUAUACACUAAUAUUACACUUAAAAUGAAAUUUGAAUUAAGUUUGAUAUACUAAAAACUGUACAUCAACAAUAUAUACUCAAAUGCAAUAUGAAUUAGUUUUGAUUAAAAAAUUAAAAUACCAAUGCUAUACUUUUAAGUAUGCCAUUUUCAAUAAUCUACUUCAUAUACACUAUUUCAACUAUAUUGUUGUUAUAUAUAUUUUUUUUAUCUUUCUCUUGGAAUUUGGUAUAUAUUACCCUACUUAGUUACAAAAUAUGAAGGGUUUGUAUACUAAAUUAAAUAUAAUUUACAAAAUGAAAAUUACUGUAAAUGACGUUAAAAAUAUUAACAAAAUAAAGCAUUUUGGGUUGUUCUAGUAUAUAUAUUUUUAAAUGUUCCUUAUAAAAACCAUAUAAAAUCCAAACAAAAAGCAAGAAACUAAUUAAUAUACUUGAUAUAUUUUCAUAUUACUCAAUCCAAGCUAUAGCAUCAAAAUGAUUAGAUAAAUUUUUUGUUUGAAAAUAUAAGAAACUAACACCAAAACCUGAAUAAAAUCGUAUAGAAAACUAUCAAACUAAUUGAAGGGAAUGAACUAUAUAUUAUACAAUUAAAAUCAUGAUAUAUGUUGGUUGGAAAAUUAGUAUACAUUAUAGAAAAUACAUAAAUUAAUUUGACAUACAAGAAAUAGAGUAUAUUAGUAAUUAACUGAUACAAAAUAAAAAAAAAAAAAAAGUACAACCAACCACAGGACUGAUAUAGUAAAUAUAAAAUAUAGCUAAAAAUACACAUAAAACAUAGUAAAAUUAAAAAUAAUAGAAAUAUAUAUGUAGAAAGCUAUAUUUAAUCCGUUAAAAAAAGGGAAAGAAGAUAUAAAAAUACUGAUAUAAAUAUUAAAUACUCUUAAGGUUGGGGAGAGAGAGCAUGUGAAAGGUAUAGGGGAAGCUUAUUUAUUUAUUAAUGAAUAAUUUAAGUGAGAGAGAAGAGAGAAGGUUAAGUAAUUAAAAAGAAAAAAGAAAAAGAAAAAGGACGUCAAUCACGCAAACAUCCUAAAACAAAAUUACUCAUCAUCUCCACGUAAUCUGGGCCCUACUUCUUCACUUUCUCUAAAAUUCCAUUCAUUAAUUUCAUUUCAUUUUUAUUUUUCUCCAAUGUCUUAUCUGACUAAGCUUCCAUGUUGACUUCUAUUCACUCAAUUUAAAAGAAUAUUUAUAUAUAUAUAUAUAUAUAAAGAGAGAGAGAGAGAGAGAGAGUGGGAAGAGAGGGGGGAAUUUGCAACAUGCGUAUCUACUUACAGAUAUGAGAGAUGAAUUAGAUAGCGACACGUGGGACCAUUCACAAGUGAUUUCGGUGACAGACGGUGAUAGAUAGAUAGAUGGAUGGAUUUUUCUUUUUCUUUUUUAUUUAUUCAUUUAUUCGAAUUAUUAUUGGGAGUUUUAAUUAAAAUUGUUGCAUGCAUGGAGAUGGAAAAAGAUACUUUUGACUUUUUUUUUUAUUUGAGACACAAAAUUAAUUCAAAUUUUUAGAGAGAGAGAGAGAGAGAAAAAAAAACUAAACAAUACUUUGUCUUUAUUUAUUAUUAUAUUUUCGUCGGUUGCCUUUCUUCUAUCUUCGGAUUUUGGAAAUACCAACCCAAUAAAACCAACCCACAACCACAUUAUUUUAUUUUUCUAAUAAGAAUUUCCGUAAUUAAAAUAUAUAAAUAAUAAAUUUAGUGAAGAUAUUUAGGAUGAAUAUUAAUGUUAAAUUUUGUUAUAUUUGAAAAAUGUAUUUAUAUAUGUUAUAAGAAAUCAGGAGAGAAAAUGAGUAAUUGGGGGUAGGAAAAACCCAAUUUUGAAACUAAGUACAGAAAUUUAUAUCAUUAUGAUAUCUUUAAUUCUUACCAACUAUUGUGAGAAAAAGGCUAGAAAUUUUUCUUAACUUGAGAGUGGGGUUAAUGGAUUUAUAUUCUUCACUAAAAAGUCAUAUAUGGUAAAAUUUUAAAAGAAAAUUCAUCUAAUCACUUCAAAAUUGGUAAGAAAAAUAUGUACCUAAGUCGUGUUUUAAGUGUGUAAGAAAUCUUUUGACGUAAAAUAAUAAAAUAGGAAAAAACUGAUGUAUAUAUUAAAUUAUAAAUUUGAUCUACAUUUAUAGUUUAAAGAAAAUUAGAAUUUAGUUUUUAUUUCUAUUGUUUGAAAAAUCUUAUAAAUAAUUGAUGCUAUUAAUUGAAUAUUUGAAAAUAUUUCAUUUUAAAAACAACCAUUUUAACAAAAAUGAUUUGUUAAUGGUUGAUUGGUUAAGAGUCACUCUUGUACAAAUGAUUAUAAUGUUUGAUUCUAUACACUUUUAAAAUUUAUUUGUAAGAUAAAAAUUUAGUGAUUUUCAUGUCAUGUUUGAGAUUGAAUUUUAAAUAAUUAUUUUGAAAUAAAUUAUUUAAUUAUAAUUAGUUUUGAAUAAAUGCGAUCAAUUAAGAUAAUAUUAGUUUCAUAUGUACAACUUUACCAUUUUUAUAAGAUAUAUGAACUACUCAUCUAGUUGUUAAUUUAAUUUUAAAAUAAAACUUCAUAUUUAUCUAAUAGUAUCACAGAAUUCAUGAAAUCUAAACAAAUAUUCAAAUAACAAAAAAUGAUCGUACAAGAAUAUCAAAUCCAAAUCAAAGGAAGACACACAAUCUUAAAAUGCAUAGACUAUUUUAAUUAUGAUCUUUAAAAUUGCAUAUUGAAGAUAUAACAAAGUUUAUUAUCAAUAGACUUUUAUUCAUUAUAAACUUUUAUGAUCUAUCAGUGAUGAAUCAAUAUAUACUAUAUGAUUUAUCUAUCAGUGACUUUUAUAUAGAUUUUGACAAACUUGGUUAUAUUUACAAUUUAUUUAAAAUAUUGUGAUAUAGGUUAAUAGUUUGAAUGUCAUUCCUACUUUUACAACUAUUUUAGAUUUUGUGGAAGAGAGUAUAAAAUUUGAAUGACGACACACGUCAAGAACUAUCUCACUCCAAAUGUCCAUAGGUGGCUAAGGCUACAAAAUAACUAUUUGUUUUAGUUAACGACGGCAUGUGAAGAGAAAGAAUUCUACUCAUUCAUUCUUUUCCCCCAACAUUUAAUGCUUUAACUAACAAACUUAAACUUAAAAAAGUUUUCAUUAUGAACAAUCAAAUUACUAUUUAACAUCAAUUUAUACUCCCACACUUAGAGAGAGGUUUAGAUCCACUCAGUAUUGAAUUAACAACAGGAAGUAAUUGCAGUGUAUAAUAGUUUUAAAGAUAAUUAUUAAGUAAAAAUAGUGUUAAAAAUAGAGUAAACACUCUACCCUACUAGACUUUUAUCAAUAUUACUAUGAAUUAUUCUAUUUGUUAGUAUUCAUCAUUGUUAGAAUAUAAAAACAAUCUUGCUAUAUUUUAUAAUUUUAUUGAUUAAUUUUGAUGUAUUUUAAAACUAUUCUUAAUUAAAUUAACACUCGAAAAGAAUCACAAAUAUAAUAAAAUAUAAUUUAUACGUAAUAAACUCCUAUAAUUGGUUAUAGAUUAGUGUGUGAUUAAUUAAUAAACUACCACCACUGAUAUAAUCUAUAAUUAACAAAUUUUAAUAUUUGAAUUUAAUACUUUGUUAUACAAUUAUUAAAUAAUAAUUGAUUUAAAUUAUAAAUUUUUAUAAUUGUAUCAAUUAUUUACCUUCUCAUUAUCCAACAUUUUGUUUGAAACAACAUUUUGGUAAGAUGACUUAUAACUAUAUGAAUUAGACUUCAAUUUUUAUAAUAAAAUUAAUAAUAUUAUUUGAAUUUCCUUUCAUAAAUCAAACUCUAAUUAUAUAUCAUUUUUUUAAAAAAAAAAACUGACAUUUAAUGUAUAGAUGAUUUUCAAAUAUAAUUACAACGUAUGAUCUAAUUAGUUUAUUAUAUUGUGUAAGAGUUUAAUUGAUAUAAAUUAUAAGUUUUCAUUUUAUCAAACAUACACGUCUUUUUUCUCUAGAGAAGCACUAAAGUAUGAAUGUAUAUAUAUGUGACCUUUCUUGACCAAUUUAUUUGUUUAAAACAAAUCCAAUAACUCUGCCAAAAUCACGUCAAGUGGCUAUUGGAGAACAUAUAUUAGUUAUAAGCCUAGUUGGCUGACACUUGAAAUAAAUAAAAGUAUACAUUAUUCCAAAAUACAUUUUUUAAAAUAAAAUAUUCCACUAGUAAUUGGACAACCAUGCCAUUAUCUUCUCCAAUAUUACAAUUAAUAGUUAUAUAUAUAUAUAUAUAUAUAUAUAUAUUGUAUAUACUGAUUUAAUGAGUAUAAAUUUAACAAAACAAAACCAUACUUCAAUUCUUAAAUAAUUUUGAUUAGUAUAGCACUAUAUGAUAAUUUUGUGACUAGAUCUCGUAAUUGUCGGUUGAGGACAUAAUUUCAAAAUUUUACGAGUAAUAAUAGUUACGUUUGUUUUGUAGCACAUAAAUUAUUCUUCAUAUUUUAAAUUACAAAAUUUAGUUAGUUGAAUAAUCUUUUUAAUUAAUCAAAAGAUUCUACCUUUACUUUCCUUUAGCAAAUUUUAUAUUCAUGCCUAAGAAAUUAGAUGAGGUUUAUUUAUUUAAUUCUUAUUUUGUCUUUUACUGAAAUAUAAUUGUGUAUUAAAUAGAUGAAUUAUUGGAAAAGGUGGUUUUAGUAAAAAAUAAAUAUCAUAUUCUAAACUAUGCAAUUUUUAAAACAAAAUCCCACCAUUUUGGCACAUUUUUUCUCUUAUAUACAUGAAUUUAAUUAGUCAAGGGUUAAAGUUAGAUUUUGGAAUAUUUUAAAAAAUGUAAGUUAUGAUUAUAUCAUAUUGAAUAACCCAAUUUAUAUGUGUUUAUCGUUACGUCAUUCUCACAAUUAGGUUUAUUGAUUUCCAUAUUAGUUUAACUUGGAUAGUGCCUAGUGUUAUAUUCAUCUAAAUGUCUUAGUUGAAAAAUUGUUUCGAUGUUUCUUUACUUUUCUUUCUUGUUUUUUAGAGAAUACGCACCAUUAUUUAUGCAAUUUAAGCUAUUAAUUGACACAAUUAAUGAUUCAUUUUAAUUUGAAAUGAUAUAAUAAUGGAAUGUUGACUAAUUAAAUUGUUAAAGAAUACUUGAUAUAUAUUAACAUAUAAUCUUCAUAGUAUAUGUUUUAAUUCUUCUUUUGAGGGAUCUUAUUUGAUUUUGUUUGAUAGAAAUAUAUUAUAUAAAACUCCCAAUUGUGGUUCAUAUUGACUAUUUGAAUGCUUUAAUUAUUAUUAUCUAAAAAUCUUCCUAAAUAUAUUUUUCACUAUUGUUUAAUUUACUUGGAUCACUAAUUCAAAUGUUUAAUGGAAAAUAUCAUUAACUUGACUUCCUCACAUUAAAUAUCUUUCUCCAAAAUUAUGUUCAUUAGUUGUCUUCAACAAAUUUAUAUUAUAAUUCUCACUUUUAUUGAAGUUUACCCAAAACACAUCCUACUAAUUUUGCUCCAAAGAAAAAAGAACAUCUGUAUUGAUAAUUGUAAGUUUAAAAAUUGGCUAAUUAAGUACAAUAUAAAAGAUUUCAGAUGACAGACUAAAGUUGUUUCUCAAAUAUAUAGACCAAAAUACUUUUCUUCCAUUAGUUAGGUUUUAAAACAAAGAUUAGUGUUAAUCUCGUUUUACUUUUAUUUAUCACAUUUUACAAAUAUUAUUCACUAAUGAUAAUUUUGAUAGAGUAAUUUAGUCAAUAUAAACAUAAUUCAACUAAUCAACUUAUGAAUACAAAAUUUGAUAAACUUAAAUUGAAAAAUAACUGCCAUCAUAAUAAAACUUUUUCACGAGCACAAGGCAAGAUAUAAAUUAACAUUAACAAUAAAUAAAAAUUAGGAACUUCAAUCUAAUAACAAUUUUCAGUAGAAUAAUUAAAAUCAAUCCAUUUUAUUAGGUUUUAUAUAAAUGAAAGAGGCAUAUGUUGAUUGACCUUAUUUUAAUAUUUAGCAAGCUUGACAUGAAGCACAUGAAUACACUUCACUGAUUGAUUAAACUUUUUAUUAACAAUAAAAAAUCUGUUUUUUAUUCAUCUGAAAUCUAAAAUUAUUAGGACAAGUAGUAGUCAUGAAUCCUCAAGACCCAAAUCAAAAAGUCCUUCACUUGAAGUAUUUAAAAGAAUUGUUGAUUGAAUAAUUAAUUCGUAUAACCAAUAAUUAGUGUCAAAAUUCAUUGAAUGUAACAUUUAAAUCAACAUAUAUUAAUAUUUGUAUAAUAAUAAUUUCAGCUUGUAUAUGCCUAGAAAAACAAUUUCAGUAUGUACGUGUUGGUAAUAUAUUCUUCAAAUUAAACUAUAUAUCUAGUUGUGAAUGAUUUUGGAUUAAAGGAUAUAAUUGAUAUUUAAAAAUGACAAAAAUAAGAAAUAACAUUAUAUAGAUUGACAAUCUUUGCCAAAUGUGCAACAAGGCAUGUGUUUAUGCAUGCCUCCACCAAAAGUAGCACUUUAAGCCUAAGGAAAAGAAAAGCCCAACCAAUGUCGACAAGAAAUCGAUCGAUACGUUUUUUUGGUCUGAUUGGUUAUCUAAUUAUCUUAAGACGACUCAUAAACUAGGUCAACUUUAAUUUUUUUUCUAUAAAAUAUAUUAUUCUAAAAUCAUAUAAAAUAACAACUUAAGUCUUACUCACAAACUCUUUUAAGCUUUCGCAAUCUUUCGUUGUUUGACAGACGAAAUGUCUGUGAUCGAUAAAUUUUUUAUAAAACGUCACUUAUUCUUUUCUUUAAACAAAUUUAUUGUUUGAGUCACCACACCAACAUAUAUGUUUACUAUGUAAAAAAACUUAACACAUACAUGUUAAAAAAAGAAACUUAGGUGCAAGUAGCUAGAUCUAUGCAUUUUUUUUUUUCACGUUAGAAAAAGUAUAUAAGAAAUUGAUUUUUUGAGAAAAUUUUUUUUGUGAGGUGACAAUUUAUGAUUAAAUAGUGGAUGGACUAGUAUUUUUUUUAGAAAAUUAUAAACUCUUUAUUCUCUAAAUAUGUCCCAAUAAUAGUAAAGCUUUAAACUUUGAAUAUUGUCCCUAUCACAUCCAUCACACACAUUCUUCAAUCACGGUAGAAACAUCUAUAUAUAUAUAUAUAAAUAAAAGAUAUUCAAUUUAUGAAAAUUUGUAAUUCAGAAGAAUUAAAAUAUCUUCCACUUAAUUUUCUCCCAUAUCUACUUCCUCUCUAACUCUCUUGCAUUCUCCCUACUCUCCUCUUUUGACUUCUCCUACUAUGAUUGACAUAUCAUUACAAGACUUAUAUUAAUAUAUUUCGAGUUGCAUCUAUCUUUUAGUUUUAGUUUUGAGUUAGCAACAUAUCAAUAUAAGAAAUUUAUAAUAGAUCUAAUAAAAUAAGGAUCGAUUUCUUAAUUGAUAUCGACAAUUUAAAUUUGGAUCGAUUAUGACACAUCCUAAUACUAAAUUACUUAACCUAUUCUUUAGUUCAUUUCAAACUAUUGUUUAAAAAAUAUAUUUUUGUUAAGAAAGUGAAACCCACUUUUAUUAUUAAAAAAAAAAAGAAGAACUAGAUUUAAAAACAAGAAAUAAAAUCAUAAAAAUGAAAAAAGAAAGGAUAUAUAUGAAGAGAUGGAUAGUAUUAAAGAAGUGCAAUCCUUUGUGUCCCAAAAAUGUUUGUUGAGUUGUGUUCCCAUAUUACUUGACUUUCUUCUCAUUUUAUUUGGUUUGUUGUUCCCUCCUCUAUCUCUUUCCCCACAUUCUUAAUUGAAAAAAAACAAAUUGAGUGCACUAAUAUGCAUGUGACUUUUAUAAAUAUUUAUUUUUAUUUUUCUAUAUUAUAUAUUUUAUAACAAAAAUGAUUCAUUCAAACAAAUGUUAUAGUCUAUUUAUGAUAGAUAGCAACAAAAUACAAUAAACUACCAUAUAUAUCUAUAAGUUUAUCGCAAGUAUAAUGGUAAUAUUUUUAUUAUAUUUAAAAAUAUUUUGAAUGGUUUUAAUAAUUUUUGGGCUCUCUAGAAAAUAUGAGUACGUCCAUUUGUAUGAAUUCUUGUUAGAUUUUUUUUGGGUGGAAAUGUAGAAAGAUAGAUGCUAACACAAAAUAUUUUUUUUAUUUUUGCAAGAAAACUCCAUUUAUUUUAUUUUAUUUGUUAAGCUAUAUAUACCUCUACUCAUGCAUUAACCUCCCCUUGCAUUUCCUACCUUCCUUCCUUUCUCUCUCUCACUCUUAACCCUUUUAUUUUAUUUUAUUUUUUCUCUCUCUCUCUUAUCAUCUUCCAUUUUUCCAUGGCAGCUCUAGAAAACCAUUACCAAACCAAACAAAACAACAAUAAUCCGGCCACCACUCGCUUAAAGCUUUUUGGGUUUGACGUUCAAGAAGAUCUUGAUCAAGACGAUUCCACCCCCACCUCCUCCGACUCAGGCGCCGCCGUUCCAUCCUCCGGCGACCGCAAAUACGAGUGUCAGUACUGCUAUAGAGAGUUUGCCAAUUCCCAAGCUCUCGGCGGCCACCAAAAUGCCCACAAGAAAGAGCGUCAACAGCUCAAACGCGCCCAGUUACAAGCUUCCCGAAACGCCGCCGUUUUUAGAAACCCCAUCGUUGCUGCCUUUGCUCCUCCGCCUCACCUCCUUCCCUCCGCCGCCGUUACGGCUUCCUCUUCUUGGCCGGUUUAUAUCCCACGGGCUCCACCUCAAUUUCAAGUGUCUCAUGGUUGUGUGUUUACUCCGUCCUCGUCUUACGGCGGCGGCGGCGACGCUCCACCACCACCGUCGCCGCCGGAUUUCUUUACGAUGGGGUCUCGGUCAAGUCAUGGGAUGGUGGAUGCUCCGAUGUCGCUGAGUCGGUUUUCUAAAGUGGACGGUGGAACCGCGUUCGACGAUGGACCCGGUUUGGAUUUGCAUCUUAGCCUCGCUCCGGCCGCCCCAUGAAAAUUAAAGUCUCCAACUUUUUUUAAAACAAUUUAUUUUUUUUCUUAGAAAUUAAUGGUUAGUGUUUUGCUCUUUAAGCCACUGGUUUUUUUUUUCCCUUUUUGUAUUUGAGAAAUAGAUGAAGGAAUUUAAGUUAGAGAUUGAAACCAGAUGGGCUAAGAAAAACAAAGAUGAAAAAAAAGAAAAAGAAAAUCUUGAACAUGUUCAUGAUGAUUCUUCCAUCAUCAUCCAUCCAUCAACCUUAUUGUAUAUUUUUCAAAUUUAUUUAUUUAUUUUUAAUUUUUGUCGACUAUUCAAAAGGUUUCUUUGGUAAUCAAUAAUGCUCGCAAUUGAUGAUUGAUAUGGGUAUUGGGUAGGUUCAAAGAUUUAAUUGUUUUCUCUUCUUUUGUUAUUGGUUUUGAAAAAUUAAGUAUACAAUACUAUUUAUUUGUCUGUUUUGUUGUUUAUUUUUUUACACAUGUAGUAAAAAGUUAGCUCUAGUUUUGAAAAUUAUAAUCAUGCUAUAGGGAAUUGAAGUGGUAAAGAAAACCAACACCCUCUUUAAAAUUUAAAGAAAAAUAAUUAAAUGCUUAUCAAUCACACAUGUUAGUUUCUUUUCUAUAUUUUGAGUUUUCUAAAUUUGUACUUAUUUUCUCACAGUUUCUCUAUAUCUUCUUUUUUUGAGUAGUCAAAGUUUAAUUUAUAAGUAAAUUCAAAGCUAGAAGUAUAUGUUAAAAAAUCAUAUAUUAAUCAUGUGAAAGCAUAAUAAUUUUGAGUAGACAUUAAAGUGGGUCAAUGAAUUUCAAUUAGUAUGACAAUAUGGAUGAGUUGGCUUUAGGAGUAGUGCUAUUGAGUAUAUAUAUAGGCACCAAAUAUAAUCUGAAAUAUUUCAAUCUACAUCAAUUCUAUACUUUUUUUUCUCUCUUCUUUUCAUUUUGUAUUACAAAAUUAACGACCUUUUAGAUAUCUCUACGAUAAUAUGAUAUUGUUCACGUAAAAAAUAAUUCUCAUCACUUUGUUUUUCGUUUUACCUAAACACAUUUCUUUUGGAGGUAGCUAUUCGUACAUAGUUACCCAUAAUUCCUCUUAUCUAACCAAUGGAAAACUUUCAUUACUCAAUCUUGCAGUUGAGUACAUAGGACUUCUUCCGAAUGAGAUAUCCCGUUAAUUUGCACAUAUUGAUCUCUUUUGUUUCUAUGUUAUUAAAGAAAAUUUUGCCAUUGAUAUAGAACUUUUAAAUUCUAUGAGUAGGAACUGACUCCCUCAUUCUAAUUUGGCAACUUUUCAUUGGUCAUCACUAAUAUAUAAUGAUGAAAUCCAAAACUUUAAAAGGGGUUUCAUCCACAUCUCGAGAAGUUGUAAUAUAUGGUAGCUCAUACAUUUGCUCUAGAAACUAGGUUUGGUUAGAAGCCCACUCAUCACCUUGGAUUCACAAAGAUACUCUUGGGAUGCCUUUUAUGUUUUUUUUUUUUUUUUUUUUUUAUCAAUUUAUUGUUGUUGAGUUUUCUUUAUACUAAAGAAAUGAAAUUCAAAAGAGCAUUAUGUUUUUGUGGAUGCAACUAUAAAGGGGAGCCAACAUUAAAUUUAUUAAAUUAAGCAUUAGGUUUAUCUUCUACCUAUGCCCUAAAAAGAGAAACCUCCAAAAACCUUUCUUUGAUUAAUUGGUUCUGUUUUGUUUAUUAUUAGUUGUGACCCUCUAGUGUUUUGUAAGAGAGUGGCCACUCAGAUCAUUGUCAUUUGGAAAAGUAAUCAGUUUUUAAAAAUUCUCUUACUUUUGCAACUCCUCAAUGAAUAUUUGAACCUAAAAAAAUGAAUCUAACUAUUUAAUCCCUAUAAUUUAUAGAUUGAUUUGUUUUAGUAUGUAUAGUUUAAAGUAUAUAUCUAAGAACCUACUUAUAGUACUCUUGAAUGGUACUCAACUUGGGUGUUUUGUCAAAAUUUAAAAUACUUAUCCAAAACAUAUUGGUAAAAUAAAUAUUAAAACGUGUUAGUGAUAAACUUCGAAUAGAGAAAACGCAUUUUGAACAUUAGAUGUGUUUAUAGUUAACUUGUAGAUUAUGGAAAGUGAAUACCUGCGAAAUGACAAGAACUACCUUCUGUGUUGUUGCCUCGUCAUACACAUUGUUCAAAACUGCUUUAAGUUAGAGAAGUCGAAUGCAGUAAUCUUAAAAGUCAUAAACACUGUGAAGAUCGUCGUGUAACAUCUUGUAGAUAUACACAAAAGGUGGUUAACCAUAACACUUGGUUUGAAUUAAUCUCUACUUUUCUUGUCGAAAAAAAGAAAAAAAAACCCUUAAAUUAGUGGUGAUCGAUGUCAGAAAUUGAAGUGUAAUACGUACCUUUAUAACUAAGAAUACACAGUGACUAAACCAAACCGUUAAAAAAAAGUAUUUAAUUAAGAUCUAAAACUUACAACCAACCAAACCACAAGUAAAGUAAAAAAAAAAAAAGAGAAAGUUAUUUUGUAUGAUGGAACUGUUGAAGAAAGGUUUGAAGUUGAAAGGAAAGCAGAGAGCACAGUAUCUUUAGGCUUUAAUGGCAGAAUUCAAUUUUGAUUACGACAUGGCCUUGUUCGUAUAACUGUUUAAAUUAUAAUAAUUAUUUUCUUUCAAUUUUUUGAAUUUUGAGCCUUUGGAUUUUUCUUCAUUCAGAAACUGUUACAAAUCCAUACCUAAAAUAGGAAGGACAGCAGAUCCAGAAUCCAUUCUGCCAUUCGGGUCAUUAUAUUCAUUUUAUCACAAUCAAAUAACCACACAUCUUUCACAUCACUUUACUUUUUAGGCCGUUCACUUUGUAGUAAUAAAUAAAAUAAAAAGUACAAAUAAAUGUAGGUUAACCGCACCGAAAUUAAGUAGUUUGUGUUCGAGGGAGAGGGGUGUGAAAGAUAAAGUUUAUCGAUGAGUAUGUGAAUAAAAUAAGAGAAUAUGAAAUUUUUUGAUAAAUGUAGGAAUUGAGUAAUUAUUUGACAAUGGUUGAUGAAGUACUUGAGUGAUAUUUACACCGAACAAAAUGUCUUGUGUUUAAACUUUUUGUAAGCUGUGUCAAUAUGAGUGGAGGUUAGUGACAUAGACUCAUUAUGAUAUCGAUUUUGAAGAUUGGAGUUUAAUUUUUGUCCCUCCACCCCCACAUAUAGGUUAAAAAAAUGGAAAAAGUAAAAAGUUUAGUUAUAGGAUUUAUUUUUAUUUUUAUUUAAUGUUAUUAGUUUUUACAUAUGUUAUCAAGUUAAGAUGUCGACGUGUAGAUUCGGACACGAAAGCAUAUCUGACAUUCAUGUUAAUAGUAAUCAUAAAAUUAUAGUUUAUAUAAGAAUAUAACUAUUAUGAUGGAAAAUUCUCCAAAACUGAUAUGUUGUUUGCUACACAAUGCUCUGAUGCUUAAAUCAAAAAAUGUAUAUUGUUUUUAAAAUUUGGCUAAAAAUUCAUAUCCUUAUGGAAAAAACAAAACCAUAUAUAAAUGAUUAUCCAAACGAGUCCUAAAAUAUUAGAUUCGGAUCAAUGAAAAAAAAAAAAGAAUUUUGCUAUAUAGAGAACUUUGGUUGAUUUGUCUAAUACUCGUAAAGGUAUAAACCCUAAUUGCAUCACACUUAUUGAUAAACAAUACGAUAACAUUUUAGAUUUUUUAAAAAACUUAGAAUUAAAACGUACAUUAUGAGCUGUUAAAAGUCAUAUUGCAAUGAAUUACUAAAUCCAUUCAUUUUAAUUAAUGUCUUAACAAUUUUGUAAAAAGUUGCCAUCAAACUAAAAGGACUAAUUCAAAAGAAAGUGUGUCUCCUUGGGUAUAAAUGGUAGUCAUUUACCUACUAGAAUGAAAGUUGGACAUAAAAUCCAUUCAAGAGAAGAAAAAAAAAAAUUCAAAAUCAACAUUUUUCUUAUAGUCAAGAUAUUUAAAUUCUUGGAAAAUCACAAAAGCCGUCUAUAAAAUAUAUAGUACUGAUCGUUACAAUUAUACUCAAACUUUUAAAUGUAAAAAUUGAGCUUUCAAUCUUGUACCUGCUGAAAUUGGACUCUCAAGUCAUAAUCGUAGAAAUUGAAAUAUUUGUGUAAGUUUUAGGGUUUAAAUGUUUAUCAUCCUAGAGGUCAAAUUAUGUCCCUAUUAUAAAUCUGAGUGUACAAUUUUAACGCAUGAAUUUUGAGUGUCCAUAAGUUCAACGGUGUGUAAUUGUAAUUACCACUAUAUAUAUUUCAUAGAUGAUUUUUUUUUAAAUUUAACCUUAAAUAUUUUUAUUGAUAUUGUCGAUUUUUUCAUAUUUCAUGGUUUCAAUAUCGAGAGGUGAAUGGAUUUUUUCAUUAUUUUGGUAUAAAAAUUUAACAAACAUUAUAACAAAUAAGCAAUAAAACGUAAAUAUAAUAUAAAUAUAUUAAACUACUUUAGCUUGUUCAGGUAUACAAUGAUUUGAUUGAUUUAAAUAUAUUUUUAUUUUAUAAUCUUUUAAAUAUUUCACCAAAUAAGACAUUUUAUCGAUUCCAUUGACAUUUCUAUAAAAUUAACAUUUUAAACCUUGCCUAAAAUCUAAUUGAAAGAUUUUUUUUAGGCAAACAAAACUAGUUUGAAUAGAGUUGAGAUAUGCCCUGAUCAUUACAUUGUUAUUUUUUUUUCUUUAUUCUAUGUAUUUAUCAUUCUUUAAUUAGAAUUUAAGAAGGAUGACAUAUAUAUAUAUAUAUAUACAUAUGUACGUAGAUAUCGUUUUAGUUCUAUCAUAUAUUUUGUUGUUCCUCAAGAUAUAAUAGAGUUGUUUUUCGUUUACUCUACAUGUCACUAAUAAAUUACUAAUAAUUUACGUGAAUUUGUAUUUCAACUCUUCUUCUUAUCUAUCUUAUUUUUUUACUUUUAGUUGAUAUAUAUUUUUGCCAUAUGAUAGGGGAAUCCAAGAAAAUAGAAGUGGUGGUUUCUUUUAGAGAAGAAAGGAAUUAUUCACGAAGGUCAAUAAUGAAAACUUUUUUGUCCCUUGUCUUUUUUUUUUCUUUGUAUGUUUUAGGCAAAGAAAACUUUUUGGUUUGAUGUUAGAAGAGAAAAAGAGAGAGAUGUAAAAAGCUAUAGAAAAGCAUAAUUAAUCAUAGAUUUGAAAAACUUGUGUUAUGUGAAAAAGCUAUCACUUUACGAAAACAUUUUUGACAAAUAUUAAAUUUUGACUAGAGAUCCCUCGACAUUUAAUUUAUAGUGGUAGGUGAGAGACAGUAGAGAGAGAUUUCUCUUCCCCACAAAUAUAAAGUUAUUGCUUCUCGAGCUUACUAAAUAUUAUUGUUGAAUUAGGGUAUGAUUUUGGGGCCCAAUAGUUUAGGUUGUUUCAAAUAAUACCACUCAUUAACUCUUAUGGACAUCCAGUCAUCCACUCUCUUUUUCUCUAUCUCUAAGUUUAAGGUGGGUGUUUGUAACCCUCCACCUCAUUUCUAUAUUCUCUCUUUUUCUUUCUCGUUCAUAACACGUUUAACGUUCAGAGUUGAGUUGAGGAAUGGAAAGACACUUGAUACGAAUAUUAAAGUGAAAGGUGUGAAAUACAUGGAUAAUGAGAUAAUAAUUUAACCGACCUCAACAAAUUACUCAAAUAGAAUAACAUUGGCAAACAACCUUACUUCUAAGACUUCCCUUUAACAAGUAUAGAAGAAUUAUUAAAUAAGUUAAUUCUAAGUUUUAAUAAUUGAAAAGCUCAAUAAGAUCCCAAAAGAAUCAACUAACAAACACCCCCUAUUUAGUAUCACUUGACAAAAAGAGCAUGGUCAAUAUAUAUACACUUAAAAAUUAGCAAUUGAUGAGAUUAGAAACCCAAGUUUAAAAUUUUUCCAAAGAAAAAAGAAAUGGAUGAAUUUGUAAAGUAUUGUUGUGUACUAGUGUCAACCAUUGGCUUUGCCACUAUAUAUAAUGGAUUUGUGAAAACUAAAACUAAAAUUUGUAUCCAAUAAGAGAGGAUGGAUUCUGAAACAUUAAUAUGUUUGAGGAAGCUGAUUAGAUCCCCAAAAGUCAGCUUUGAAAUUAAUGGAAAUUUUAGUUCUUGAUGUUGAGUCACUCAUUUUGCUUUCUUCUUCAUUAUAUUAUAUAUUAUUCCUACACUUGGUUUAAUAAAUAAAUAACCAUUUCAAUUCUUUUGUACAACUUUACAAUAUAUAUUCUUAAUUAAUAGUGGGUUAGUUAUUGAAUAUUGGCAAAACAAAAUACCUUAUCCUAUAUAUUAUUUUCUCCAAUAAGCUUGCUGGUUUUAUAUGCUUUUUCACAAAGCAAUGUUAAUUAUAAUUAUUAUUAUUAUUAUUAUAAUGCUUUUUUUAAUAUUCAUUUGAGUUAAUGCUAUAUUUGAUUAUAUUUUUUUAUUGUAGGUUUUCCAAUAUGUCCUUAAAAAUAGUGUUCUUUUGGUUUACUAUUUUAGUAGGGUUGAACCAAUACUAUCCUUUUUAAAUAAGUAAAGAUUUCUAUUCAAAGUUUUAAUUAACAAUGACAAUAUUAACUCAUACAUUUUAUAAACAUGGUAAUGAAAUCAAAUAAAGUAUACAUUUUUUAAUACUUUUUUUAAACUAUGUUCUUCUAAGUACCACAAAUGCCAAUAAGAAAUUUAAAUCCUUCAAACUAAAACAAAGUAAUUAAUAGGCUAUUGACAUAUUCAAGUAAGCUUUAUCCGUGGAUACAUCUUUAAGCAUAGCUUAGUAAAUAAUUAAAAACCAAUAAGUUCUCAACACCAAAUAAUAAUAACAUAUUAUACACAUUGACUUAUUUGACAAAUAGGGUUAUUACAUUUAUGAUUAUUAUGAUUAUUUAGUAUUUAUUAUUGUCAUUAUUUUAAAUAUAUAUAUUGUGCAAGCAAUUGAUCGAUCAGUUAAUAAUCAACCAAAUUAAACAUUUUUUUUUAAAAAAAAAGUAUUAUAGAGAUUAUUACAUUUUUUCCUGUCUCAUAUAAAUAUAUAUUGACACAUACCUAUGAUACAAAAUCUAGUACAUAAAGGAAUCUUAGCCUACCCCUUUGUGUAGGUAACCUAAUUCAUAAAGUAACUAUAUCAACAUAUAAAUAUAAAUAAUUGAAUGGAACAACGAUUAGAGGAACUCAAAUCAUGAACUUCAUAGUUAUUAGUACAUUCGGAUGUUAGUUAAGCUUAAGCUUUUUUUUAUCAAACUCUUCAAAUUCUCUACAAACUAAAAGUGGAACUCGCACUAUGAGUUAUUAAUUUGUAAAUUUGUAAAAUAGCGAGUUCCACUUAUUUUCAAUAUUAAACCUCUGCCAGCAAACGGUAAAUGGCUAUAAAACUCUUCAAAUUCUCUACGAACUAAAAGUUAUAUAUAUGAUUAAGCGUCCAUGGUUGAGACAAACCCUUGUCGUGGAUGCUAGUUACAGCGAUAACGAUUGGUCGGUGAACUGUUGCGAUUGAUGUGAAAGUCAAUCCACAUUAGCAUAUAGUGAUUCUAUCGUCAUUUUAUUAGAUUAAAGUUUAGCGAAAGAUGAUUUAGGAAUCAACUUAGAAGAACUAAAUUAAUAUUACCUUUUUAAAAUUCAAUUGAACAAAUAAACAUAAAAUUCAAAACCUCCUUGACCAAAAGUAUUUGUUUUAAUAUAGAAUCAUAUAUAUUCUAUUUGUUGGUCGAAUUAAAAUUUCACUUGCAAUAUAAUAUUCUCUUCCAACGUUAUUUUAUUUGUUAUUAUACUUUUGUAUUCUUAUUUUAUUUAGUUCAACAAAUAUUUAGAGGAUUAAGGGUUCCAACCUCAACUAAUAAUCAAAUUAAUUUAUAAUAUAUAUACCUAAUCCAACUAUAUUGAUAAAGUUCACAAUAUGAUUUUAUACAAUUUAUUUAUUUAUUAUAAAUGUGAGUACUCAAUUAUCUAUCUCAAGACAAAAUAUAAUAAUAUAAUUUGCCUACUUUUUUCAAACUCAAGUAGUCAUUGCUCUAAUUACCUAAACCACAAAUAAAACUUGAACUUUUUCUUUAGUACAAAAUAAAACCUAAAUCAAUAGUUGGAUUUUUAACUGUUGUGUUAAUUACCCUCUUAGUUUUUAUUUUUUUGCUAAAAUAAGUCCAACCUAAUUCACUAAUAAUUUAUAUAACCUUCUAAUUCAAAGGUACCAAGUUUGGUCUUUCUCAUUCCACCAUUGUUGUACUAAUUUUUUUAUUUCAUUAUAAUUAUCCUAUUAAAUUCAUAUUUACAUCAUUUAUGUCAAUCAAUUCAAGAGAAGCAGUGGAAAAUGAUUCCAAAUAUUUGGAAAAAAAAUUGUAAUAGUUCAUCAUCAUUGAUACUUAUAAGUGUAUCAAGUGUAUUAUUAAAGUGAUAGUCGUUUAUUCGAGUUCACCAUUUUUUAUUUAUGAUAAAAAGUAAAGUUUUAUUAUACUUGUACCUUUAUAUUUUGUAAUUUAAUGUUGGGAUAUGGGGGUGUGGAAUAUGGUUGGAAAUAGAAUGGAAAAGUCAUUUGGUAUAUUAACUUUUGGUCGUAUGAUCAUCCAAUGACCUCUUUGUUUAGUACUACUGAGUAGCUGAAAUAUCUUUGUCAAAAUUAAAAAUGGAAAUAUAUAUCUUAUCAUAAGCUGAGAUCAAGUUUGGCAGAGUUCUUUUCCUGUCCCUUUUGAGAACCUCCAAACUUCAAACUUAACCUUUUUCAAUUAGGCAUGCAUGUCCUUUAAUUUCAAGAUUAAAAUAGUUUAGCUUUUAGUGGGUACCCAUUUAGUUGUUGAAACUUUUUUAUGCUUUUUUGUGUAUUAUGGUAUUUACUGUUAACUAAAGUUAAUUUCUGAAUAUUCAAAUCAUUAUAUAGUUUUCCUUCUAGUUGGUUACGUUUUGUGUGUUACAUAUUUGAUUUCUUCCUUUAUAAAAUCUAACUAAAGCUAUCCUUUUAAAACUUUUAUGCAUCUCUUUCAAAUAAUUUUCAUUCAAUUAAUAUUGAAUUACUUCAGUACGUGAUACACCCUCCUACAUGCUACACUCUACAAGUUUAGUUAGUAUAAUGGUAAAACUUCAAAUUUGAGUCAAUUAAUUAAAUUUCUAAACUUUCCUAAUUCAAUCUAUUUACAUAUUUAAUUAUGGUUACUUUUAAAAACUAUAUAACAUAUAAAAGACAGUUAUUUCAAUUGGAGGUUUUACAAAAUAGAACCAUGGUAAAUUCUACAUGAAUGGUUCGUAAAAGGAAAAUCUAACUUUAAAAAAUGUCUAAAUUCAUAUAUAUAUAUAUAUAUAUAUAUAUAUAUAUAUAUAUAUAUAUAUAUAUAUAUAUAUAAAUUUAGGAGGAUAUCAUCCCAACUUACUCGUAUUUUACCAAACAAAACAUAAUGGAGAGUGUAAAUAAUAAUAAUAAUUGAAGAAAGGGUAAGUGAAGAGAAAGAUGAAGGAAGGUUUGAGUUGUACUGAAAUUUGUAGCUGUCUUUGGUGUAAUAAGAAAAAGAGAAAGAGACAAAUGAAAGUACUUUGUUUCUAAACUGCUUCAUAAAAAUCAGCUUCUUCUCUUUCUCUUAAACUUUCUCACUUUCAAAGAAACACACCAAAUUCCUUCUGCUAACACAUUAGGAAAUUUAAACAUAUUUUGGCAACAUACAAACUUGGUAAUUCAACCCUUUACUAAACCAUUUCUAAAAAUUCAAUUCAAUUUAAUUAUAUUCUUCCUUAGUCGGAUUUCACGUCAAAUAUGUAAAAUGAAAACUACAUCUAAUGGUAUGAGACAUUUUGUUAAGAGAUGGUAAGAAUUUUACAUUGAAAAAGAAAAUAUUGAAACUCAUGCUUCUUAUAAAAUAGCUAGAUGAGUUACUCAUCUAAUUAUCAACUAUCUAUUUAUUUCUUUUUAUCUUUUCGUACGUGUAUCCCUCUAUUUUGUAAAAAAAAAAAUCAUAAAAAAGAAAAAGAAGGAAACUUGUGUUUCCAACCAUUACAUUUAUUACUGUAUGUUUGUUUUCAAACAAAGGACACACCCAACAAUAACCUUUGCUUCAUUUAUAGAAAUGUGAUUAUUUGUUUGAACCAAUGUUUUUUCAAUUUGUGUUAUUGGUUGUUGUCAUUUUUUUAUCCUUUUCAUUUUCAAUUGUCAUUUCAAUCAUUUUCAAUCACAAAAAAUCUUUUGUUUUUUAUUUCACUUUUUUUUAUCUUUACCAUUUUUGACACUUCAACUUUAACCAUUUAUGUUUAUGACGGUAAAACAAAAAUGAAUCUUAAAAAAUACAUCAUUUGAGUAUGAUGGCUAUCAAAUUUUAUAUUUGUAAUAUGUUCGGAUAUAUUUUGGCAAGUUUGUGUAAUUUUAACAAAUAUAAGAGCUCUUUAAUACGUUGAUAAAAUAAUACUACUUUUUAAUUUAAUUGGUAUAUAGGAAAAUAAUAAACAUUUUAGGAUAUUUUGUAUUUAAAAAAAAUGAUUACUAUCUCUAUUUAUUUUCACACUCAAGAUAGGAGAAAAGUUUCACGUGGUUAUUUAUUGUCACGUUACUAUAUUUGAAAAUAUUUCUAGCAUUUUGUCAUUUAAAAUAGUUUUUCGAUUUAAAAUUAUCUUAAACAUUAAGGAUUAUUAAUUACACAUUUACCCUUUUCUUAAAUAUAGAUAGAUGUUCAUAACACAGAUUGUCCUUUUAACUUUAAUGAGAUGUUACCAAACCAUAUCAUAUGCAUUCAUAUCUUCUCUAGCCUUAUCUCAAAGUUAAAAUCAAUGAGAUUAUGGCCCCCACCUAAAAAGAAGGGAAAAAGAACCUCCAAAGAUCAAUCAAAAUCAACAUAACACUAUAGAGUAUCAAGAAUAGGGUGGAAUAGAACCACUUGACAUUAUAACACAUAGAUACAUGUAAAAUAGUAAUAAUAAAUAAAUAAUAAAAGAUGAGAGAGAAAGAUUGUACUUAUUGAAACAAAUUAAACCUACAAAAGGGAAUAGUACAUAUGUAUGUGUCCCUCAACAGACAUGAUAGGUUGGGAAGAAAUAUGGUCUUUUGUUACCUUUGAACAAGAAACUGUUUAUAUAUAAUAUAUAUAUUCAACUUUUUGUUUUGAGCUUCUUUUAAUUUGUGUACCAUCAACAAUGAACAAUGAACAAACAUGUGGCUCUUAUUUUCUUUUUAAGAUUUGUAUUUUUCUACUAUAUUGUUAAGCUAGCAGAUUCACAAUUUCAACCAUUUGAAAAUAACAAAAUUUGAAACUUCUUUCUUUCACUGUUUUUUUUUUUUUUCAUAAGUACAUUCACUCCUAUGUUUGCAUCAAAGUUUGUGUAAGUACUAGAGGAAAGAUAUUUUUUCAUAAGUACAUUCACUCCUAUGUUUGCAUCAAAGUUUGUGUAAGUACUAGAGGAAAGAUAUAGCUAUUUUUACUCUACUAUUUUAAAUAGGGUAAUUUCUAUUUUACAUAGUUUGUCACCGUUGAUUUUUUUCUUUUUCUAGUUUAAUUCACGUAGUUUGGAUAUGGUUCAAACCGGCCUAACCUUUAAUAAGCCAACUUAUCUAUGACUCUUGAGCUUACUUGAUUUGAGAUAGGCGAGUUGGUCCAGGUUGAUUAACUCAUUUAAUAUAUAUAAUGUGUAGUGAAUGAUUUGGUUGACUCACUACGACAUAUUUGUGUACUCUAGAGUAAAAAUUAACUUGCCAAAAUUUCAAUUAUUAAUCAAUAGUCGAGAGACAUAAUAACUAUAUCUUAUGGAAAUACUACCUAAAAGAAAUAAAUUAGAAGUAUCACCAUUUGAAUUUUCGAACCAACCGCCAUAAUCAAUUGAGUUGUAGGCAACUUCAAAAAAUGUACUAAAUGAUUUUAUAAAAUUUUCUUUUGUUUUUAUUUCUUCUCUCACAUCACCACAUGUAAUUUUAACGACGAUAACAAAUAUAAGAAUCAAACCUAAAGUAUUAUUAGAUAUAGAAGAAUAUAAAAAUACAACAAAAUUUUGAUACAGAACUUAAAAUCUAUCAAUAAUAGAUUGUAUUGAGUACCUAAGUAACAUAAACAACUAACUAAAGCUGAAUUCUUGAAGGUUCCCGUGAACACGGCCAAACAAAAAAUUACAUAAAAUGUUUCAAAUAAAUUUAAUUCAAAUCGUUACCAUCCUUAAACUACAUCCAAAUAUAAACAUAUAUCUUUAUUCUAAGCCUCUUACUUAGUAAGAAUCAUUCCCACUCCCAUUCCAGUGAUGAAAGACACCUAUCACAAAGUUCGUCAUUCUCACUCCAUUCCAUUGAUGGUAAUAUGCAAUGCAUCUCUUAAUUUGCAUCAGUCAGCCUCUUUAAUAUCUCCACAUGCAAUAGGUUAAGAGGAUUAAGAUAAUGGAGUCGGUUUCGAUAUUUUCUGUACCCGUUAACUACUCGAACAUACUUCAAUCUCUACUAGUUCCUUCCUCCAUGUUGAUCCAAUACUUCUUAGUCUACUGGAACAUACUUCUUAAGUCUCUACUAUUUCAUUCCUCUACGAAACAAGGACUUCAUCAUACUGUUUUGCAAUGUGAGUAUCAACUUUUCCUAGAACCAUCUCAAUAAGGUCUAGGGUGCUUCGGAAGAAAGGUCAGUCCUUAUACAUUGAUUUCACUUUACAAUAGUUUGUCGAUUUUUUCACAUGGUUGAGACAUCACAAUUUUUUUUUUCUUUUCAUUUUCUAGUUUAAUAGGUUAACAAUUCAUUUUUUUUCUUUUCUAGUUUAAUCGGUUAAUAGAUGUUCCAACUUGUAAUUUGGUAUGGCUCGAACCGGCCUAAGCUUCAAUAAUCCAACUUUCAUAUAUGGCUUUAACUUUUGAUAAAAUUUUAAGUUCACUUAGCCGCUCCAGUUGAUUAGCUCAUUCAAUAUAUAUAUAUAUUUAGUGUACAUUAUCACUCAUAUCAUUUGAUAAAGUUUUUCAAAUAUAUGGAAGGAGGAAUCAAAAUUUUUGAGAAAGAUAGAUAGUACCAUUAAAAAUAGGCCAAAAAGUAGGUUUUAGCCGAAAAAAAAAAGAAAAAAAAAGUCAAAAUUUCAAUUAUUAAUCAAUGAGUAAAAAAAUGUCGAUAGUAGAGACAUAAUAACUAAUAUAUUAUAACAACCGUACCUAAAAAAAUAAAUUAGAAUUAUCUCAUGUAAAACCCUCCAACCAACCACCAUAAUCCAUAAUACGCAACUACAAACAAAAAAAAUACUAAUUGUUUUUAUAUAAUUCCAAUGGUAAUUGCAAACCUAAAAUUAGAUAUUGAAAAUGUAAAAGAAUUUAUAAAUACUUCAUUAUGAUAAAAACUUGAAAUCUAUUCUAUUAAUAAGGUUUUAGUUAAUAAGAAUCCCUAGUAAGAGAGAAAUCAAGAAAUUUGACGAUUUAAUAGGUACACAUGCAAACACGGCAAACAAAAGUUUACCUAAAAUGUUCCAUAUAAAAUUAAUUCAAAUAAUUACAAUCCUUAAACUAGAUAACAUUUUCAUUCCAAUAUAAAUCUGUUGUUCUCAUCAUCACUCUUUUUUUUUUCAAGCACAACCUACCUCUUUAUUCUAAGCUCUUACCUAGUAAGAAUCACUCGACUUAACGAUUGAAAGGCAACCACACAUUUAAAGUAUGUUCCUCAUUCAAGUUGCGAUUCCAUUGAUGGUAAUAAACAAGACAUCUCUUAAUUUGUUGUUCUCACUAUCACAUCUAAGACUUUUUAAUACCUCCACUUGCAAUAGAUUCAAAGGAUUAAGAUAACGAAGUCGAUCAACUUCCUCAAACUUCAAUUGUUUUCGGAUAGUUUUUCAUGCCUGCUAAACUACCCGAACAAACUUCUUAGUCUCAACUAGUUCCUUCCUCAAUGUUGAUCCAAUUUUACACCGAUGAAACAAGGACUUCAUCCUAACAUUGUGCAAUGUGAGUAUUCUCUUUUCCACCUACCCAAUUACUAUUUUAGAAUUUGAAAGUUUGUAGUCGGUUACGAGGAUUAAGAUAAUGGAGUCGGCUUUCGAUCGGUUUCUACUCUUUUUUCGGGUAGUUUUCUGUAUGGGCUAACUAGUGGAACAUACUUCAGUUUCUACUAGUUCCUUCCUCAAGGUUGAUCCAAUUUUGUACCGACUCUAUGAAACAAGAACUUCCUAAUGUUUUGCAAUGUGAGUAUUCUCUUUUUCAGGUACCCAAUUACUAUUUAAGAAUUUGAAACUAACAAAAUUUGAAAUCAUUCUUGCUUUUUUUAGGGUAAUUUCUACUCUAAAGUUUGUAGGCAUUCCAACCUCAUCAAAUCCAAAGUCUUCCUCAAACUGGCCUAACCUUCGAUAAUCCAAUUUCAUAUAUUUUUAUAUAUGGCUUAAUUUUGCUUCUUUUCAUAAAAUUUGAAGUUCGGCCAACAGUCGUAUUUGAUUGACUCAUUUAAUAUAUAUACAUAUAUCUACACACAUGUACAUGCAGACAUACACACAUGUACAUGCAGACAUACACAUAUGUACAUGCAGACAUACACAUAUGUAUAUGUACACAUACACAUAUGUACAUGACACAUACACAUCCCUCGAUAUACACUCAUAUCAUUCAAUAAAGUUGUAAAGUUUUUCAAAUAUAUGAAAGGAGGAAUCUAAACUUUGAGCAUCAAUCUAAACAAUUUUAAUCGAUAUUAGUUAUUUUGUUUUGAUGUUUGAUAAUUAGUAAAAAAAAUAUAAAGUACCAUUAAAAAUAUAAAACCAAAAAGUUGUUGAAAAAACUUUUUCAAUUAUUAAUAAGUAAAAAAAAUCUUGAUAGUAAUGAUAUAUUAACACAAUCGUAUCUACGAAGUAGUAGGCCACUGCUAACGAAAAAAAAACUUAUAUGAUCAUUUUUCAUUGUUCUUAUAUUAACACAAUCCUCUCGUCUAAUAUAAUUCUAAUGGCAAUUGCAACUAUAACAAUAAAAAAAUUAUAGAAAAUCUAAAAGAAUCUAUAAAUACUGCAAAAUUCUGAUAAGACUAAAUCUAUCAAUAAUAGGUUUUAUCGAAUCCCCAAGUAACAGCAAAAAAGAAGACUGAGUAUUUAAUACUAUUGUUCUCAUGCAAGGCAAACAAAAAUUUACAUAAAAUGUUCCAAAUAACUUUAAUUCAAACUGUUACAAUCCUUGAACUAGAAAACAUUUUUCUUCCAAUAUACUAACUUUGCUCUUUUUAUUCGAGCACAACCUACAUCCAAAUAAAAACAUGCCUCUUUAUUCUAAGCCUCUUAGAGAGUAAGAAUGAAAGCCAUCACCACCACACACUUUAACCUGUGUUCCUCAUUCCAGCUGCGAUUCCAUUGAUGGUAAUAAGCAAUGCAUCUCUUAAUUUGUUAUUCUCAGCAUCACAUCUAAGCCUUUUUAAUAUCUCCACCUGCAAUAGGUUCAAAGGAUUAAGAUAAUGAAGUCUACUUUCGAUCAACUUCCUCAAACUUCGAUUGUUUUCGGAUAGUUUUUCAUGUCUGCUAACUACCAGAACAAACUUCUCCGUCUCAACUAGUUCCUUCCUCAAUGUUGAUCCAAUUUUGCGGCGACACUCUGACACAAGGACUUCAUCGUAAUGUUUUGCGAUGUGGGUAUCAGCUUUUCCUAAAACCAUCUCAAUAAGGUCUAGGGUGCUUUGGAAGAAAGGCCAUUCCUUGUACAUUGAUUUCAACUCUUCAGUGUGACCCUUUUCACAAACACCCUUUAAACCUGCCCCAACCCCAAGCCAAGCUGGAAGAACGGAUCUAGUUUGUGUCCAAGCAAAAACCCACGGUAUAGCUCGAAGAUGGCCAAUCCCAACCGAGGUCUUUCUUCUUGUUGGACGGCUUCCAAUGUUAAGGAAGCCAAGCUCUGCCUGAGGAGUGGCUUCGUUGAAGUAAGAAAUGAAUUCUGGAUUUUCAUAUACCAUGCUACGGUAAUUCUGACAGCUGAUUUUUGAGAUCUCCUCCAUGAGAUUACGCCAUUUUAUUUCUCGAGGUGGAAGUGGUGGACGUAGAGUUGAAAGGAGUACGGCCGUUGUAUAUAUCUCUAGUUGUCUAACAGCAGUCUGAGGUAACCCAAACUUGGCCUGCACCAUCUCUCCUUGCUCGGUUGAUCGUAAAGUACCCUGCCAAAUCGCUUUAAAUUGAUUCAAUAUGUUUAUGAUGAUUUGCAAUCUGCAUUUUUCCCAUAAGGUGCCAAAACAAAUUCCCACAGCAAAAAAUUAUUUGAGAAAGGACACAUGGAUUCAAAGAUCGGGAUGAAUGACUAAUGACAGAAGUGAAAUGAAUUUCAUCCCCAUAUUGCAUUCUAACAAAAUCAGAAUCUUUUCUGCAGAAAUCAAUGUUCUUACGUUCUUAUUAUCUGAAGAGAAUCAAAUAAAAAUUUCAACUUACCAUUACCGAACCUGGAGGCUGGGAUUGAAUGGCCAGGUACGUUGGCCCUCCUCCACGGCCGAUGCUCCCUCCACGCCCAUGGAACAGGGUAACCUUAAUACCAUACUCGUUACAUGCAGCCACAACAUCUUCUUGAGCUUUGUAAAGUUCCCAUGCAGCAGUGAAUCGCCCAGCAUCUUUGCCAGAAUCAGAAUAACCUACCAUGACCUGUCCAGAUGAACUUCUUUAAUAACUGAAAUAGUGACAGCUAGAAAGUAGAUCAUUUUGAUGUUACCUCUUGGUGCCCAUUAUGGUUCUUUAUUAUGUGCUCUCGAUACCAAUCAAUAGACAAUAGUUUCCUGAUCGACGAUCCGGCUUUCCUCAAGUCAUCCACAGUUUCAAAUAGAGGAACCACGCGCAACCUAUUUCAGGAAAUAUUUUAGCCCAUGGAUAAUCUUUUGCUACAUCUAGUUUGGCUCUCCUACCCUCUCAAGUAUUCGUUUUCAGGAGACCAGUGAGAAACAUGUUCAGUUGGUAUGAUAAAAAUAUAAUAUGAAACUUUUUCUAGCUGCAUUUCCAAGGACAUGAACACUCUGAUUGAACUUAUUUCAUCCGGCAAUACGUUUUAAUUGAUAAUACCAACAUUAUGCACCCAGCUUUCAAUAAUAAUAAUAGUGCAAAAAAUCACUUUAGUUCAUACACAAGAAUUUUGCAGGGUUAUUGUAUCAAAUGCUUAUCCUUAAGACUUACGUUCCACCAGGACAUGGUCGUCCUAACUCGCCACUAACAGCAAGUCGUGCAUCUUUCUGCAGAAGUUCCACUGCAAGGACGUCACUUGCCUGCAGUUAUCAGGAUUCAGGUGCAAUAUACUUUUACGAAAAAUCAAAAGAUAGUAUUGCUUUUGUUUGGAGCAGGUAGCACUGCUAUUGGAUCCAGUAAAAUUAAAUAAAAUAAAGAACCAUUUUCGUACAUUUGAGGCCAUAGAGAUCACAUAGGCACCAAGUGAUUCACUCCCUAACUCAGCAGCAACACGAAAGGUGUCCAAAACUUCUUUAACAUCAGAAGGAACCUGAAAGGGAAAAAUUUAGCCGAACAUGAGUUCUUAAAAUUUAAAGGGUUAACUAAUGCCAGACUAACCAUCAUUCUGAAACAAUCUGAGAACAAGAUUUUGUCUUAUACUAAGCUUGUCGCAUUAUCCACAAUUCAGUAGGAAACUUUCUAGUGGUAAAAACAUGCAUGUCAAUUUAAGUUAACAUUUGCAAACGUGAAUGUUAGUUCAUAAUUUCAUAACUACAAAACAAAAGAUCUUUGAAACCCAAGCCCAGCAGGACCUAAACCAAAGUCAUUCAUAAUAAAAAGCAUCCAUUCUCCCAGGAAGGAAAAUAUUGGAGAAACUCCCCGAUCAUAUCACUAGUAACCUAUGUCGAUCAUGUGAGAACCCAAAAUCACAACGCCAGAGAUUAUGAUCCAACUCUUCCUCUACUUUUCGACAAAGAAUACACAGCAGAAUAAACCAAGAGGGAACCUUUCUCACAACCAAUCCAUUGUAUUAGUGCGGCCAACUUGGCAGGUAAGAAACUUCACUUUCCUUGGAAUCUUAUCCUCUUGAGCGUCAAAAAGACCACUCGCCCAAGGAGAAGGGUUAGACAAACAACGAAAAAUACUUACUCCAGAAUCCCUACAAAGGAUUGGGACUCCAUAACCCUCAAAUCUCUUCUCCACGCCUAUAAAUGUUGCCCCGAGCGAAGACAAAGAGGGGCAAAUAGGUUGCUUCCCUUUCGGAGAGAGGAUGACUAAAUAUAAGAGAGUUAUCUAUAUACAUAUAAGAGAGUUAUCUAGCUUCCAUCUAAGUACUUGAUUCAUAUUUGAUCGUCAAUGAUGAUUUAUCAUUUUUAUAAUAUAAACUUAAGACAUUAUUCAGAUAUGAACUAGGUUAGAUUAGAAAAAACGAACAAAUUGUGAUACUUUUGCUCAAUAAUUAUCACAUGAGAUAAAAAGAAAAGAGAGACAAAACAUUGAAAAUAAGUGACUUUCGGUCGAUAGAUUUUUAUACUACUGCUGCGUGUAUUGUCCGUCAUUCAAAAGAAUAUCAUGAACUGUUAAGAAAUUCUAUUAGUCGAGUAACAAGUUGUAUCAUUUUUUCAACUGAAGUUUUACCUCAAUGGUUGGAGGAACUAGUGGCCGCUUCCCCUUCAGCUCUCUUGUUAAAAAUUCCAACUUCCUUUCUUCAUCCCAGUCACUAUAUGUACCCAUAUCCAAAUACGUUGUAAUGGCGUCCAGAGUCUCAGCAUGUCUACCAGAUUCCUGGUGACAAAAAAAUCAUAACCUCAAUACUUCAUCCCGAGGAAACUUAGGAACACAAUGAUAUACCCAGUUAAUUAACAUCUUUUCUGACAUGCUACUUCGGACGAAACAGUAUUUGACUAAAAUGCGGCAUACCUGACGUAAAUCCAGCUUCAUUAAUACCAUACCAAAUGUAGCAACUCUUCUAAUCAGAUCAACUAACCGACCAUCAGCAAGCACCACAGAUCCACAUGAUUGCUGCAUGAAUGGUGUGGCACAUAAAUAAGCGUACAGACUUACACUUUAAAAAGAAAUGAGAGAGAAGUCUGGAUUACCAGAGACUCAUAGCAAAGAAGCAGCGGCUCCAAGAGUUGAUUGGCAGUCUCAUAGUAAUCCGAAGGAUCAUGUUCACACGGAAGAUCCUCAAGAAGCAGCUCCAGCCUCCUCCGUGUUUUCACAAGCUGGCUCACCAAAGAUUACGUAAAACAUUCAAAACUUUUACUAAAUAAAAUAAAAUAAAUAAUGUACUUCAAUGGAUGAUAGCACCAUCUUUAGUUUUAUUUGUUCUUCUGCAAAAAUAGCAUAUUGUCAAAUGUUUAAAAUAUGAUGUACGAUAUUACGUUUCUCUAUUUCUUAUUUUGCAAUGUACAUUUUUUAGGGGAAAAAAUACCAUUAAGUUUAACAUGUGCACCUCUCUGUCGAGGGCAUAGACCAUAGCCAACGGAACUAGGACUAAAAAUAAAUUGCCAUAACAUACAAGUGUAACAAAUCAUUGUAUAACGAAAUUGUGGAAGUUCAAUCUCAAAUGUAAAUAUGCUUAAUCUUAUUUUAGGUUAGCAAGUUUGAGACUAAGCAUGUUAUUAACCAUACCGAGAAACAUUCCCAGAUAAUGUGACACAAAAAGGAAAACAAGAGCAACUUCAAAGCAACAAUCCUCCUAUUUAUUUGCCACAUCUUUAGUCAAUACGAACUUUUCUCCCAUCUGCUAAAGGAAUGUCUAAUGUGGCAUACAUUGAUGCCUGAUAAGAUGUUCACAGAAUCACAGUUCACACAUACAAUAAAAAGUCAAAAGAAAGUUAGAGGCAAGAAAGAAGAAAGAAUAGAGAUCUAUUUCUCCAUAUCUGUGGGAAUAUUUUUGCAUUUAACCUAUUAAAUAGCAAAUGUGGAUGUUCGAACUGACUCAUUGAUUCACACCUCAACUCCGUAAGUUGAAAUGUAAAAUAAGACGGUUCAAAAUCAUAUAACUUUGCCAGAUCAUUAAUCAAUAUCUAUGUCUAGAUUUCAAGACUUUCAUAGAAAACUUCAGGAGCCAAUUAUGAGAAACAAAGACGUCAACUCCAAUUCCAAUCCCAAAAGUUAAUACCCCAUGCUACAGAUCUCCUAAUAAUUACCUACACAGUGGUCUUAAUAUUUUGACCUCUCUUCAAGAGCUGAAUUUGCAUAGUAACAUCUUUAUGAAACCAAUUUUUGAGAUUCACAUCAUAACAUUUGGUGAAUCUAUCACCAACUGAAGGAGCAAAUUGUAAUAUUCACAGGUUAUCCAGUUCAAGAUCAUAUUAUUCACACGUUAUCCUAUGUAUUCCUGUAAUAAGCUCGCCAAAGUAGCCAAAAUGAAAAGCCAUACCUUCUCUUUUACACUACCCAGCACAACGCGGUAAGGUGCAAUUCCAGGACGUUGAGGGAGCCUGGGUUCUAAAAGCUUUUGAAAACUGGACCUCCCAAUCUGAGCUUCUGCAAACAGUUUCCUCUGAGCAAGGAGUUGACUCGAGUUGAAAGAUGCAUUACGAGGCAUAGAAUUGGAAUGAGAUGCACUUGCAGUAGGUGAACUCUCAUUUGAUAAAGAUGCACUUCCAGUAGGUGAAUUCCCAUUUGAUAAAGAUGCACUUGUUUUUGGAACAGUAAUUUCCUAGAAGGAACAAAUAGUUGGAGAACGAGCAUCAGUGCAACUGGUAAAAAUGAACAAUAUAAAACAAUGUGCAUUAGAGAAAUGAGAUCAUAAUAUCAAUAAAUGCACUCUAGAACUUGCAUCACCUGAUUAUUAGAUGAUGUAUGAUCAGUUCUCGGAAAUUCGACUCUAGAAUACCUGGACUCACCAUCAUUGCAAUCUGCAUGAACGGGUAAAUGAGAUUAACAGCCGUCCAUUUUGGCAAGAAGCGAGAACAGUAGGCUUUUAAGCAUAAUAAAAGGCACCCGUAAGCAGAAACAAGUCUUUCUGUGCAAACAGAGGAUGAAGAAAAGCGAAAUCCUUUUUUCACAACUCUGUUACUUCGUAAAAAUAUCAAGUCUUUCUCCACCCCACGAAAACUUUAACAAGCCACAUUAAAGAAAUAUUGCAUCUUCAAUGAAAUUUCAAAUAUGUCCAAAUUUGAAUUUGUUCGAGCAGGUAUUAUCAAGAUGAUGGUUUUUCAUGACAAAAGUUGAGAAUGCAUCUCCGGAAUAUCGCAUACCCGUGCAUGAAGGUAGAUCAGCCCUAUGUGGAAGUUGUCUUGGAAGUGCAGCAGCCUGAUGGCCCUGAUUCUUCAAUUCAUUUUUGGUCGAAGACUGAUUCCAUAUCUCGUUUCGAUCUUCAGAUGCAGCUUCUGAAUAAAUAAUGGAUGACCAUAAAUGUUAGAAUGGAGAUGACAUAUUACGGAAAUUGGCUAACACACAGUAUAUCAGACUCGUCUGCAUCAGACAUAGAGAAGAGAAUAGAAGUAUGUAGGAUUUCAAAUAUUUCGAGAAUGAUAAGACACCGGACUACAAACUGAUUGUACGUGUACGUGAUUGUAAAAAUUAAUGAUGUCAAAUCAAAGUGGAAAGGUAGCAUUUGCUUCAACAAUGUUGCUGUGUUCCUGUAAUCAAGAGCCUCAAACGUAAACAUUCUUCUUCACCUUGUUUCUUCUGCUUUUGUUCUUCUGAAGCAAUCAAAGAGUGCUUCCGUCUACGUUCAAUAAUGUACUAAAACUUCAAUAUUUAUUCACGAAACGUAUAUCUAGGGCAUUAAAACUUGAUAGCAAGGCUUCGCCCUUCCGUACUUAUUCCAACUUAAUAUUUCGAAGAGACGCUUACUUUUUGGGGGUACAGUUGACUACUAAAAAAGAACUGUAGCAGGUCUUUCCCAAGGACUGAAUUACCCUUUUCAAGAAUUUCAUGUGCAAGUCUGUAUAAUUUGUCGCUGCAUCGGUUCAUUGAAAGUUCAAAUUGCAAGCUAUCAAGCUCUCGAAUGUAUAAAUCAAUAGCCAUCCACCUAGACAGAAGAGAGACGUCUCUUGUGACCUGAAGAGCACGAAGGGGAAAAAUGCUUUCUUUUACUUUUCUUUGAAGGAAAAAAUAUGAAAAACUGCAACAUGUGAUAAAUUCAGUUCCAGAAUGAACCAGAACAAUGUUUCAAUCAGAGAAUAUAAGACGUGUUUCAUGGCUAUAAUAUCAUGUUGUAGAACACAGCGAAUAGUUUUGCUGUGCUUCUCUAACUAAUGGUGUCUUUGGCAUUACUUUCCCUACCCUAAAACUAAUGCAUAGUACUUCAGCAUUUUUUGGACAAUGCACUCAGAGCUUUGAUUGAAGCAUUCGUGCCCAUUUUGUUUAAAAAAAGUAAUUCAUGUAAAAUCAAACACUACUUCAAAACAUACACUUUUUCAAUAGAACUCCAAACACUAUCUGACACUAUCAAUAUACAACCAGAGUUAUGUCUAGGAAGGAACUAACAGAACCAUCACAGAACAACUAAACCAAGCUAUAACCCAACAACAGAGAAAAUGCAAAUUACUUGAAUAUCCGUACAAUCAAACUCUUCACAAGUAAAUCUAUCCCUCAUUAGAAAUAUAUUAGGGAACAAAGUAUUCACCAACACAGAGGCCUACCCAUAAUAUAUUUUUAUAGAGUGAUAUUAGGUAUUUUCAUAUUAGGCAUAUGAAGUAUCUUUAUGCUGAUGAUAUAACCCGAAUAUAUAUAGUUUCGUUCUAGUGAUUAUGAAUGUUAUAUUGAAACUCCAGACAUAUACAUUGAAUUCUAUCGAGAUUUCAAUAUCGGGAGCUUAGUGGAAUACUUUAGUUGCAAGUUGCAACAAUAUGAAGUGAUAUGGUUUGAGGAAGCCUGUUAUAUGAGCCUCGUUAAGUUUGAAAUUUUCAUCUCUUGAAACAAGAGUGGCAAUGAGAUUCAUUUUGCCCAAUAUUUUCUUUUACUUUCUUUACAAGUUUCCAUGUUCAUCCAAUAUUUUCAUGUUCUAGAUGAUGUUAUGAUGAACCCUACGCCUACAAGAUUUCAAACAGGUGUUAAAAUCAAAUAUUACCCCCAAGUAAACGUUAUGUGCACGGACUAGGUGAUUUUCAACUGAUGAAACAAUGUUUGCGUACAAUUUUCCAGAAGAAGGUAAUAAACAGAAAAGGAUGUUGAAAGUCUCACUUUUGCUGUGACAUUUGGAUUUCCGUCCCUGUCGCCUCCCAUCCAAGACCCAAAUUUUAUUGGCGUGCAAGUCAAAGGAAGCGACCUCCCAGUGUGCUAUGAGAAGGAUUGAAAAUACUAAAGUUAUAAAAAGAAAGAAAAUUCCAGAAAAUAAAUAAUAAUAAUAACGACACCAUAAAAGCAUUGAAGAAUAAUCAGCAUCAGAAACUAGUGGUAGACCUUCUUUAAUGCGUUGCUGAGUCGACGUAAAUAAUAAGGGACAGCUUUCCACAGGGACUGUUCCACGAUGUUCAAGCCUGAGAAAAACAAUUAUAAUUGCCAAAAUAUACAUGUGCAGAGAAACAAGUGAGUGUAGCAUUCAGACGACAGGUUUGUUCUCUUAAAAUUAAAUUUAAUAGUUUACCAGCCCUAGCUUCAUCAACUGGUGUGGGCUUGUGGCGUCUAAGUUCAUCUGUCUGCCAUAUUGAAGUUAUCUCUCUUACCUAAAACAUAGAACAAACAUGGACUAAGUCAGAAACAAGGGCAUAGACAAGAUUUUUCUUAUCAUGAAAAUUCCAGACCUAAAAUUCCCUUCCCAAACCCCAUAUGUUAAUUCCUAAAAUAUGAAGAAAAAUGAGAAGUGGUUUGAGAAAAUAAAAUAAUACCAGAUCCUCAAUUAGCAUUUCCCGAUCUUCAGGACUAAGGUCAGGUCGGUCAUUGUAGUCCAAUAGAUGCUGCAAAUAUCCUUUAAAUUAACCACCAAAGAUUACGUAGCAAGAGGUAGGAUAUUGCUAAUCAUAUUAUGGAAUUCACUGAUAACAUACAGCAAUGCGAAGAUGUUUAUACUGCAAAGUACGACGAUUUAUUUGAGUUGGAUGUGCUGUAAGAACAAUUUCAACCUCCUGUAAAGAUAAGAAUACAAGAUUAAGAAGAAAAUUUGACAAACUUACAGAUAAAUCGCUAAAUAUUUUAGACCAUGAAAACGGCAAAAUCAUAGUAAAAAUGUGCUUCGUCCUGUCAACUUAUUAUUAUUACUUCUCAGCAGUCAGAUAAUGCGAAUUGUAGUCGAUGAACUCAACCACCUCCAGCUAGUUCUAAAUUAUUUAGCCAUCCAAUUGAGGGCAUAAAGUUAUCUCUUUUUUCUUUUUCUACUUCUACUUCUACUUCCUUCCUUCUCUGUUGGGGGAAAAAGAAUCAAAAUAACAGUAAAAGACCUGCUUGCAAACACUGUCGUAAAGCUCAUUCGGAGAAACUCCACCCUGCAUUAGCUGAUUAAAAACUUCAUCGCAGGAUCUUGAAAGAGGUGCAAUAUUUCUCGACUUACGAACCCUGUCAAGUGUGAAAAGCAACAUUCAUUUCCAAGAAGAUGAUUCAAACAGCAGUCACUGUCAGAUCAAAACUAAAAUGGACUCCUAAAGAAAAUACAUAUUUUGAACCGAAAUACUACGUCCUGUAAUAUAGUCUCGUUCUCAGAGGGCUUUUUCUCCAAUUUUCCGGCAAGCCAAAAAGAACCACCGCGUAGUGUAACUAAAUUUUUUUCACAACAGAAUCACCAUUACCGAAUACGAACCCAGAAUCUCUUCUCUUCUGUUACUUUUCGAAUCUAUUUUUCAAAUAUAUGACCAAAGGACGAUAGUUUGAAAGUCAACCUACCUAUGAUGGGUUUCCGCAAUACCCAUCAAAUUGAGAGAAUGACUAAAUGCACGAGCCAAAGAUAAGGCUUCCUCUAAAGUCAGUUCUGACAACUCCGACGCAAGCUGCCUCUCAAGCAUCUCUGCCGUAUCCUCAAUACCCGCCAUCCUCAUAUUGCAAGCGCUCUGUACCAAAAGAAAAAAAAAACGAAAACGAUACAUCCGAUUAGACAUGUAACUUCAUUAUCAGACACAUCCAUCUAUCUCAUCAAUAUCACUCCACAGAAGAUUAACGAACCAAGUUCCAAACACAUCGAAAUCUCUACCAUGGACAACUCAAACUAAAAUCUGCAUCCACGAAAUCUCUAGCGUAUAUUUUGCCAUAAACUAAUGCAUGAUUAAGAUUCCUCCUCUCAGAACACAAAACAAAAUCGAAAGAAAAAACUACUCGCAAAUCAAGCAUAUCAUGAAUCGACUCUUCCAUUUCCCACACACCAAAAGAAAAAACUACUCGGCCGUACAUAGAACCAGACAACAACGACGACGACUGAGAGAAAAAAAAAACGAAAGAGUAAAAAAACAAAAACAAGAAUAGAGAGAGACCUGAGCGAGGACUCGAGUUCUUUCGAGUUUGUCCAUGAAUUGGCUACCAACUUCGCGUUGCAAGACAUCGUGAAGAAGGUUGUCGAGCAAUUUACAGUCGUCAUCGAAGCUUUGGAAGUAGAUUUCCUCAGCGAUAUCGUCAGUAGUGUCCGUCAUUGAUGGAAGAAGGAAGAAACGGAAAUAAAGAAGAGAGAGUGAGGUUUAGAGGAAGAAGAAGAUGAAAGGAUGAAAAGGUGAAGAGAGGGAUGAUUCAUUGAUUCAGUACUUAACUUAAAAAUUGUAUGAUUUUUCCUUUUUUUUCUUUUAAUUUUAAUAUUAUUAUUAUUAGAGUGGGCCCAAAAAUGGUGUAUGUAGCAGCCAACUAGGAUGUUACACGUGGCUGAAGUGCCGAAGAUGGUGGGAGCUGUUAAUAGUGAAGGGAGAUCGAUUUUGUCACCAGGUGAUUCUCCGUAAACACCGUGGCUACUCUAUUCAUGGCUUUUCAUUCUUCUUUUUUUUCUAUUUAAUAAUUGAGGCCCCAAUUUUUUAUUUAUAUCAUAUUUUCUUUUCUAAUUUUUAUCAAAUUUAACCAAAUCUUUAUAAAAUGUAAUAAAAUUUCACAAUUAAUAAAUACGGGUAUGCUUUUAUUAGUGUAGUAAAUAUUUAAUUUAUUUGGUUACUUUUAAAAUAGUCUCUUCAUAAUUCUUUCUUUUUUUUCUUUUUUUUUUUGAUAAAUCUCAUAUUUUAUUAGUUAUAUUGUCUAUUAGUGUGAUGUAUGGAAUAUAUGACAAACGUGGAGUGUUAAGAAUAUUUCGAUUGUUCGCACAUGUCAUAUAGGUCUGAGUCGGAUAUCCAAUUGCUUCGAUUUGAAUUAUAUAAAAAAGAUGGACAAUCAAACCUAUUUCUCAAUUCAAUAAAAACCCAAAUGGAAUGUAUCCACAUGUAAACAUACACUAGUACAAAAGUGGUCUACAACGACAGUAUCUAUUUAGUAUCUAUUUAAAUACUCUCGAAUGACCUCUUAUAAAAAUUAGAAUGUAUAUAACCUAUCCCUAUUUCAAUCUGGCCCGGUAUAAAAUGAACUUAUAAUCAUGGAAUCCAAUCAUCAGAUUAUAGAUAGUGAUAAAAUCUAAAAUUUUGAGCUUAUUUUAUUAUUUUAAAAAAUAUCUCUCGAUUUUUUAUUUUUUUUUUAGAAAUCUAAUCUAUUUAUUAGGCUAAUUACUAAGGGUAUGCAUGAGUUUUAUCAUUUUGAAAAUAAACAUUGUAUUUAGGAGAGUGAAAAAUAAACCUUAUAUUAUGUAAAUGGAUCUAAUUUUUCAAUCUUGGUUUAAAGAUUCAAGCUUGAAAACUAAAAAGUAUAAUACAAUCUAAAACGUGGACGUGGAUAAAAAUGUUUUGAUUCAAUUUUAUAGAAAUGUCUAUAUAUAUAUAUAUAAACUUUUACCAUUUUAUAAAAUAGUAAAAUGACAUAUUAGUAAGAACUAACCUUUCUUUGUUUAUGUUGUAUGGGCUUUCUUAUAAAAUAAAUGGAAAUCAAAAUUUAUUAACCUCAAACUCAAAAUGUGUAAAUAUAAAUGCAACCUCAAAAGAAAUUUAAUAGCUUGUACUAAAAUUGAGAUGACUUGACCAAAAUAAACCUAAACUUAAUCAGAAUCAAACAUAUACCAUCAACCUCAUAAAGAAUACUAUGGUACAUAUUAUUUGGUACAUAUUAUUUACUUUUGUAUAUUUUAUCAAAUUGCAUAAUGUGGAUGCAUGAAUAAUGUAGAUGUACCCAAACAUUAGUUGUUAUUUAUUUAGUUAAAAGCAUUAUUUUAUUUAAACACACUUUCCUUAUAAAGAAAAAUAAAUAGUGUAAGAAUUAUUGGAAAAUAUUGUGACGAGGAUAACGAGGAAGACAAUUAUGAGGGAAGGUCUAUUUUAAAAGAGAUUCCUUAAGUGCUUUUAUUUUAUAGUCUAAAGAAUAUUCCCUGCCUCCUUCUAUAUUCUAAUAAAGAUUCCUUCAAGAAGGAAAAUAACUUUUAGAAAAGGAAAAAAAGACCAGAUAUGUCGGUCAAUGUCUCACGCCAUAGGUAACGAAAAAUGUUCGAUUACACAAAAAAAAUAGAGAGGAGGGAGCGGAGAGAAUAUUUUUGUCACUGGCUAAACAAAGACGGACAUGAAUUAUAUAUGUAUAUGCAUACUCAUUAUAUGCUUAUCAAAGACAGGCAGAGAAGUUUAUCUUGAUGUGGUUUCAUCUCAUGGACAUUUGUAGCAUAGAGAUUUAUAAUUGAGCAACUAAAUGUAACCAACUUAAUCUCAUGUUUCCACCCUCCAUAGCACAAGAAAAUUUAUUCUUUUAAAACAAAUUAUUUGUUAUUAAAAAAGUGUCACGUUAAACAUUUUCAUUAUAUACUAGUUAGACUGUACAAAAGAUUUUUCUUUAUAAUAUUACUUAGAAAACAUUUUCCUUCAAAUGAUAGCAUGUUUUAAUACUUUAAAUUAUAAUACUAUUUUUCUUUGUGAAAUAAACAUACCAUAUUAGGUUAUUUGCCCAAAAACCUACAUUAUACAAUUUUGUUUCAAAGGUAAAAGGCCUACCUAAUGAUCCAUUUCUUUAUUAGAUAUGACAAAUUUGUUGUGCCAAAAACAAAGAAGUAAAAUAGGUGAAUUUUGAAUGUGCUUAACCCAUAUUGAAACGUGGACUAAGUUGCUAGAGGUAAUCUAUUACGAAGGAGCAUGAUUUUUUCAAGGACAAUCAAUCAAGUAACAACUACGAGAAGCCUAUGUGACCUUAUAGAUUAAUAUUCUUGUUACAUCGGUACUCGUAAUCCAUUUAUAUUAUAGUAAAAAAAUCUUCUGAAUUUGAUGUAGCCAGCCCCAAAUAUUGGUGUAUUACAUCGAGUUAUUAUCUUUUUACUUUGUCUUUAUUUUGUUAAUGGUCUUGUUAUAACAUUAGAUUUAACAUUGCUCUCUUUAUCAACAAGUUUUUUUAAGUCCCUAGAUUUCAAUAUUUACAUUUUUAACAUCAAUUUUUCUAUUUUUCGUUUUUUGUUUUAGUAUUUGUUAAUAAAAUUAAAAGAAUUAAAAGAUUUACAAUUAAUUAAAUUCACUAUUUUUCAUCACUCUAAAUUUAACUUUAAAAUUUUACUUAAUUAAUAAAAUAUUGAAAUGCCAACCUUUGAAGAUGGUAUUUAAUGAAAAAUUAAGGUUAAAAUAUAAAAUAUUGAAAUGAAUGAACUAAAUUGGAAUAAAACUUAAUUGUUAAAGAUAACUUUAUAACAUUUUAAUAGUUAGGAACUAAAUUGAAAUAAAAAUUAAUACUAAAUGUGUAACAUUUUCGAACUUAACAACUACAUAUAAAUUAAAUUUAAAACCUAAGUACCAAAAAUAUAUUUUUAUCUUAUAUCAAUUAAGAGAUCAAACAUUUAAUUAACAUAAGUAUAGUUCAACUAAUAUAAAUUUAGAGGAUUAAAGUUUGAUGCUUUUUGUUGGAAACCAUUUAUCAUCGUAGUUAACGUUACAAAUUGAAUGUAUGAUAUAUAAUUAUUACUAUUCUGAUAGUUACAAAUUUUAUAACCAUUUUUUUUUGUUAUAAUGUUAUGUUUUAAUAAAUUGAUCAAUAUAUACCUGAAAUUAAAUUUACACCUUUGUCUUUUCUAUAAAAUUGAGAAAAAGUUUGUGACAGUUCUUCUCCUUUUUCUAAGCUAUUAGUCUUAUUAUUUAGGUGUUUUUUAUUUCAUUCUUUAUUUCAACGAGUACACUUUUGAAUCGAUAUUUAGAAUUAUUUUUUCUCCAUCUCAAAUUGAACUUUGUAUAUAUAUGGUUUUUUCUUUAUGGGUCGGGAAAGAGCCAUUUUACUUUUUUUUAUUUUGUCUUAGAAAAAGAAAAUGUUAGGUUAAUAUAAUUAAAUAAUUAGAUGAUGUGAAUCAAAUUAUUUAAAAAAUAUUUUUAGUGUGUGUGGUUAUGAACUGAACUUGAUGUAGUUAUAAAAAACGUAUAAUGAAUCAAGUGGGACUAACUUUGUAUAGUUAAUUCCCCAACGUUCAUCACUCCAUUUAUAAUGAUUAAAUAUAAUGUUUAUAAUGUAUAGUUUUAAUCAUAUGAUACCAUGAAAAUGAAAGGCAUAGUAAAGAAGGAAAAUGAUUGCACUGCACGUGUAACGCUGCCAAUAACAUGUUUUUUUCUUCCUUUUAAUAAAGUUGAAUAAUUAUAGAAAAUAUCUCUCAAAACUAUUUGAGAAAUUAAUCUAGUUUUAUCUUGUAAAACUAGUACUCCUCUUCAAAAAAAAUCGAAAUCCUUCCAAUACUAUUUCGGUACAUCUUUCGGUGAGAUCGGUCACACAAAAUUUAACUAAAAGAUGUUUUUCAAAUGUUUGGGUUUUCCAUUUACAUCUCCGUAGGGCAUUACACGAGAUUUUACAAUUAUUCAAAUCUCAUCGAAUCUUAACUGAAAUAUGUGUAAGUUGCUGUAACUCUUAAUAUUUUUCGUUUUUUUUUUAUAUAUAUUUUUCAAAAUCAUACUUUAAAAUUUGUUAUCCGUAUUAAUUUCACUAGAUUGGAACUUUUAAACUAUAAUCGGCCCUAAUUACUUUCUAACGUUAGGAAAAUAAAGUAUGUUAACCAUCGUCAUUAGUAUAAGGACCAAAAUGAUCAUCUAUAUACCCAUCAUCUAAUUUUUCAAUUUUCGAUCUCUUAUUUUUCUCUCUUUUCUUUCCUCUUUUAUCUAACGUUCUAUAUUACUCCACUUCUUUCAAAUCUUAACAUCUAAAAUGACCUUCGUCUAAUUAUGGUAUUCUACGCUAUAAUAAUAAUAAUACCAACGAAAUCUCCCUUCGUUUUUUUUUAAAUCUUUUAUAAUUAAGCUAAUAGAUUUAGUUUGAAUUAAAGAUUAAAAUUAUGUAGAUUUUCUAAUGAAAAAAAUAAAAUAAAAUAACUUUUCAAUUGUUAGAUCUUAAAAUAUGAAAGAUCAAUCGUCUUACUUUCACUUAUUUAUGUGAAAGGCAAUAAAAAAAGAUGGACCAUAGUUGAUUUUUAUUUCAAGUUUUAGUAAAGCCUAACCGUAUGAGGUAGGUGGGGUUAUCUUUUAUUCUCACUCCUUGAUUAUGAUUGAGGAAAGUAAACACAACCUAAUUAAAAAUUUCAACUAGACUCAAUGUGGACUUUUGAUCACUAAGUAAUGAUAUUGUAUGCCUUUUUCUUUUAAUUGGUAGAGGGAUGGCGUAUAUAAGAUUUGAAAUAAAAAUCAAUUUAUACCCUUUUAAAUUAACUAGUUGGUAACAAGUGGUAGUUAGUUUUUCAUUUUAUUUAACUAAAUAAAAAUAGAGUAAUUAAUUACAAAAAUAAUAUAAAACUAUAAGUAUUUACUCGUGAUUUUUUUAAAUAUAUUUUUCAGUUUUAUUCUUGAAGAGGCUCAACAUUUGUUAAUGCAUGUGUAUAAAUUGAAUAAACUAAAAGAUAUAUAAAGAAUUUGAUAGUGUGAUUAUGAAACAAUCUAUUCAAUUAAACUUUAGAUCAAUUAGUAGUCUUUUCUUUUUUAUAUGUAUCAAUUAUAUAUAGAAUGUUUAAAUGAAUUCAAAUUUUGGACAUCGACGUCGAGAUUGUCUUAUUAUUAUUUGGACAUUGUGCUAAUUUUAUAUAUUUUAUGUAUUUCUAACAUAUUCAAGGAAUAUAAUUAUGUAAUAAUUUUUUAUAUUUGGGAGUUCAAUCAUUUUAGUUGAUGUCACUACAAGAAAAUGGAGAUCUCCAAACGCACAAAAGCAUCGAGAGAAAUAGAAAAAACAUUGGAAAAUGAUUUUUCGGUGCAUAAGUUUGCGUUAGGAUCGAAGCCGGGAAAAAUCUGUUGAAGAGGAUAUCCCAAUGCACGGGAUAUAGCGUCGGGAUAUCCUCUGUUUUUUUUUUAAAAAGAAAAAACACCUUCCCAUAUAUCAUCAUCAUUUUCCUACUUGGGUAACCAUCCAUUUGAUCAUCUUCUUCAACUUCCUCCACAUUUGUAGCUGUUGUGUGCAAACAAACAUAUGCAAAAAUUCAAACCACGAAAAUACACUAAGCUAGUAAGUAAACAACAAGAAAAAUAAAAUCUUAUUCUACCUUCUAAACUCACCAUGGUUGCCAAUAACAUAAAGAGCGGAUUACAACAUAUUCCUAAAUGUUGAAUAUAGCAAAAAAAUAGAAAUCAAUAACAAAUAUUUGAAUAAUCAUAAUAAAAGAAACUCAAUGAUAGAAAAGAAAAUUAAGAACAAAUUCAAAGGGGUUUAUAUUUAGGAUUUUAAACUUUGAAUUACCUCAAACCAAGAAGUUGUGAAAGAGACGAAGACGAAGGGAGUGGCGGCGGCGAACAACGAUCUCUCUCGCAGCCUCUUCCUCUUUUUCUUUCAUCUUUUCCUUUUUAUUUGAGUUAUGUGUUAUGUGUUAUGUGAAUACAAAACUCAAAUAUGUAGGGGAUCUCCCAACGCAAUUCGCGAACGCCAGUGAUCCACCUAUUCUCGAUGCCAUGCAUAACGGUGUCGAGAAAAGUGCUAGCAUGACGUCGGAAUUGUCAAUCUUUCACCAACGCCAUUAUGCACGACGUUGGAAUUGUCAACCUUUUACGACAGAGCUUCUAUGGUGUCGGAAAAAGCUUUUUCUUCCAACGUCUUUUAUCCCAAAGUUCGUGUUGUGUGUCAUAAAUUACUUAUUUUCUUGUAGUGUGUCCUAUAACAAAUUUUUGAGAAAUCGCACCAAUUUCUCAUUUACUUGAGGGUAAUUUUUUUUUCAAUAUAAUCUAAUUGAUGGAAUGCUUCCACUUAUUUUAUGAGAUAAUUACUUCAAAUAUUAUUUUACUUUAAAAUUAACUCAUUUUAAGGACGUUAGUGGCUCUCCGUCUUCUCAAACACUUUGACAUCGAAAUCAAUUUGGAUCAUUUAUUAAGGUUGCCUUUAUAAAUCAUGAAUGCAUGAAUUCUUACACGGACACUAGCUUCUUUAAAUGUGGAUAGAUGAAAUGUAGAAUGAAAGUUUAUGCAUAAGCUAUUUUUAAAGAAAUGGCAAACUAAAAAUCCAAUUUGAUAAGUUGAGAGUCUAAUCAAUACAUAUAACAAAGUCCAUAGUUUAAAUAGACAUGAUUGGAUUUGUUAAUGUUAAAUUUAGAAAACGAUUGGUUAAUAGAAAACAUACCAUCUACAUCUAUGUCACAUCACUAUAACAUAGCAUCCAUGUCACAUCACCAUUAUUUUUAUUAAAUUUUAAUAAUUAACUUUGAAAGUGGGGGACUUGAUAGCAAUGCUUUUGAGUACUUUAAAAUAUUUAAUUAUCGUUAAUCCAUCCUAACAUUUAUAUAAUUACAUAUCUUAAUUUAACCAAAAUAUGGUAGGUUGAUUUGGUAUAAUAUAUUAACUCAUUUUUUAGUCCAUCAAUUUUGAGUAUUGAUUUUGUAUAUUUUAGCAUCUUAAUCUAAUUCUAAUUCUAUCGUCUUCUAAUGUUUCUAGUGUUCUGUUCAUUGGCUAUUGUCAAAAGUAUUGUUUCCACACUACAUAAACUAACUUUGGUGACUACUUUUAUACGUCCAACUCUAGGUUCACACAAUCAACUUAAAAAUAUAUAUUAAUUAUCUUUUAUGCACAUUCAACUCAUAUGUUCUAUGAUUGUUAAAGCGUGUGGUGGAGUUGUUUAUUAUAUAAAUAAUGAUAUACUCUUUAAGUCUAAUAAUUAUAUCUAAAAUAAAUCCACAUAUCAAAUCAAUGUUAAUAAUUUGGAAAAGCAUGUAUAUAGUAGAAUGGACAAAACGUUAAGAAAAAACAAACAAAAAUAAAAGUAACAAAAAAAUCAUAGACUAUAAAUUUAUUUUCAUUUAACUAUGUUAUUGCAAAAGAAAGAUAUAUAUGUAUUUGAUUAAGUUUGAAUGACCCCAAACAACCAUUAGAAGUGUAAUGUUAUCUUGCAAAAUUAUAAAAAUAUUAUUUUGCAGAAGUUUGUACCAUAAAAUUAUAAAAUUAGAAACUGGAAAAAACAAAAACAAAAGAAGAAAGGGGUCCACCGGUGGAGAUAUUUUAAAAUUAGUCCUCUUUUUUGUCACCCUGACAUACUAAUAUUACACGUAUCUCUCUAAUCUCUACUAACAAUAACAAUAGAACAUUACACGUGUUGAGUUCUAAAUGGUAGUUUUACAAGAUUGACCUUCCACUUCCCCAAAUCUCUACUCCAAAACAAUAACCCUCAACUUUUUUUGUGUAAUUUCUCUAACGAUUUUCACAUUCCAAUUUUCUCUAAAUUACUUUUUUGUAUCUUUUUUCUCUUUCAAAAAAUAUAUAGAUAAAAUUUCAUUAACGUUAAUCAAAAUUGAACCAAAGGAAGGAGUAUUGAGAAGGUUUGUUUGAACCACCUAAAAGUCCUAAAAUUAAAUAUUUAAAGAAUUGUAUAUUUAUUUAAGAUUUGUUUUUAUUUGCUACCGUUACAUUUCAUUCAAUAUUUUAUUUAGUAUAAAUAGAGUUGUAAUUUUUACGUUAAAAAAGUAAGAAUUUUGAUGGAUGAAAUCUGAAAAUUCUAAAAUGCAAAAUAUUUCAAAGGUUCAGGUGAGAGUUGAUUUGUCUUGCUUGUGGAGAGCUUUGAAGAUUGAUGGUUGAUGGGAGUUUCAAAACUUUGUAUAAUCAUGGUUUGUUAGAUCAUCUACACAAUAUAAAUUUAGGAGUUGGAAUCAAUUUGGUUUUGGAUUGUUAGAGUUGUGUUCUUUGGCUCUCGUUGUUUAACAUGGUUUUUAAAUACAAUGUCUUAGGGUUUCACAUUCAACUUGGUUUGAGAAUUAUAUUAUAACAUAUUUUCAAGUUCCAUUUAUAACAAUAACAAAUAUAUAUUAGAAAAAACAGUAACGUGCUCCUCUUCAUAGCAAAAGAUCAUGCAGUGAACAAACAACGAUAUUCACAAAUACCGCAACAUGUUUCAAGAAUUCUUUUAUGAUAUGGAAGGCCAAAUAGUACUACAACCACGUUGAGAAAUUGUAGAAACUUCAAACUUGGCUCUAUCAUACCACGUUGUUGGAAAAACCUCCCAAAUUUACUGAAGGAAAAAACAAAAAAAAUGAUUGAAAAAAAUUAAAAGAAAGCAAAAGAAAAAAAUUUAAGACAAAAAAUUAGGUGAAAAACUUCAACAAGUCGAAAAAAAUUGUUACAAUAACACUCUCUCAAAGCUUGAUUAUUCAUGCAUUUUCUUCCCCUCUCCAACUAAAGAAUACAAAAAAAUUUGAACCAAGUUAACCCUAAUCUUAAAAAGUUUAUAAUUAGAAAACAUUGAAAUAGAGGCAUAAACUUCUUUUAUAAACUUAGAGCUCGUCCCCUUUGACUACACUUUUAAUUUUUAAUCAAAACCCAACAAAUAUAACACAACAUAAAGAAUUUGUAAAUAUAAUUAACAAAUUUCAAAUCUACCUACCAAAGUCAUUUAAUAGAAAUCUAUCAAUAAUAAAAUUUACCAUAGAUAAAACUUAUUAACUAUAAACUCUAUCAUCAAUAGCUUUUAUAUUAUCGACAAAACUUUAAAAUAAUAGUUGUUAUACACUUAAUUAUUAUUUCUAAUCGGUUUCUAUCACAAUUAUAUUCCAAUUGUAUGGUAAUCAACAGUGUUGUAUUGGAUUGAAAACCCAACAAACCAAUAAUGGACUUGGACUCUAAACUCAUUCUAACCCAUUGUAACCUCAAACGUCAUCUGUGUUGUUGAUAGGUACUUAAUAAUAAUAAUUAUAAAAUAAAUAUACAUAAACUUUUUAAUAUUGUAGCAUUAUCAAUAUCAACAUCCCAUCACUCAAAAAUAUAAAAAAAAAUUACUCACAACUGUUUACUCUUAAAUAAUUGACACCUUACUCUAAGCUUGCUGCCCAAGCAAGAACCAUAUAAAUUCUUUACAUUAACUAAUUAAUUACUUAUUAAUAAGAUAAAGUUAAAAAUCAACCAAUUGCAUCACUCCACGUUCUUCCUUUCUUCAUUGCUACUGCUGACUCACAGUCAAACUGGGACCCACUUUGACCGGCCAUAUAUAAAACGAUAAAUAAUAAUAACGCCGGAGGAAAUUUGAAAUCGCCGCCGUUGGGGGAGAUUGAAUUUGAGGCGACACAACUUGGGGGGGGCGAGCCGACGUAAAUGCAGAAGAGCACGGCGGAGAGGGCGGCGCCAGUGCCGAGAGUUGCAGUGGUGGUUUACAUUUUGAAAGGGAAGUCAGUGUUAAUGGGUCGAAGGCUUUCCUCCGCCGGUGACUCCAGCCACUUCACCUUCGCACUCCCCGGCGGACACCUGGAGUUCGGUACAUCUUUCUCUCUCUCUCUUGAUUAUGAUUUUCAUCUCUUUCUCUCUCUUACUGCCAUGUGAAACAAAGGGAAAUUUGGUGAUUGUUUUAUGGUUGGAUAUUAUUGCAGGCGAGGAGUUUGAAGAAUGUGCUGUGAGAGAAGUUAAGGAAGAAACAGGAUUGGACAUUGAGAAAACAGAGUUUUUGACUGUUACAAACGUUCCUUUUCUCAAUGAUCCAAAGCCUUCUCAUUAUGUCACCAUUUCUAUGCGAGCUGUUUUGUCCGAUCCCUCGCAAGUUCCGGAAAAUCUUGAGCCAAACAAGUGCAGUGGCUGGGACUGGUAUGACUGGGAUCAUCUUCCAAAUCCUCUAUUUUGGCCUAUGAAGAAGAUGAUAAGAAGUGGGUUUAAUCCAUUUCCUGUUUGAUUGGUGUUCUUAUCAGUGUACUCAUGUAAUUGAUGAAUCUGAUAUGUUAAUCUCUCUGAUGCUUUAGCUUUUUGUUUUGUGUCUUAAUGCAUAUUAGUUUGGUUGAUGAAGAUGAAUGUUAUGGGGGCUUAUUGAGUGGAUUGUGUAACCUUUAUUUGAAUGUUUCAAGGUAUGGCUACUGGGUACCAAAGGUCAUGUACCUUUUAAAUUGCUCCUUUAGUUAUUUCAAAUUUGUGUUUGAGAAAACCUUCUUCUGAUCAUAAUUCCUCACUGUUUUCUUUCAUAAUUGUGUUGAGGAUCGGGCGUGAUGAGUACUUCUCUAGUUGUCAAUUAAUUUUGAAAUGAAAUACAUGUUAUCUAAGAUGUCAUAUGAACCCACGAGGAAGAAUAGGAAAAUUUCAAGGGACUUCACAUAAUUCUUACAAGAUAAGAUAGAUCAUGCUAUUUCUCUCAUGUUUCAAUUGUUUUUAAAUGAAACAUCAUUUUUGUUACUGGGAGCUCUUAGGGAAAAAUGCAAAUCUAUUGAAGGUUAAGGUUUUGGCAAAGAAGUUGCCAAAAGUCACAAAUUAAAUAUGUUUCUGAUUAAUAGAUCAAAUGGGCACUGAUCUUUCUAUAACAAAUACAGUAACUGAUAACUGUGUCAAGUAGAAAGAACAAAGACGAAGAAAAAAACACAAACAAACUCAGUUAUAUCUUCACCUUGAAUAUCCUCCCUUAAGGCCCUCUCAUGCUAAUGUGUAACUAAGAUAAAACACUUUGUACUUCUGUAUCAAAUGUGUGUGAAGAUAAAACACUCGGUGCUUGUGUAUCAAAUGUGUGUUUGGCCUAAAAAUUCAUUAAUUCCACUCUUAUGAAAACAACAAUUUUAUACUUUAUCAAUUCGAAUUCACUUCUUAAUCUCUAGCUAGGAGUUGAAAGAGGUUUAGUUGAAUACAUUGAAAUUUGAGCUUUUACCUGGAAAAACCAAGUAUCCAACUUAUAGAUAAUACUAAAGUAUGAUGGGUUAUUUGACUCUAAAACUUAAGUUUACUGUUUAGUGUGUUUAUUGAUGUAAUAAAUGGUUGUGAAAGGAGCAAAUUUAAGUUUGAAGAAAGUAAAGCAUCGGUGGUGUAUUUUUUAAAUUUGAUUUGAGAACAUAAUAAGGUGCGUAAAGAAAAGUGCCCUUAUGAAGAGAAUUCAUAAUUUUGUUAUGCCUUUGUGCAGAAACCAUCACACAGUGGCCCAGGAACACAAUUACAAAAUUUUGGAUAUGAUUGAUUUGAAAAAUAUGCUGUUGGGUCACGGCUAAAGGCUUAUCACUCCAGUGAAUUGUCAUAUAUAUAUAUAUAUAUAUUCUGAACGUGAAUGUCUAUUAACUAAUGCAAAACAAUUACAUGGAAAAUAGUUAUACUUAAAGUAUAAUUUCUUUCCUUCGUUCUAAAAAAGAAAAGGUAAAUUUUGAGAUCUAAAAAUAAAAUUAAAAACUCAAAUUUCAAACUAUUUGAAAGAAUGAGUUUUGAAAAAGAAGUUGUAGAAUGACUUAACACAUUCAUUAAACUUUUUUUGAUUGCAUUUAAAAAACAAGUUUUGUAAUUAAAUAACAAUGUAGAAAAGAAAAAUACUUGAAUUAUUAUUUUAUGAUUUCCGAGGAGACAAUAUUACAUAAUGACUUUAAAUUUUGUGGUUACGAUAUUGUUUGGGUUUAGAGGUCCUUUUUGAAACCUAACUCUCCAAAUUUCUUUCAUUAUCUACCACCGUACCAUUAUGUUAUUAAUUAUUUGUGUAACACACAAUUCUCCCAAGUAGGUUGGGUUGCUCAACUUCCUCCUCUUUCCUGAUUCUCUUUAGCUACUCCCCUUUUGUUCUUCUCCCACAUUAUCUAACUAAUUGAAAGUGACCAUACAAUUACAUUAACAAAUAUUAAUCUUUCCAUCAAAUUUUUUAUUUAAAUUGAUUCUGAACUAAAAUGUAUGUGCAAUUUAAUUAAGGACAGGAUCCAAUCUUUCACUUCUCAAAUCAUCUAAACUCAUCUUAACUUAAUAAAUAGAAAUGUUUAGUAUGUUAAUCUAAUUUGAUUUAAAGUCGUUGUAUAAUAAAUUAACAAUAUGAGUGUAUUUGGGAUUUGUUUUUAUUUUCUUUUAAUUUUAUAUAAAAGUUAGGUUCAAAUAAUUCUAUUGCAUCAAAUUUCAGCUUUUUACUGAUCUAAUUCCUCAAUUCAAAGAAUGUUUUGUUGUGUAAUUUGAGUGUUUCAACAAAUUAUUGACCAAAUCUAUAUCCCUAUGUUAGUUUAGAAAAGAAAUAUUCAGUACUAUGAAAUUACUCACUUUUUGUUUAUAUACUAUGGAAUUACUUUUAUAAAUGACUUUUUUUUCUUAAGUACAUACUAGUUUAAUAUAACGUUGCCACAUUCUUAAAGAUGUUGAUAUGUGACUAAUCAGUAAUAAUAAAAAUACAUAGUGCUCAAUUAUUGUAGUAUAUGAGAAGAUUUCUACCAUUUCUAUUAUAUACCAUGACUCAUCCAUCUAUUCAUAUAAUAGCAUACCAAAGAGCUACCAUUUGAAAAUACUUUUUUUUGCUUUUUCAAAACUAUUUUUAAAAAAUAAAAUGGGUGAAAGAUAUAAUUUAAUAAUAAAACUAUUUUUAAAUGUAACAAAAUAAACUUAAAUAUUUACAAAAUAUAACAACACAAUUAUCUAUAAUUUUUCCAUGUGUGUAUAUAUAUAUAUAUAUGAAAGUAAGUAUAACCACCAAACACAGGAGAACCAAGUGUGUUUAUAUUAAACUCACAAAGCUCCACCUUCCAUUGCUCAUUAAGUCUUACCCACCAGGACAAGACAAAGACAUACAAGAAAGAUCAUCAUCUUUGUUUCUGUCUUUGUUUAACUUUCCAUCUUAUUAUUUUUUCUUUUUCUGAAGAUGAAAACGAUUAUGGCCAAUUCUUCUUCACAUGAUUCCUUCUCCUUCUCCAAGAGAUAUAAUCAUUAUUUCAACUUCAACAAAAACACCAAACACAACCAUAACCAACACCAAGAUCAAGAAGAUGACCACCACCAAAUCCUAACCGUCAACCCUCCAAAACACAAGCACACCACUGCUGUCUCCGUCUCCAAGCUCCGUUCCGCCAUUGCAUUAUCGUUCGGGAUUAGGACUCGGUCGUGUCGAGUCCUGGGGACGAUAUUCGGUCAUAGACGAGGGCACGUGCAUUUCUCGGUACAAACAGAGGGGAGUGCGAAGCCGAUGUUCUUAGUGGAGCUAGCGAUGCCGACGACUGCGCUCGUUCGAGAAAUGGCGUCGGGGGUGGCGAGGAUUGCGUUGGAGUGCGAGAGAGGGGAGAAAAAGAAGAAGAAGGGAGAGUUGAACGAGGAAGGGAUAUGGAGAGCAUAUUGUAAUGGGAAGAAGUAUGGAGUUGCUCAUAGGUUUGAGUGUGGGGCUGAAGAAUGGAGGAUUCUUAGAGCUGUUGGGCCUAUAACUGUUGGAGCUGGGGUGUUGCCUGGGAUUGAAGAGGGAGGUUGUGAAGGUGAAGUGAUGUUCAUGAGGGCUAGGUUUGAGAGAGUCGUGGGUUCGAAGGAUUCAGAAGCUUUUUACAUGAUUAACCCUGAUGGGGUUGGUGGCCCUGAGCUUAGUAUUUUUUUGCUCAGGGUUUGAUUCGUUUCUCUCGCAAGAACAGUACUUGGAGUAUAGUUUGGGUUACAGUAAUCUUCAUCGAUAUACAUGACAAGUACUUCUGGUCUCAUACUUGAAAGAGCUGCAAAAAAAAAAAGAAAAAAAAAGAUGGAUGUAGUUCAGAAUUCACUCAAGUAUUUUUCUUCUUCUCUACUUUCACCAACUCUUUUUUUUCUUCUUCUUCUUUUUCAUAAAAGAAAAUCUUUAUAUCCAUUUGAAGCUUUGUAGGGGAAGGGUUUUGCAGUAAUAAUAAUAUGUAUUAAAUAUGACUCAUGAGCAUAAUAACAAUAACAAUAAUCUUAUAUCUUGGAAAAUUUCAGUCAUUUAAUUGCAUUGUUUUUCAGCUACAUUAUUAUUGUGUUGUUAUCUUUGGUUCGAUUAACUCAGGCUGAAAUCACUAUGAUUAAAUUGAAGAUACCUUCAAAAAAAUUAAAUACUAUUUUAGAUCAGUAACACUCAUUUUUGGCCUUGAGAUUUAAAGAGAUAGUAGAUUUUCAAAACCAUAAACUUAGUUUCCAUUUCAUUCUUCUAAGUGAUAUUUUGGAUUCCAAAAUUUGAUUUUUGAUUGGUACAUGAAGUUUUAAAUUAACUUCUAAAUGAUGCUAACGGAAGUUGAGAUCUCAAAUAAUGAAAAAAAACAUUGUAGUAAACAAAACUAGACUUUGAUGAUGAUAUAUACACACACAUGAUGAAGAUAAGGAAAUUAAAAUCAAAGACUAAAUGGGACUGAAGGUAAUUAAAUGUAGAGAAAAUAAUUAAUUUUCUUGAUAUUGAAAACUUACUUUUGAAACCAAUCAUUUAAAUGCAUGCAUUCACAAAAUUGUCAAAUUAAAUAAAAAAGAAUCAUUAAGAGCUAUCAUUAAAAGUUCAAAUAUAAAUUAAGUAGCCCAAAUAGAGCGCACUAACAUACUUCAACUAAGGUAUAGAUAUCUUAGCCAUCAAGAGAUCUAUGUGAUUUGAACUAAAAAAUUGAAUUGAUUUGACUUUAUUUUUAAUGUACUUUCUUUACAACUUUAAGGAUUAUAACGUUGGUACAUACUAAAAUUUAAUUUUUAAUAAUAAAAUUAGUGUAUAUAUAUCACUUAAUGAUAUAAUAAUUAACUAGAAAUCAAGAGAUUAUAACAACCCUUCUGACUUUAAAUAAAUACUUUAGAGUUGAGCUUUGAGGCUUUCUUGAUGGAAAGCCCAUUAGUCUCCAAGUAUUUUGCAUACACAUACUAAUAUUUAGGGGUGGAAACAAUUGCAAAUAUAAUCGUGUAUAUAUAUAUAGUAACAUUCUGAAAAAAUUACAAAUAUAUAGCAAAUUCUAUUAACAAUAUAUCUUUUAUUGUAAAAAAAAACUAUAUCAUUCAUGGUCUAUCAUAUAUAUCAAUGUAUUUAUAAAAGUUUUGUUACUGUCUAGUAAAGUUUUUGCAAUCAUUUUGUUAGAUGAUUAAAUUAGGAUAUUAGAUGAUUAAGUAGUGUGCUAAUUCUUUUUUUUUUUUUUAACUUAUUUUAAUAAUAAUGAAAGAAAAUUAAAAAUUAAAAAAAAACUUUAGAAAAAUAAGUUAUAUUUUUCUAAAACAAAAAUAAGUUAUCAAAUAUAUAUGAUUUUUUAAUUUAAUAAACAAAAAUUUAAGAAAAAAAUUGAAAUAGUUACCCAAGGAGUUUUGUUGCAAUGUAUUUUUGGUUUUUCUUUUUAAAAAAAUUAUGAUGUAAUUGAAAAUUGUUUUUAACCUAAUCAAGGAUUGUUGUAAUAUUUAAGUUUUUUUUUCUAAAAAAAAAACUAUAAAGUCCUAAUAUUUAAAUGUCUCUAAAUUAUGAGGAUUUGUGAUUCUAAUUGCUGCUUUAUCCGAUUAGAACAUUCCACAAUAAUUUAUUUAACUAAAAAUUACAUUAGAAAUGCUCCACCUAAAGAAUUUAGUCCAAAAUUUUCACUAACUUUAUUCUUUAUUCUUUCUAUUUGAUGUAACAAUUUUGUCUCCAAAAUUGCAGCAUAAAUAAAUCAAUAAAUUAAUUAAAAACUAAAUAUUUUGAUAAAAUACAAAGUGUACCUCAUAAAAUAAUAAAAAUGAACGUAAAAUUUUAAUAUAUUUUUAACAUUAGAAAUAAAAUAGUUGUAUCAAAACAAAAUUUUUAUGAAAUGGAAACUACGAUUGUUGGGGAGAGAUUAAAGGUGUAAUUUAAUGAAGAAGUAAAAACAAAAUUUGGUAAAUAAAGUAGUAAAUAGAAUAUUGAAAUUUAGUUAAAAAGAAAAGAAAAUGAGUUGUGGGGUUGGGACCCUACAACACCGACAAAGUGAAAUAGGUCAAAACCGGGUUUGAAUUUUAGAAUCUCUUUUGGAAUAAUUCUGACCCAAAUUAGCGGAGUCGGGUCGGGUGCCACCAUAUUAUUUUAUUCACUUAUUCAUUAAUUAAAACUAAACUACAUAAAUUCCUCAUUUAAUUCCCUUCAUUAGGAAACACCUUCCUGAUUAACACCCAUAACAUCCUCUUAAUUCAUUUAUCCCAUUACUAUAUUACUAUAUUACUAUUUCUUUUUUCUUUUUUCCAAACACACACACAAAUUUACCAUUUUAACCUCAACUUUAAACCCUAUAUCGGUUUGAAUGUUCUAAGUUUGAAAUUUUAAACGAGUCUAACGCUAUAAAACCCUUCAUGGUGUCUCUUGGAAUCAUGCCCUUUCCUUUUGUUGAGAGUGACAUAAGAAUACAUAGAUGAAGAGAGUCGUAUCUACCAAUGGUCUAAACCACAUGGUGUUUGAUAUAUGAAUAUGUGGAAGAUUAGUUUAGUCAAAAGUGAAAUUAUGAUAUAAUGUUUGUAUAAUUUCCAAAUAUUUUGAUCCUAUAAUGUCAAAGUUAUUAUUAUAGCAGUUUUUGGAAGUAGAACUGUCUUCACUUCCUUGUUUUUCCAACUCCUUUGCCCCUACUUGUAUAAUUAGUCAUGUCUCCAUUUACAAAAAAAGUUUUAUAUUUGUAGUUGAAUGCUGACUUUUAGCAUACAAACAUUAAAUGCAUUUCAUUUCCUUGUUUAAGAAAAACAAUAAAAAUUUUGGUAGGUUUAUUACUAAUUCUUUUAAUCAGAAUAAAUUAAUUAUUUAGCCAUGAUUAAAUCUCAAUUUUUUUUAAAAAAAAAAUACACUCUAAAAAUGUAUGCAUUAAUUUUCCCCCUCUUUUAUACAAAUUAAUAUAAUAUAUAAAUGAAAAUCCAUUAGAGCUAUGUUGGAAAUGGAAAAAUGUACUUUAAUUUUUAAAAAUGUAAUAUUGCCAAUUUUCAUUAAAUCAACCAAUAAAGUCUCCCUAACAUGGAAAGUUUUUUGCACAAUCUUCUGCUGGAAUUUUGCCAUAUUUCAGGUAUAUUUAUUCUGAAAAAUUCUAAGUAUUAAAUACAUAUAAUCUAUAUUUGUAUAGUUUAUACUUAAGGAAAAUAAUUAGGUGUUGUUUAUUUAUUUAUUUUUUAAAAAAUAAUAAUCAUAUAUCUAUUUUUAUAUAUGUUUACGGUCUUAGUAAACUUUUGCUUGGUUGUUAUUUGAGAUGCAUAUAGAGAUUUAUAGGUAACUAGACAACACUCAAGUUUCUUAUAUAAUGAUAUAUUAAAUAGUAUGAAUAUGUGAGAUAUAAGCCAACUAAAUGUUAAUAAAUUAAGUACUUGGUAGAAACAUAAAGGAACUAACAAUCGUGAAAGUGAACAUACCAAAGAUGUUAGCUACCGUGAAGGCUUGUGAUACAUAAAUAACAUAUCAAUUUAUUAUUGAAAAUAAUAAAAAAAAAAAAGAGGCUAGCAAGAUAGGCUUUUACUUGUACCAAUAAAACAAACUUAUAGACCUAAAUAUCCAUUACAAAGUUUUUCUUUAAUACCAUAUUGAAAACUCUCCCUGUAUAAUUGAGAGAAUUUUAGAGAGACAAAAAGAAAGGAAAAAGAGAGAGCCUUUUAGGCUUCUCAACAUACAACCAUGUUAAAAGGAAACUUUAAAAGAAAAAUUAAGUUAAAUAACAUAAUGAUAAGAUAUGAAAUUUACUAUAUAUACAAUAAUUCCUUUAAUUAAUACUUUAAAAAUCCAAAAUGUACGGACAAAAUAAGAUAUUAAAACUAAAAUAUCUUGAUUUAAAAGUGUAUUAAAAGUAAAAAUAAAAAAGGACAAUUUUGGUAAUUAGAAGAAAAGGCAUGCAUAAAUAAAAAAUAAAAAAAAAAUAAUCCAAGCUGUCUUUUCAAAAUUUCACUUCCUUAUAUGAACUGCACCUUCCUAAUAUUGCUUCAUCUGGGACCAUCCAAUUUUCAUUCAGUAUUUAUAUAAUCAAUUAAUUAGGGGAAUUCAUUAUUUCAACCCAAAAAUAAAAAACAUAGAUGGAUCAUAACUACUACAAUUCGAAUUCCCUACCUGUGAAUUAAUUGAAAAUUAGGCCAUAAAUAAUAAUAAAAGAAAAAGAAAGGAAAUUAAGAGAACCUCUUUCACAUAUAAACAAAUGGAAUUUUGUAUACACACUAUAUCUAUAAUUCUACAUAUAAAUAUAUAUAUAUGUUUCUUUUUUCCAACAAAGAGAAGAAAAAAAAAAAGAAAAAAGAGCCUGUAGAUUGCAAUUAGGAUCUUAGAUUAGAAUGACAGGCGUUGGGGGGGAAAAUGCUCCAAAAUUAAGGACGAGUUGAGAGAAAGAGAGAGAGAGAGAGAGAGAGAGAACUCAGUUGAGCGGGGCGGAGUUGAUGAGCGAGUUGUGUCUUUUUGAAGGAGCGGAAGGCGGAAUGGGGCCUUUGGGAAGGAAGCUGAAGAUUUGAUGGUUGAAGCGGAAAGCGGUGGUGAGGUGGGUAUUGUGAGACGAGGGCUCCGUCAUUGUGGUUGCUGGAAAUGGGCGUGCGGUGGUGAAAUUGGGAAGGGGAAGAAUGAGGAGGAGGAUGAAGAAAAUGGAGGAGGAGGCCAUUAGAGAUGAGAGAAAAUUGGGGAUUUUUGUGGUGUGUUUUGGGGAAAAUGAGGGAAAAGGGGGGGAAUGAGAUUUGUAUAUAUAUUUGCAUGAAAUUAAAUAAAUAUAUA